GCCUAUAGCAUGAGUAGCAUGGAAGAUAUUGAGAACUCUUGGUCAUUGCCUUGACAAUGAAAGCAUGCCACCCAAAAUUAUUAUCUCUGUUUUCAAAGCUUGAGCUCUGGCACCUCUGCAAAUCAAUGCUUCCCUCUACGAAGGGCCUGUCUAUUUAUUUUCCUGUUGAGUCAUCCUCCUCUUAUAUAAGCACCAAUUAGAGAGCACCUCUGUCAUUUUUAUGCUUUGCUUUUGAUUGAUAUUGAGUAUGACUAUGACUGGAUCUUCGUUGCUAUGAAUUACAAUGUUUAGUCAGCCCUUGAUCUUUGAAAGUGCUCUGCAUUUAUGUUUGGCGGUCUCAGAAAGAGCUAGCGAGAUACCACCUAUUCAUAUUGCUUCAUGCUUGUUUUGAUUGAAGUGUUGGUAUUUGAAACUCAUUAUUAUUUGCUCGUUAGCAUAUUAUGCCAUUGAUAUUAGUUUACGGUGAGACCUUUGUGUCAUUUGCUUAUGUGGUUAACUUGUGAUCUUGCUGAAAUUCUGGUUAUGAGUUAGACAUAGUUGCAACAACAAGAUCAAACAGAGUUUGUCAAAGUUUUUCUUUCUCUCCCAGUUUGUCAACUGAGUUGCUUGAGGACAAGCAAGGUUUUAAGCUUGGGGGAGUUGAUAUGUCUCCAUCGUAUCUACUUUUCCAAACUCUUUUGCCCUUGUUUUGGACUCUAAUUUGCAUGAUUUGAAUGGAACUAACCUGGACUGACGCUGUUUUCAGCAGAAUUGCCUUGGUGUUAUUUUUGUGCAGAAAUCAAAGUUCUCCAAACGUCCUGAAAAUUUACGGGGAGCAGUUUUGGAAAAUAUCAAAAAUAUCUGCGCCAAGUUCCACCCUAGGGGGUGGGCCAAUGGGCCACAAACCCCUGGCUCCGCCACCACGCCCUGGUGGUGGUGGGUAGGCUUGUGGGGCCCACACGGCUCUCCAGCCCACAAUCUCAGGUCUAUAAGAUCCCUUUCGUCCCGAAAAAAAUAAAGAGAGAAGUUUUCGUCGCGUUUGCGAUAGGGAGGCGCCGCCACCACAUGUUCUUCAUCUCGAGGGCAGACCCGGAGUCGGUCUUGGGCUCCGAAGCGGGGAAAUCAUCGCCAUCGUCAUCAUCAACCUUCUUUCCUCUCCAAUUCCAUGAAGCUCUUCGUCGUUCAUGAGUAAUCUAUUCGUAGGCUCGCUGGGCGGGGAUGAGUAGGAUGAGAUCUAUCAUGUAAUCGAGUUAGUUUUGAUGGGGAUUGAUCCCUAGUAUCCACUAUGUUUUGAGAUUGAUGUUGCUACUACUUUGCCAUGCUUAAUGCUUGCCACUAGGGCCCGAGUGCCAUGAUUUCAGAUCUGAAAUUAUUAUGUUGUCACCAAUACAUGUGUGUUUUAGAUCCGAUCUUGCAAGUUGUAGUUACCUACUAUGUGUUAUGAUCCUACAACCCCGUAGUGACAAUAACCGGAACCACUCCCGGUGAUGACCAUAGUUUGAGGAGUUCAUGUGUUCACCAAGUGCUAAUGCGUUGGUCCGGUUCUUUAUUAAAAGGAGAACCUUAAUAUCCCGUAGUUUCCUUUUGGACCCCGCUGCCAUGCGAGGGAUGGACAAUAGAUGUCAUGCAAGUUCUUUUUCCUAAGCACGUAUGACGACACACGGAAUGAUGCCUACAUCACAUUGACGAACGGGAGCUAGCCACAUAUCUCUCCGUGUUAUAGCUGUUGCAUGAUGAAUAUCAUCCAAACAAAUCACCGACCCAUUGCCUACGAGUUUGUCCUACUACUGUUACUUGUCUUGCUCUGCUGCUACUGCUACUACUGUUGCUACUGCUGUUACUUGUCUUGCUCUGCUGCUGCUGCUACUAUUGUUGCUACUGCUGUUACUUGUCUUGCUCUGCUGCUACUGUUGCUACUACUGUUGCUUGCUACUGUUGCUACUUGCUACUGCUGUCACAACCACUGUUCCUUGCCACUGUCGUACUCGCUACUAUGCUGUUACUACUUUGCUUGCAGAUACUAAUCUUUCAGGUGUGGUUGAAUCUGACAAAUUCAGCUGCUAAUACUCGAGAGUAUUCUCUCACCUCCUCUGUGGUAAACCAACAAAUUUGGGUCGAAUACUCUACCCUCGAAAACUGCUGCGAACACACGCGCUAGUGGGCCAUCAACAACAUUCUUCUAGUUUCGUUGCCGGGGAGUGCUAGCAGCAUUCUUCUGGUGCCGUUGCAGGGGAAGGUUUGUUGUCAUCAACAUUCGUCUAGCCAUCGCCAGAGAUUGCAAUCAUGGCACCGGUGAUGAUGGAGAUCAUGCCGGUGCUUUGGUGAUGGAGAUCAAGAAGCACAAGUUCAUGGCCAUAUCACGUCACUUAUGAUUUGCAUGUGAUGUUAAUCCUUUUAUGCACCUAGUUUUGCUUAGGAUGAUGGUAUCAUUAUAGGGUGAUCCCUCACUAAAAUUUCAAGAUAAAAUUGUGUUCUCCCCGACUAUGCACCAUUGCGACAGUUUGUCGUUUCGAAACACCACAUGAUGAUCGGGUGUGAUAGACUCUACGUUCACAUACAAUGGGUGCAAAACAGUUGCACACGAGGAACACUCGGAUUAAACUUGACAAGCCUAGCAUGUACAAACAUGGCCUCGGAACAGAAAAGACUAAAAGGUUGAGCAUGAAUCAUAUAGUUGAUAUGAUCAACAUGGAUAUGUUCACCAUUGAAGCUAAAGACAACUCACGUGAUGAUCGGACUUGAGUUAGUGAAUUUGGAUCAUGCGACACUCGAAUGACUAGAGGGAUGCCAAUUUGAGUGGGAGUUCUUAAGUAAUAUGAUUAAUUGAACUCAUUACCAUGAACAUAGUCAAAAGGAAUUUGCAAAAUAUGUUGUAGUUUGCGUUGUAGCUCUACUGUUCUUAAUAUGCUCCUAAAUAAAUUUUAGUUGAAAGAUGACAGUAGAAAUUAUGCAGACUGGGUCCGUAAACUGAGGAUUGUCCUCAUUGCUGCGUAGAAGGCUUAUGUCCUCAAUGCACCGCUCAGUGUGCUGAACCCCGAGUGUCGUCUAUGGAUGUUGUGAACAUUUGAGAUACACGUUUUUGAUGACUACGUGAUAGUUCAGUGCGUAAUGCUUAACGACUUAGAAUUGAGGCGUCGAAGACGUUUUGAACGUCACGGAACAUGUGAGAUGUUCCAAGAGCCGAAAUUGGGAUUUUAGGCUCGUGCCUGUGUUAAGAGGUAUGUGACCUCCGACAGGAUUCUUGGCCUGCGAAGUAAGGGAGAAAAGCUCAAUCGUUGAACAUGUGCUCAGAUUGUCCGAGUACUACAAUCGCUUGAAUCGAGUGGGAGUUGAUCUUCCAGAUAAGAUAGUGAUUGACAUAGUUCUCGAAAGUCACCGCCACCAAGCUAUUGAGCUUCGUGAUGAACUAUAACAUGUCAGGGAUAGAGAUGAUGAUCCCUGAGUUUUUGGUGACGUUUGACACCGUGAAAGUAGAAAUCAAAAGGAGCAUCAGUUGUUGAUGGUUAGUAAAACCACUAGUUUCAAGAAGGGCAAGGGCAAGAAGGGAUACUUCAUGAAACGACAAACCAGUUGCUGCUCUAGUGAAGAGGCUCAAGGUUGAACCCAAACCUGAGACUAAGUGCUUCUGUGAUGAGGGGAACAAUCACUGAAGAGGAAAUACCCUAGAUACUUGGUAGAUGAGAAGGCUGGCAAAGUCGACAAAAGUAUAUUGGAUAUACAUGAUAUUGAUGUGUACUUUACUAGUACUCCUUUUAGCAACAGGGUAUUAGAUACCGGUUCGGUUGCUAAAUGUUAGUAACUCGAAAUAAAAGCUACGGAAUAAACGGAGACUAGCUAAAGGCGAGGUGACGAUGUGUGUUGGAAGUGUUUCCAAGGUUGAUGUGAUCACCAUCGCACGCUCCCUCUACUUUCAAGAUUAGUGUUGAACCUGAAUGUUGUUUGGUGUUUGCGUUGAGCAUGAACAUCAUUAGAUUGUGUUUAUUGCAAUACAGUUAUUCAUUUAAAGAGAACAAUGGUUAUACUGUUUACUUGAAUAAUACCUUCAAUGGUCAUGCACCUAAUAUGAAUGGUUUAUUGAAUCUUGAUCGUAGUAUUACACAUGUUCAUAAUAUUUGAUGCCAAAAGAUACAAAGUAGUAAUGAUAGUACCACUUACUUCUGGAACUGCCUCUUGAGUCAUAUUGGUAUAAGACGCAUGAAGAAGCUCCAUGUUGAUGGAUCUUUGGACUCACUCGUUUUUGAAAAGUUUGAGACAUGCGAACCAUGUCUAUUAGUAUAAACGCAUGAAGAAAAACCAUGCAGAUGGAUCGUUUGGACUCACAUGAUUUUGAAUCACUUGAGGCAUGCAAAUCAUACCACAUGUGCAAGAUGACUGAAUACCUCGUUUUCCAGUGAGAUGGAACAAGAAAGUAACUUAUUGGAAAUAAUACAUUCUAAUGUAUGCAGUGCAAAGAGUGAUGAGGCACGAAGUCGAUAUUGUUAUGUUCUUACUUCACAGAUAAUUUGAGUAGAUGCUGGUAUAUUUACUUGAUGAAACAAAGGUCUGAAUUAUUGAAAGGUUCAAGUACUUUCAGAGUGAAGUUGAAGAUCGUCAUGACAAGAGGAUAAAAUGUCUACAAUAUGAUCGUAGAAAUGAAUAUCUCAGUUGCGAGUUUGGUACACAUUUAAGACAAUGUGGAAAUUGUUUCACAACUAAUGCCACCUGGAACUCCAUUGUGUGAUGGUGUCUCCGAACGUCAUAGCCGCGCCCUAUUGGAUAUGGUGCAUACUAUGAUGUGUAUUAUCGAAGUACCACUACCAUUUUUGGGUUAGGCAUUAGAGACAACCACAUUCACUUUAAAUAGGGUACCACAUAAUUCCGUUGAGAUGACAUUGUAUGAACUAUGUUUGGAUAAACCUAAGGUGUCAUUUCUUAAAAGUUUGGGGCUACGACGGUUAUGUGAAAAAGUUUCAGCCUGAUAAGCUCGAACCCAAAGCGGAUAAAUGCAUCUUCACAGGAUACCCAAAAUACUUGAGAAUACCUCCUAUAUCAGAUCAUAAAGCAAAGUGUUUGUUUCCAGAAAAUGGUCCUUUCUCGAGAAAAGGUUUCUCUCAAAAGAAUUGAGUGGGAGGAUGGUGGAACUUGGUGAGGUUAUUGAACCAUCACUUCAACCAGUGCGUAGUAGGGCGUAGGAAGUUGUUCCUGUGGCGCCUACACCAAUUGAAGUGGAAGCUGAUGAUAGUGAUCAUGAAGCUUUGAAUCAAGUUACUACCAAACCUCGUAGGUUGACAAGGAAACAUAUUGCUCCAGAGUGAUACAGUAAUCCUGUCUUUAGGUCAUGUUGCUGGGCAACAAUGAACCUACGAUCUAUUCAGAAGCGAUGGUGGGCCUGGAUUCCGACGAAUGGCCGGAGGCCAUGAAAUCCGAGAGAGGAUCCAUGUAUGAAAACAAAGUGUGGAUCUAUUAAGUACAGAUGGAUCUUUAAAAGGAAGACAGACAAUGAUUGUGAUAAGUCACCAUUAAGAAAGCUCGACUUGUCGCAAAGAUGUUUCCGACAAGUUCAAAGACUUGACUAUGAUGAGACUUUCUCACUCAUAGUGAUGCUAAAAUUAUGUUGGAAUUAUGUUAGCAGUUGCCGCAUUAGUUAUGAAAUCUUGCAGAUAGGAUGUCAAAAACAUUGUUUCCUUGACGGUUUCCUUGAGGAAAGGUUGUAUGUGAUACAACCAGAAGGUUUUGUCGAUCCUAAGGAUGAUAACAACUAUGCAAGCUGCAGCNNNNNNNNNNNNNNNNNNNNNNNNNNNNNNNNNNNNNNNNNNNNNNNNNNNNNNNNNNNNNNNNNNNNNNNNNNNNNNNNNNNNNNNNNNNNNNNNNNNNUCAAGAUUGUGGUGUGCAAGUUCAAGUAGAUCAGCACGAAUAUAUCAUUGAAACUAUUGUUAAUGAUCAUGUGUUGAUAAGGACAAGCUCAUGUUCUAACAAGGACAAGAUCAAGAUAACCAUUCCUGAGCACUACAUGCUUGAUUCUUGUGGAUGUUCACAUGGUGGACAAAUGAACAUGAAUACAUAAGCUAGGCUUUCCACAUUGUGUAUGGGAGAGCUGCUUGAAGACUUCAUCAUGUCUUGCUUUCAACUUGAGCCAAGAAGGAACAACAACAUCUAGCUCAAGUGAAAGGGCUAGCUCAAAGGUAUCGGUUCCUUUGACGUUAGUGGUGCGGAGUGAUGAUCAGCGAAUAAAAGUAUACACUCAAGUAUGGAUCAUCAGUACCCCUUUUAUGAUUCUUGAGUCUUUAGGGAUCCCGCACUAUUAAGAGGGGGUCGCAGGUUUUGCGAUGAACUUGCUCAAACUACAUCUCUACUUUUCUGCUCAUACCACAUCUCCACUACUCUCCUCUUAUCUCAAAACAGAACCAAUGCCUCGGACAUCCGGCCUCCUCCGGACAUCCGAGGGCCGGACGUCCGACCUCCUUCGGAAAUCCGGAACCUUGCACCAGAGAAACUUGAGCCAUAUAACUCGGACUUCCGGCUCCCUCCGAACGUCCGAGGGCCAGACGUCCGACCAAGUUCGGAAAUCCGGAACUUUGCACCAGAGAAACUUGAGCCAUAUAACUCGGACUUCCGGCUCCCUCGGGACGUCCGAGGGCCGGACGUCCGACCUCCUUCGGAAAUCCGGAAUCUUGCACCAGAGAAGUUUGAGUCGAAUAACUCGGAUUUCCGGAUUCCUCCGGACGUCCGGUCCCUGUUCAACUACACAGUGGUUCUAGAUAUAUAUACAUCCCUCGGACAACCGACCCCUGUCGGACGUCCGACUCCUUGUGGACGUCCGGACAUCCGAGAACUGCCGGAUGUCCGACCACUGUCAGACUUAAGUGACCCCAAUGGCUGUUUUACUCUCCCCACUAUAUAUACCCCCCUCCCACUUCGUGAGAGGGUGCCCAACACAGCCAUAUCCUUAUAAGAACAAAUUUCUACCUCACACACAUUUGCUCACACCAAAUCUUAGACCCCAAGAGCAUUUGUGAGCCCCUUUGAGAGUUGUUCCAAUCAAAAGAUAGAUCGUCUCCCUCUCCUCCUCUCAACCCAAGCUAUUUGAGAUUUGAGCAAGUUUUGAGCAUUCCCCGUGAUCUUGUUACUCUUGGAGGUUGGAGACUCCUAGGCGGUAGGAGUUCUUCGGAGAGGAAUCAAUCUGUGUGAUUUCCCCCGGAAAAGUUUGUGAGGGUUUGGAACCCACCUCAAAGGCUUACCACUAGUGGUUGAGAAACGCCUUCGUGGUGUUAUCUCAAAGGGAGAAUAGGGUGAGCCUUCGUGGUGUUGGUGUGCCUUCGUGGUAACAUCCACCUCUCUAACGGUGACUAGCUUCCCUCCAAGGAAGUGAACAUCGGGAUACAUCUUUGUCUCAGUGACCUUGGUUAUCCUUAACCCUAACUCCGUACUUGUGGUUUACUUGUGUUACUUGAUCUUACAUACAUUGCAUAUUGUUUGUGCUCACUAUAUUGUGUUGGCUAUUUCUUUGUACAAGAUUAAUCGUUCAAGCAUACCCUCUAUAUCCACACGUUCACACUUGCAGCUUUUGAUAUAUAGUGUGCUAUAGUGUGAUCUAGUAUCUUGUGUCGUUCACCUACUUGUCGUGUGAUAUACCUCAAGUAAGUUUGUGUAACUUACUUGUGCUUGUUAGUAACCGUGUUGUGUCCAUCUUGGUAGAUCGUGUUGUUGGUGCACGUUGCGGUGCCUAUUGCAUUUAGGAUUUGUGCUUGAAAAGUAUCCUCUUAGUUUAUUUCCGCAUUAGGUUUAAGCCAAAUCCGAAGAAGUUUUUAAAUAGCCUAUUCACCCCCCCUAGGCGUCAUCGUGGUCCUUUCAGUUGGUAUCAGAGCAAGGUCUCUCUUUAAUUAGGUUUCACGGCCUAGAGAGUAUCGAUGUCGACUAUUGCAUUAGUGCACAAUGAAACCUUUGACUUUGAUGGCACAAAUUAUACCCUAUGGAGAAUUCUUAUGAUUCAUCACUUUCGGGCCAUGGGCCCAAAUACUUUACAAAUUGUUCUUGUAGGGAUUGCCGACAAAAAGGAUGAUGCAUCUUCAUCUACUAAUGAAAUGUAUCUUGAUUGUGAGGCUUUUCUUUCCAUUCAUCGAACCAUAAGUCCUGAAGUGUUUAAGUCUAUCUCGACUUGCAAGUCAGCUCAUGAAGUUUGGACUAAACUUGAAGAUAUAUAUGAUGGGUCCAAUCUUGAUGAAGACGAUAUUAUGAUGAAGGAGUUGGUGCAUGAGCUCUUCACUCUUUUCGAUCAUAAAGAGUCCACCACUACUUCCAUAUCCGAUUGCUUGCACACCUCAGGAUCUUCAAUCUCACAAGGUAAUGACAUGGUGAGUGAAGAAAUAUAUGUUGAUGAAAAUGUCAUAGCCUCUAUGGACAUGAGCAUAUCUAGCACCACACAUAGUGUAAAUUAUUGUGCUGAUAGGUCAUGCAUUUCACCUAAAGAUCCCUCGACAAAUGUCUGUGGUGAUACGCCUGCUUUCCCGUGUCCUCUUGAUCAAAAUAUCUUGUUUCUCCCUAGUUGCUCUAUGACUAAUAAUUUAGGGGAAAUCAAGAAAUAUUAAGUACUUUUGACUAAUGAAGAAUAUGAUUCACCAAAAGAAUCAUCAACAACUCCUCCAGUUCACAUGUGCCUCAUGGCAAGAGGUAAUAAUGAGGUAUCAUCUUCCCUAUGCAAUAACGAUGAUAUUUGCGAUGAGGAUGAUGAUGAUGACUUGACUGAAAAUAUCUAUGUGAUCAGUAAAAUUCUUCAUAAAGCUAAAAAUAACGCUCUUCAAAGAUUCCAAGAUGUUCUUGCUUACUUUUAAAAUUGUAAUGAUUCACUUAAUCAUGAACAAGCCAAAAGUGAACAACUUGAACGUUGAACUUGAGAAGAGUCAUCAAGCAUGUAGAGACUUAAGAUCUUCAAAAGGAGAGAUUGAAGUUGCUCAUGAUAAACUUAAAAAGGAUUUUGAGGUCCUUCUCCUUGAAUGCAAUGAUGUCAAGGGAGAGCUCAUCAAAACCUCUAAGAUCUAUGAGGAGCUUCAAUCUACUCAUGAGAAGUCUCUAUUUGCUACUUACUCUUCUCAUAUUGUUGAUGAUACUUGUACAUCUAACUCUACCUCAUUUGAAGUAUCAACAUUGAAGGAGAAUAUUGAGCUACAUGCUCAACUUGAUUUACUAACUAGCAAUUAUGGGAAGUUGGAAGAAAACCAUGUAAUGCUCACAAGCUCUCAUGCCGAUCUUCUAACAUCCUAUAAUGUGCAAAAGUUAGCUCAUGAGGCUAUAAUCACCAAGGUAACAUCAAGUGAGCCUCAUGUGGACAAUGGCACUACUUCUAGUCAAAGUACUAUAUUUCCAUGUGCUAGUCCUCGUAAUUCGUCUACUCAUAAUGUUGCUACCUCGUGUGAUGAAUUACUUUCAUUGCCUUGUUGCUCUAACAUUGAAGCUUACACUUCCUCUAGUACUUGCAUUGAUACUAACCGUGCAGAGGAAAUCGAAGAGCUCAAGGCCCAAGUCACUUCUUUGAAGAAAGACUUGGAACAGUGUCAUGAAGGCAUGUCCACACUCAACAACGUCCUGUGUGAGCAAACAUCUCCGAAUGACAAAAAUGAUGUUGGAGUAAACUCAAACAAGAACAAGAGGGGCCUAGAACAAGUCAAGAAUUCGACCAAAAUCAUUUGCUUCAAGUGCAAAGUUAAAGGGCACCAUGUUAGAUCUUGCCCACUGAAGACGAAGUCCCAAAGUCAUAAGCAACAAGGGAAGCGGCCACAAACUCAAUCACAUAUUCAGCUACAAGUUGAAGGAAGGCCUCUUCCCAAUAAGACCCAAUCCAACACUCCCCGAGUUGAGAAAUCAACUCGGAAGAAAGCAAAGGGUAGAUGUUGCUACUUAUGUCGUGAGAAGGGUCACGUCGCUUCGUCUUGCACACGAGGUAACUUAUCCAACCCAAUCACUAUUGAUGAUAUCUAUUUCCUUGGGAAGGAUAAGGUUGGCAAUGUGUUUGCCAAGUUUGUUGGUACUCAAAAUGGUGUCAAGAAAAGAACCCUUUGGGUUGCCAAGCCUAUUGUGAUUAACCUCUUAGGACCCAACGUAGUUGGGGACCAACAAGCUCAAACUUGAUCAAUAGGUGACUAUGGAGGACAUUAGAGAUCUGGAUACAUAAUGAAGAAUUAAGGGGUCUUCAUCAUUCAUAUUAUCUCAAGCCAAGUCAUUUGGAUUAUCGAGUUUCUAUCUUAUAUCCAUUGUGCCUCCUUACGGUAACUUAUACUUAAACUGUUUACAUUGUUAGAUGCUUGCCCCUUUGCAUGUUGUGGUUUUGUACCUUGCAUGCGUUUGUAUAUGUUGUUCUUUCAACUUGCUUAUCUUGAGUAAUCGAGUAUGUGUAUGUUUGUUUGCAUAUCAUGUACUCCCUCCGUUUCAAAAUAUAAGACCUUUUAGGUAUUUCACUAAAAGACUACAUACGGAGCAAAAUGAGUGAAUCUAUACUCUAAAAUAUGUCUAUGUACAUCCGUAUGUAGUUUAUAGUACAAUCUCUAAAAGGUCUUAUAUUUAGAAACGGAGGGAGUACAUGUGAGUCUUGUAUUGAGCCUUUUUGCAUCUUGUUUGUAUUUUUGUUGGCUCUUGUGAGAGAUUAAUGGAUUAUCCCAUUGUGGGGGAGUGAUGUGAUUUGCACACCUCACAAUCAUAUAAAUGUGUAAACAUGGGGAAUACCACUUAGUUUUGAUAUUUCAAGAUUAUCUAGUUUCUAUGUGGUAUGUCUUACUCAUGAGAAAUUCAAAUUCUAUAUGGUCCAUUAAGUAUCUCUUGUUGGUUUUAAUUUGCCACUUGUUAAUAUUGUUGGUUUAUCACAUUAUGGGGGAGUAAUAUGCUAUGUGCAUAUUACAAACCUAGAAAAUGUGUACAUUUGAGGUGUUGCCACUUAGUGUUGAUAUUGUAAAUUAUCUUGUUCCUAGGUGGCAUGUUAGCUCUACAAGUGUCAUUUGCUUGCAUUUUAUGGGUAAAGAUGAUCUUGGAUAUAUUUGCGAUCUACCAAUGAGUAUCACUUCCAAAAUACUUCUUGUCCUUGACAAUUGGUAUUCCCAUCAUGUGAUAGGAAUUGCUAAUCGUCUUUACAUUGGAUUUUGUGUUUCGUUUGUCUUCCUUGCCUCUUAUGGAUCUAUUUUAACAUGUCUAGUGUUUUUAUAGAUAUAGAGAAAGUGAUGAUCCCAUCGUGUGCAUUUUGUAUUUAAAUGCAAAUUCUAUAUAAUGCACGUCGCUUGGGGGAGCUAUCCUAUUUUCCUUAGAACACUCUCUUUAUUCACCCAUCAUAAAAUCUUUUGAUCCCCAUCAAGUGUCUGUUGAUAGGGGGCAAGUCUUGCUCUUUAUGAUGCUUUGUGCCAUCAUGAAAGUUUGUCGAGGGCUUGGUUUGUUGGAACCUAGCUCUCUUUUGGAAAUUAGAUACCUCGUGUUUGUUUUCCUUCAAUUGGUUUCUUGUUUCCUUUUAUUUGGCAUGUGUCAAUGGAUAUUUCAUUCCUUGAGGUAUCUUUUAAUUGAUAUCCUUCAAGUGAUAGUUCUUUUUUUGUUUAGGAUCUUAUUAUCACUUGAUACCUUGUCUUUUGGUGACUUAUCAACUUUGUGUUGAGUUGAUUCUUGAGAGUCUUGAGCAUGCAUAUCUACUAUAUACAACUUCUUUUGCUUGCUUUCCUUCUUUGACCCAAUAUAUAGGGGAAACUCCACCUUGUCAUAAAUUGGCUAAAGUGUGCAUGAAAUUCAAAUUCAUAUCUAUAUGCACAUAUGUAUGUGGAGUUUGUCCUAUGUAUUGCUGGUUUUCUAACUCUUUGGUCCCAAUGAGUUUGGGCACCAUUUUGUUUGUUUUGCUGUUCCAGGAACAACUGGAGAUGCAUUGGAUGCUCGGCUCACCUAUAAGGAAGGUGUUGAGACCAUGUGAUUAUUGGAGCCAAGUUAGGAUGAUCAAAGAGCAACUAUCUACUACAUCAAUCCAAUGUUGUCUCGGUAACAAGUAUCCACUUCAUGCAUUCUUUUCUUGCAAAGGCCCCAACCUGUCUUUUCUUUUCCAGGUUGCAUUAUGGCAUGAAUCUCUUGAUUUCGUUCUUGUAGUACUUGUUUGUUUUCUCAAAGCAUCCGAACGAUGAUGUCUUACUACUAGUUGGGAUGUCUUUGAUGUUUGUAUGUUGGAAGUUCAUAUUGUACAAUAAGACAAUAUUAGGCCAUGUGCUAUGCUUCCAAGCAAAAGAUCUCAUUGAUAUAUUUAUGACUUCCUUUUGGAUAUCUAGUUUGUUCCUUCGUGUAACCAUUUCGUGUGUACAUCCUUCUUUGUGGAUAUAUAUCAUCAUGAUUGUCUUCUUCUUAGAAUCUGUUACACAUGAGAGAAGUUACAUCUCUAAUUGAUAUCCUCUUUUCUUUCACGUCCAUCGUUGCAUUUCCUUUUUCGGUUUUUGGUGACUUCGUGAAAGGAUUUGUUUUGAGUGCGUAUCUUACUUUCCUACAUCUUGAUGCACUCUUUGGCCGUGAAGAUUAUUUUUCCUCAUGCUUGUCUUGAUGAGGGUUUUUCCAUUUCAAUUAGUAUCCCUCCUCUUGACAAGGUUCUUACUUCCUAUCUUCACAAUGGGUUGUCACAAGCGUUGGUUCUUAUUUUGUUUAUUAGUAAGCUUGUGAACCCAUUUUCUAGUAUGUGUGUGUGGGAAUGAUAUGUCUUGCACUUUGUAUCUCAUUUCAUCAAGACUAUGUUGAUGAGUAAUGCUCAUCCUUAUCUUAGUCUUCUCAAGUACUUUGCCAUGACUCACACACAUUACUUUCGUUGAGCCUAUUCUUAAGUUGCUUCUUUUACAUGUUGCUCAACCAUUUGUUUUGUGCAAUUGAUAUGCUUAUUGUCUCAUCUAUCUUCUUGCACUCAUUGUGUGUUUUUAUUAAUUUUGGGGGAGCAACGAUCCUAUUUUGUGCACCUGUAGCAAAUAAAAAAAUCUCGUGUUAGUGCACAAAUCAUGGGGAGCUUCUCUAGUUUUUGAUAAAACACUCUGUUGCCUUUAUCAUAAUAUCUUUUAUUCAUGUGGUUCGAAGGACCAUAUGAUUGUUUGUUCCAUCUGGAAUCUUUUGAUUGCUUGCCUCUAUUUUUGUAUGUCUUUGUGGCAUACGAUCCUUUUAUUUGCAAUCUUUGGGUCCUCAAUAUAGUUUGUUUUCCUCCAACUACUUAUCAUUGUAUUUGUGUAUUUCUCUGCACUCAUUUGCUGAGCAGUACACACUUUUUGGAGGACCAAUACUAUAUUGGCUUUCUAAACUUUUCGUCCAUUUAGGCAAUCGAUGCCAAUGGGGGAGAAGUUUAGAGAGUUUACUUUGGAUAUGUUUAGAGGGUUUUGCUUUUAUUGCGUAAGCAUUUACAUCUUGCACGCAUGCAUUAUUACCUUGUAUGUGUGCGCUUGGUUAUGCUUAUUUCCUUAUAUAAACUCUCUUGAAGUGGUUGUCUUCAAUUACCAAAAUGGGGGAGAUUGUUAGAGCAUAUAUCUCCAUAUGUGGUUUUGGUAAUUCAUGACAAUUCCUAUGGAUUAAUGGUUGCCUUAAGUUAUAUCUAUAGGAUUUGUCCAUAGGCACUUCUUGAAGUCCAUCUGUUGGGUUCAAGGAGUUUAUAUGAUGACCAAGAUGGUAUUCAAGGUAUUAUCCAAAGAAUGGUCAUAAAGACACUAGGUUGAUCAAGAUCUCAGACAAAGAGUAAAUCAAGAUGAUCAACACACAAAGCGUAUAAGAUGUACCGAGAGGGAUCAAGUGAUCCCAUGGUAUGGUAAGCAUUGUCCAUUACGUGUUUGUGUACUAACCCAUGGUCUUUGUGAGAGUCCUAUGUGGGGGUUAGGUGUGCUUCCAUGGGCUUGCGUCAAAAGGAAGAUCUCAUACAACCCAUGAAGGAUGACGUCAAGUGGUGAUCGUCAUCAAGAUUGUGGUGUGCACGUUCAAGUGGAUCAGCACGAAUAUAUCAUUGGAACUAUUGUUAAUGAUCCUCUCCCNNNNNNNNNNNNNNNNNNNNNNNNNNNNNNNNNNNNNNNNNNNNNNNNNNNNNNNNNNNNNNNNNNNNNNNNNNNNNNNNNNNNNNNNNNNNNNNNNNNNGCGCGGCCGCUGUCAUCGGCGUCCCACCACCACGCCUGUCCACUCCCCUCCCCGCUCGCCGUGCUCGCGCCCCACAGCCUGACCGCCUGCACACCUGCUCCGGACGGGAACCUGGCUCCUCCGCCCCCGCAGCCGACGCCGGAGAACCGCCGCGGCAGGUCCUGCCACGUCCGCACGACGGCGCCGCCCCACGGGAAGCAGCCGUCGAGGCCCUCGGCGGCGCCCUCGAAGUACCCGAUCCUCCUCACGGCAUCCUCCUCGCCGGACGAGCUGGUGGCCGCGUCGUCAUCGGAGCUCUCGUCGUCGUCCUCGCCGUCGCCGUCGGAGUCGGACUCGUCGUCCCCGGAGGAGUAGUAGGUGGAGAUGUGCGAGGAGAUGACCUCCUUCCCGCGGGAGCGGAGGCGGAGGAUGAGCACCUGCAGCCUGCCGAGCAGGCUGGGCAGCGUCGCGAGCGCCGCCAGCGCCACGGCCAGCGGCGCCCACAUCUCCGCCAGCAGCGCCGCGAGGCUCGGCCCCCGGAACCGCCCNNNNNNNNNNNNNNNNNNNNNNNNNNNNNNNNNNNNNNNNNNNNNNNNNNNNNNNNNNNNNNNNNNNNNNNNNNNNNNNNNNNNNNNNNNNNNNNNNNNNGAAGGGGUUCCGGGAUUUCACGSGGGGGGGGGGGCAACCCACCCCGGGGAAGCCCAUAGGCCUUGAGGGUGGCACACCAGCCCUUAGUGGUCUGGUGGGACAGCCCAAAAGGGCCCUAUGUGCAUUGGAAGAAAAAUCAAAGGGAAAAAAAGGAGGAGGUGGGAAAGGAAAGAAGGACUCCACCCACCAAACCAAGUAGGACUCGGUUUGGGGGGGAGUCCUUCCCCCCUUUGGCUCGGCCGACCCCCUUGGGGCUCCUUGAGCCCCAAGGCAAGGUCCCCUCUCUCACACCUAUAUAUACGGAGGUUUUAGGGCUGAUUUGAGACGACUUUUCCACGGCAGCCCGACCACAUACCUCCACGGGUUUUCCUCUAGAUCGCGUUUCUGCGGAGCUCGGGCAGAGCCCUGCUGAGACGAGAUCAUCACCAACCUCCGGAGUACCGUCACGCUGCCGGAGAACUCUUCUACCUCUCCGUCUCUCUUGCUGGAUCAAGAAGGCCGAGAUCAUCGUCGAGCUGUACGUGUGCUGAACGCGGAGGUGCCGUCCGUUCGGUACUAGAUCGUGGGACUGAUCGCAGGAUUGUUCGCGGGGCAGAUCGAGGGACGUGAGGACGUUCCACUACAUCAACCGCGUUCACUAACGCUUCUGCUGUAUGGUCUACAAGGGUACGUAGAUCACUCAUCCCCUCUCGUAGAUGGACAUCACCAUGAUAGGUCUUCGUGCGCGUAGGAAAUUUUUUGUUUCCCAUGCGACGUUCCCCAACAGUGGUAUCAGAGCUAGGUUCAUGCUAGAUGUCUUCUCGAGUAGAACACAAAAGUUUUUGUGGGCGGUGAUGUGCGUUUUGCUGCCCUCCUUAGUAUUUUCUUGAUUCCGCGGUAUUGUUGGAUUGAAGCGGCUUGGACCGGCAUUACUCGUACGCUUACGAGAGACUGGUUUCAUCGCUACGAGUAACCCCGUUGCUCAAAGAUGACUGGCAAGUGUCGGUUUCUCCAACUUUAGUUGAAUCGGAUUUGACCGAGGAGGUCCUUGGAUGAGGUUAAAUAGCAACUCAUAUAUCUCCGUUGUGGUGUUUGCGUAAGUAAGAUGCGAUCCUACUAGAUACCCAAGGUCACCACAUAAAACAUGCAACAACAAAAUUAGAGCACGUCUCACUUGUUUUUGCAGGGUAUGCUUGUGAUGUGAUAUGGCCAACAAUGUGAUGUGAUAUAUUGGAUGUAUGAGAUGAUCAUGUUGUAAUAGAUAAUAUCGACUUGCACGUCGAUGGUACGGCAACCGGCAGGAGCCAUAGGGUUGUCUUUAUACUAAUGUUUGUGCUUGCAGAUGCGUUUACUAUUUUGCUAGGAUGUAGCUUUAGUAGUAAUAGCUUGAGUAGCACGACAACCCCGAUGGCGACACGUUGAUGGAGAUCAUGGUGUGGCGCCGGUGACAAGAAGAUCGUACCGGUGCUUUGGUGAUGGAGAUCAAGGAGCACGUGAUGAUGGCCAUAUCAUGUCACCUAUGAAUUGCAUGUGAUGUUAAUCCUUUUAUGCACCUUAUUUUGCUUAGAACGACGGUAGCAUUAUGAGGUGAUCUAUCACUAAAAUUUCAAGAUGAAAUUGUGUUCUCCCCGACUGUGCACCGUUGCUACAGUUCGUCGUUUCGAGACACCACGUGAUGAUCGGGUGUGAUAGACUCAACGUUCACAUACAACGGGUGCAAAACAGUUGCGCACGCGGAACACUCGGGUUAAACUUGACGAGCCUAGCAUGUGCAGACAUGGCCUCGGAACACAUGAGACCGAAAGGUCGAUCAUGAAUCAUAUAGAUGAUAUGAUUAGCAUAGGGAUGCUUACCACUGAAACUAUACUCAACUCACGUGAUGAUCGGACUUGAGCUAGUGUAAGUGGAUCAUGAACCACUGAAAUGACUAGAGAGAUGUACUUUUUGAGUGGGAGUUUAGCGAAUAAUUUGAUUAAGUUAAACUCUAAUUAUAUUGAACAUAGUCUAAGUCCACUUUGAAUAUAUUUGUGUUGUAGAUCAUGGCUCACGCGACAGUCACCCUGAAUUUUAAUACGUUCCUAGAGAAAGCUAAGUUGAAAGAUGAUGGAAGCAACUUUGUAGACUGGGCUCGUAAUCUUAAGCUAAUCUUACAAGCUGGGAAGAAGGAUUAUGUCCUUAAUGCUGCGCUAGGAGAUGAACCACCCGCUACGGCUGAUCAGGAUGUUAAGAACGCUUGGUUAGCACGUAAGGAGGACUACUCAGUAGUUCAAUGUGCAGUCUUGUAUGGCUUAGAACCGGGACUCCAACGUCGCUUUGAGCGUCAUGGAGCAUUUGAGAUGUUCCAGGAGUUGAAGUUUAUCUUUCAGAAGAACGCCCGGAUCGAGAGGUAUGAGACCUCCGAUAAAUUCUAUGCUUGCAAGAUGGAGGAGAACUCGUGUGUUAGUGAACAUGUGCUCAAAAUGUCUGGGUACUCAAACCGUCUAGCUGAGCUGGGGAUUGAACUCCCGCAAGAGGCUAUCACUGACAGAAUCCUUCAAUCACUGCCGCCAAGCUAUAAAGGCUUUGUGUUGAACUACAACAUGCAAGGGAUGAACAAGUCUCCCGGCGAGUUGUUUGCGAUGCUGAAAGUCGCAGAGUCUGAACUCCGUAAAGAGCACCUAGUGUUGAUGGUGAAUAAGACCACUAGUUUCAAGAGAAACGGCAAAGGCAAGAAGGGUAAUUCAAAGAAGAGCGGCAAGCCUGUUGCCAAUCUGACGAAGAAACCCAAAGCUGGACCUAAGCCUGAAACAGAGUGUUACUAUUGCAAGGGUAUGGGUCACUGGAAGUGCAAUUGCCCCAAGUAUCUGGCAGAUAAGAAGGCGGCCGAAGAAAAAUCAGGUAUAUUUGAUAUACAUGUUGUUGAUGUGUACUUAACCGACUCUCGUAGUAGUGCCUGGGUAUUCGAUACCGGUUCUGUUGCUCAUAUUUGCAACUCGAAACAGGAACUGCGGAAUAGACGAAGGCUGGAGAAAGAUGAAGUGACGAUGCGCGUAGGAAAUGGUUCCAAGGUUGAUGCAAUCGCCGUCGGCACAACUUCACUUCAGUUACCAUCAGGAUUAGUUAUGAACUUGAAUCAUUGUUAUUUAGUGCCUGCGUUGAGCAUGAACAUUAUAUCUGGAUCUUGUUUAUUGCGAGAUGGUUACUCUUUUAAGUCAGAGAAUAAUGGUUGUUCUAUUUCUAUGAGUAACAUCUUUUAUGGUCAUGCACCCAAUGUGAGAGGAUUGUUCAUAUUGAAUCUUGAUGGCGAUACACACAUACAUAAGAAUGAGACCAAAAGAGUUAGAGUUAACAAUGAUAGCGCCAUGUUUUUGUGGCACUGCCGCUUAGGUCAUAUUGGUGUAAAGCGCAUGAAGAAACUCCAUGCCGAUGGACUUUUGGAGUCACUUGACUUUGAUUCACUUGACACGUGCGAACCAUGCCUCAUGGGCAAGAUGACUAAGACUCCGUUCUCCGGAACAAUGGAGCGUGCAAGUGACUUGUUGGAAAUCAUACAUACCGAUGUGUGUGGUCCGAUGAGCGUAGAGGCACGCGGCGGAUAUCGUUAUUUUCUCACCUUCACUGACGAUUUGAGUAGAUAUGGUUAUGUCUACUUAAUGAAGCACAAGUCUGAAACAUUUGAAAAGUUCAAGCAAUUUCAGAGUGAAGUUGAAAAUCAUCGCAACAAUAAGAUCAAGUUCCCACGGUCUGAUCGUGGGGGUGAAUAUCUGAGUUUCGAGUUUGGUGCUCACUUAAGACAAUGUGGAAUUGUUUCACAGUUGACACCGCUUGGAACACCACAGCGUAAUGGUGUGUCCGAACGUCGUAAUCGUACUUUAUUAGAGAUGGUGCGAUAUAUGAUGUCUCUUACCGAUUUGCCAUUAUCGUUUUGGGGUUAUGCAUUAGAAACAACUGCAUUCACUUUAAAUAGGGCACCAUCAAAUUCCGUUGAGACGACACCAUACGAACUUGUUGGGGAACGUCGCAUGGGAAACAAAAAAUUUCCUACGCGCACGAAGACCUAUCAUGGUGAUGUCCAUCUACGAGAGGGGAUGAGUGAUCUACGUACCCUUGUAGACCGUACAGCAGAAGCGUUAGAGAACGCGGUUGAUGUAGUCGAAUGUCCUCACGUCCCUCGAUCCGCCCCGCGAACAAUCCCGCGAUCAGUCCCACGAUCUAGUACCGAACGGACGGCACCUCCGCGUUCAGCACACGUACAGCUCGACGAUGAUCUCGGCCUUCUUGAUCCAGCAAGAGAGACGGAGAGGUAGAAGAGUUCUCCGGCAGCGUGACGGCGCUCCGGAGGUUGGUGAUGACCUUGUCUGAGCAGGGCUCCGCCCGAGCUCCGCAGAAACGCGAUCUAGAGGAAAAACCGUGGAGGUAUGUGGUCGGGCUGCCGUGGAAAAAUCGUCUCAAAUCAGCCCUAAAACCUCCGUAUAUAUAGGUGGGAGGGAGGGGGCCUUGCCUUGGGGCUCAAGGAGCCCCAAGGGGGUCGGCCGAGUCCAAGGGGGAGGACUCUCCCCCCCAAACCGAGUUGGACUAGGUUUGGUGGGAGGGAGUCCCCCUACCUUCCCACCUCCUCCUUUUUUUUUCUUUCUCUCUUGAUUUUCUUCUCCUUGGCGCAUAGGGCACUUGUGGGCUGUCCCACCAGCCCACUAAGGGCUGGUGUGUCUCCCCCAAGGCCUAUGGGCUUCCCCGAGGUGGGUUGCCCCCCCGGUAAACUCCCGGAACCCAUUCGUCAUUCCCGGUACAUUCCCGGUAACUCCGAAAACCUUCCGGUAAUCAAAUGAGGUCAUCCUAUAUAUCAAUCUUCGUUUCCGGACCAUUCCAAAAACCCUCGUGACGUCCGUGAUCUCAUCCGGGACUCCGAACAACAUUCGGUAACCAACCAUAUAACUCAAAUAUGCAUAAAACAACGUCGAACCUUAAGUGUGCAGACCCUGCGGGUUCGAGAACUAUGUAGACAUGACCCGAGAGACUCCUCGGUCAAUAUCCAAUAGCGGGACCUGGAUGCCCAUAUUGGAUCCUACAUAUUCUACGAAGAUCUUAUCGUUUGAACCUCAGUGCCAAGGAUUCGUAUAAUCCCGUAUGUCAUUCCCUUUGUCCUUCGGUAUGUUACUUGCCCGAGAUUCGAUCGUCAGUAUCCGCAUACCUAUUUCAAUCUCGUUUACCGGCAAGUCUCUUUACUCGUUCCGUAAUACAAGAUCCCGCAACUUACACUAAGUUACAUUGCUUGCAAGGCUUGUGUGUGAUGUUGUAUUACCGAGUGGGCCCCGAGAUACCUCUCCGUCACACGGAGUGACAAAUCCCAGUCUUGAUCCAUACUAACUCAACUAACACCUUCGGGGAUACCUGUAGAGCAUCUUUAUAGUCACCCAGUUACGUUGCGACGUUUGAUACACACAAAGCAUUCCUCCGGUGUCAGUGAGUUAUAUGAUCUCAUGGUCAUAGGAAUAAAUACUUGACACGCAGAAAACAGUAGCAACAAAAUGACACGAUCAACGUGCUACGUCUAUUAGUUUGGGUCUAGUCCAUCACGUGAUUCUCCCAAUGACGUGAUCCAGUUAUCAAGCAACAACACCUUGUUCAUAAUCAGAAGACACUGACUAUCAUCGAUCAACUGGCUAGCCAACUAGAGGCAUGCUAGGGACGGUGUUUUGUCUAUGUAUCCACACAUGUAAAUGAGUCUUCAUUCAAUACAAUUAUAGCAUGGAUAAUAAACUAUUAUCUUGAUACAGGAAUUAUAAUAAUAACUAUAUUUAUUAUUGCCUCUAGGGAAAAAUUCCAACAGAACUGUGGUAUGGCAAAAGGCCAAAGUUGUCGUUUCUUAAAGUUUGGGGAUGUGAUGCUUAUGUCAAAAAGCUUCAGCCUGAAAAGCUGGAACCCAAAGCGGAAAGGUGCAUCUUCAUAGGUUACCCAAAAGAGACAGUUGGGUACACCUUCGAUCUCAAAUCCGAGGGCAAAGUGUUUGUUGCUAAAAAUGGAGCUUUUCUCGCGAAGGAGUUUCUCUCGAGAGAAUUGAGUGGGAGGAAGAUAUAACUUGACGAGGUUGUCGAACCUCUCAUCCCUCUGGAUGGUGGCGCAGGGCAAGGGGAAACCUCUAUCGUUGCGACGCCGGUUGAGGAGGAAGUUAAUGAUGAUGAUCAUGAAACUCCGGUUCAAGUUUCUGUCGAACCACGCAGGUCGACGAGACCACGUGCUGCUCUAGAGUGGUACGGUAAUCCUGUCUUAUCAAUCAUGUUGUUGGACAACAAUGAACCUACAAAUUAUGAAGAAGCAAUGGUGGGCCCAGAUUCCAACAAAUGGCUCGAGGCCAUGAAGUCCGAGAUAGGAUCCAUGUAUGAAAACAAAGUGUGGACUUUGGAAGUACUACCUGAGGGCCGCAAGGCUAUUCAGAACAAGUGGAUCAUUAAGAAGAAGACGGACGCUGACGGAAAUGUGACCGUUUAUAAAGCUCGACUUGUGGCAAAAGGUUUUUCACAAGUUCAAGGAGUUGACUACGAUGAGACAUUCUCACCCGUAGCGAUGCUUAAGUCCGUCAGAAUCAUGUUAGCAAUAGCUGCAUUUUUCGAUUAUGAAAUCUGGGAGAUGGAUGUCAAAACGGCAUUCCUUAACGGUUUCCUUAAGGAAGAGUUGUAUAUGAUGCAACCCGAAGGUUUUGUCGAUCCUAAGAAUGCUAACAAGGUGUGCAAGCUCCAGCGAUCCAUUUAUGGACAGGUGCAAGCAUCUCGGAGUUGGAACAAACGCUUUGAUGAGGUGAUCAAAGCAUUUGGGUUUAUACAAGUGGUUGGAGAAUCUUGUAUUUACAAGAAAGUGAGUGGGAGCUCUGUGGCGUUUCUAAUAUUAUAUGUAGAUGACAUAUUGCUGAUUGGAAACAAUGUAGAGUUUUUGGAAAGCAUAAAGGAUUACUUGAAUAAAAGUUUCUCUAUGAAGGACCUAGGAGAAGCUGCUUACAUUCUAGGCAUUAAGAUCUACAGGGAUAGAUCGAAACUCCUAAUAGGACUUUCACAAAGCACAUACCUUGAUAAAGUUUUGAAAAGGUUCAAAAUGGAACAGUCCAAGAAAGGGUUCUUGCCAGUUUUACAAGGUACGAGAUUGAGUAAGACUCAGUGCCCAGCAACUGAUAAAGAUAGAGAGCAUAUGAGCACCGUCCCCUAUGCUUCAGCCAUAGGAUCUAUCAUGUAUGCAAUGUUGUGCACUAGACCGGACGUUAGCCUGGCCAUAAGUAUGGCAGGCAGGUUCCAGAGUAAUCCAGGAGUGGAUCACUAGACGGCGGUCAAGAAUAUCCUGAAGUACCUGAAAAGGACUAAGGAGAUGUUUCUCGUGUAUGGAGGUGACGAAGAGCUCGCCGUAAAAGGUUACGUCGAUGCAAGCUUUGACACAGAUCCGGACGACUCUAAGUCGCAAACCGGAUACGUAUUUAUUCUUAAUGGGGGUGCGGUAAGCUGGUGCAGUUCCAAGCAAAGCGUCGUAGCAGAUUCUACAUGUGAAGCGGAGUACGUGGCUGCCUCAGAGGCGGCUAAGGAGGGUGUCUGGAUGAAGCAGUUCAUGACGGAUCUUGGAGUGGUGCCAAGCGCACUGAAUCCAAUAACCUUGUUCUGUGACAACACGGGUGCCAUUGCCUUAGCAAAGGAACCACGGUUUCACAAGAAGCCCAGACACAUCAAACGACGCUUCAACCUCAUCCGCGACUACGUCGAAGGGGAGGACGUAAAUAUAUGCAAAGUACACACGGAUCUGAAUGUAGCAGAACCGCUGACUAAACCUCUUCCACGGCCAAAGCAUGAUCAACACCAGAACUGUAUGGGUGUUAGAUUUAUUACAAUGUAAUUUGCAUGAUGAUGUGAGGGCUAGAUUAUUGACUCUAGUGCAAGUGGGAGACNNNNNNNNNNNNNNNNNNNNNNNNNNNNNNNNNNNNNNNNNNNNNNNNNNNNNNNNNNNNNNNNNNNNNNNNNNNNNNNNNNNNNNNNNNNNNNNNNNNNUUAUGGGAAGUGAUGGAUUCACAUAUAAAAAUAAUGAUGAUUGAAACUUGUUGAGGGUAGACAAACAUAGACCUUGGUCAUUGUUGCAAUUAAUAGGAAGUGAUGAAGAAGGAGAGGUUCACAUAUAAAUAUAUCAUCUUUGACACCAUCUAUGAUUAUGAACACUCACUAAACUAUUGCAUGCUUAGAAGUAGAUGUUAGACAAGGAAGACAACAUAAUGAAUUAUGCUUGCUUGGUUUUGAAAAUGAUUAUAUGACUAGAGAUCCCUUAGCAUGUGACGAUUGCUUCCACCUCAUAUCAGCCAAAACUCCGCACUAAGUAGAGAUACUACUUGUGCAUGCACAAACCUUCAACCCCAGUUUUGCCAUGAGAGUCCACCAUACCUACCUAUGGAUUGAAUAAGAUCCCUCAAGUAAGUUGUCAUCGGUGCAAGCAAUAAAAAUUGCUCCCUAAUAUGUAUGAUCUAUUAGUUUGUGGAAAAUAAGCUUUGUAAGAACCUGUGAUGAGGAAGACAUAAAAGCGACAGACUGCAUAAUAAAGUUCUUUGUCACAGGAGGCAAUAUAAAGUGACGUUCCUCCACGCUAAGAGGACACACAUCCAAACCUCAAAAGCGCAUGACAACCUCUGCUUCCCUCUGCGAAGGGCCUAUCUUUUACCUUUACUUUUUGCCCCUAAAAGAGUCAUGGUGAUCUUCACUAAUUCCUUAUUUUGCCUUUAUCUUGGCUAACGUCAUAUGCUAGGGAAAGAUCUAUAUUCAUAUGUCAACUUGGAAGUAAGUAUUCAUGAAUUAUUAUUGUUGACAUUACCCUUGAGGUAAACAGUUGGGAGGCGAAACUAUAAGCCCCUAUCUUUCUCUGUGUCCGACUAAAACUUUGAUCUCAUGAGUACCACGUGAGUUGUAGCAAUUGUAGAAGACGAAAGGAUGAUUGAGUAGGUGGAUUUGAUUUACAAGCUCUUACUUGACUCUUUCCGAUGUUACGAUAAAUUGCAAUUGCUUCAAUGACUAAAGGCUAUUGGUUGUUAAUUCUCAGUAAGGUUCUUGAUUCAUACUUUACUUUGUGAAGGAAUUGUCACUUUAGCAUGAGAAAUUAUAUGAUGUUAUUGCUGUUCUGACCAUGAUAAUGAUGCCUGCAUAUCUGUAUCUUGUUUUGUCGACACCUCUCUCUCUAAACAUGUGGCAUAUUUAUUGAUCUCGGCCUUCGCUUGAGGACAAGCGAGGUCUAAGCUUGGGGGAGUUGAUACGUCCAUUUUGCGUCAUGCUUUCAUGUUGAUAUUUAUCGCUUUAUGGGCUGUUAUUACACUUCACGGUACAAUACUUAUGCCUUUUCUCUCUUAUUUUGCAAGGUUUACAUGAAGAGGGAGAAUGCCGAGAGCUGGAAUUCUGGCCUGAAAAAGGAGCAAGUUUGAGAUACCUAUUCCGCGCAACUCCAAAAGCCGUGAAAAUCAACGAGGAUUUAUUUUGGAAUUUAUAAAAAAUACUGGGCCAAAGAUGUUGGGGAACGUCGCAUGGGAAACAAAAAUUUUCCUACGCGCACGAAGACCUAUCAUGGUGAUGUCCAUCUACGAGAGGGGAUUUCUGAUCUACGUACCCUUGUAGAUCGCACAGCAGAAGCGUUAGUGAACGCGGUUGAUGUAGUGGAACGUCCUCACGUCCCUCGAUCCGCCCCGCGAACCGUCCCACGAACCGUCCCGCGACCCGUCCCACGAUCUAGUGCCGAACGGACGGCACCUCCGCGUUCAGCACACGUACAGCUCAACGAUGAUCUCAGCCUUCUUGAUCCAGCAAGAGAGACGGAGAGGUAGAUGAGUUCUCCGGCAGCGUGACGGCGCUCCGGAGGUUGGUGGUGAUCUAAUCUCAGCAGGGCUCCGCCCGAGCUCCGCAGAAACGCGAUCUAGAGGUAAAACCGUGGAGGUAUGUGGUCGGGCUGCCUUGAAAAAGUUGUCUCAAAUCAGCCCUAAUAGCUCCAUAUAUAUAGGAGGAGGGAGGGGAGGUUUUCCUUGAGGCUCAAGGAGCCCCAAGGGCUGCGCACCAAGGGGAGGAGGAGUCCUCCUCCAAUCCUAGUCCAACUAGGAUUGGAAGGUGGAGUCCUUCUCUCCCUUCCCACCUCCUUUUUUCUCUUUGAUUUUCUAUCUAUGGCGCAUAGCGCCUUCUUGGGCUGUCCCACUAGUCCACCAAGGGCUGGUGCGCCACCCCCAAGGCCUAUGGGCUCCCCCGGGGUGGGCUGCCCCCCCGGUGAACACCCGGGACCCAUUCGUCAUUCCCGGUACAUUCCCGGUAACUCCGAAAACCUUCCGGUAAUCAAAUGAGGUCAUCCUAUAUAUCAAUCUUCGUUUCCAGACCAUUUCGGAAACCCUCGUGAUGUCCGUGAUCUCAUCCGGGACUCCGAACAACAUUCGGUAACCAACCAUAUAACUCAAAUACACAUAAAACAACGUCGAACCUUAAGUGUGCAGACCCUGCGGGUUCGAGAACUAUGUAGACAUGACCCGAGUGACUCCUCGAUCAAUACCCAAUAGCGGGACCUGGAUGCCCAUAUUGGAUCCCACAUAUUCUACGAAGAUCUUAUCGUUUGAACCUCAGUGCCAAGGAUUCAUAUAAUCCCGUAUAUCAUUCCCUUUGUCCUUCGGUAUGUUACUUGCCCGAGAUUCGAUCGUCAGUAUCCGCAUACCUAUUUCAAUCUCGUUUACCGGCAAGUCUCUUUACUCGUUCCGUAAUACAAGAUCCCGCAACUUACACUAAGUCACAUUGCUUGCAAGGCUUGUGUGUGAUGUUGUAUUACCGAGUGGGCCCCAAGAUACCUCUCCGUCACACGGAGUGAUAAAUCCCAGUCUCGAUCCAUACUAACUCAAUGAACACCUUCGGAGAUACCUGUAGAGCAUCUUUAUAGUCACCCAGUUACGUUGCGACGUUUGAUACACACAAAGCAUUCCUCCGGUGUCAGUGAGUUAUAUGAUCUCAUGGUCAUAGGAACAAAUACUUGACACGCAGAAAACAGUAGCAACAAAAUGACAUGAUCAACAUGUUACGUCUAUUAGUUUGGGUCUAGUCCAUCACGUGAUUCUCCUAAUGACGUGAUCCAGUUAUCAAGCAACAACACCUUGUACAUAGUCAGAAGACCCUAACUAUCUUUGAUGAACUGGCUAGCCAACUAGAGGCUUGCUAGGGACAGUGUUUUCUCUAUGUAUCCACACAUGUAUAUAAGUCUUCAUUCAAUACAAUUAUAGCACGGAUAAUAAAUGAUUAUCUUGAUAAAGGAAUUAUAAUAAUAACUAUAUUUAUUAUUGCCUCUAGGGCAUAAUUCCAACAGUGUCCCACUUGCACUAGAGUCAAUAAUCUAGCCCUCACAUCACCAUGUGAAUUACAUUGUAAUAAAUCUAACUCGCAUACAGUUCUGGUGUUGAUCAUGCUUUGCCCGUGGAAGAGGUUUAGUCAACGGGUCUGCUAUAUUCAGAUACGUGUGUACUUUGCAUAUAUUUACGUCCUCCCCUUCGACGUAGUCGCGGAUGAGGUUGAAGCGUCGUUUGAUGUGUCUGGUCUUCUUGUGAAACCGUGGUUCCUUUGCUAAGGCAAUGGCACCCGUGUUGUCACAGAACAAGGUUAUUGGAUUCAGUGCGCUUGGCACCACUCCAAGAUCCGUCAUGAACUGCUUCAUCCAGACACCCUCCUUAGUCGCCUCCGAGGCAGCCAUGUACUCCGCUUCACAUGUAGAAUCAGCUACGACGCUUUGCUUGGAACUGCACCAGCUUACCGCACCCCCAUUAAGAAUAAAUACGUAUCCGGUCUGCGACUUAGAGUCGUCCGGAUCUGUGUCAAGGCUUGCAUCGACGUAACCCUUUACGAAGAGCUCUUCGUCACCUCCAUACACGAGAAACAUCUCCUUAGUCCUUUUCAGGUACUUCAGGAUAUUCUUGACCGCCGUCCAGUGAUCCACUCCUGGAUUACUCUGGAACCUGCCUGCCAUACUUAUGGCCAGGCUAACGUCCGGUCUAGUGCACAACAUUGCAUACAUGAUAGAUCCUAUGGCUGAAGCAUAGGGGACGUGCUCAUAUGCUCUCUAUCUUUAUCAGUUGCUGGGCACUGAGUCUUACUCAAUCUCGUACCUUGUAAAACUGGCNUUGUAAUAAAUCUAACUCGCAUACAGUUCUGGUGUUGAUCAUGCUUUGCCCGUGGAAGAGGUUUAGUCAACGGGUCUGCUAUAUUCAGAUACGUGUGUACUUUGCAUAUAUUUACGUCCUCCCCUUCGACGUAGUCGCGGAUGAGGUUGAAGCGCGUUUGAUGUGUCUGGUCUUCUUGUGAAACCGUGGUUCCUUUGCUAAGGCAAUGGCACCCGUGUUGUCACAGAACAAGGUUAUUGGAUUCAGUGCGCUUGGCACCACUCCAAGAUCCGUCAUGAACUGCUUCAUCCAGACACCCUCCUUAGUCGCCUCCGAGGCAGCCAUGUACUCCGCUUCACAUGUAGAAUCAGCUACGACGCUUUGCUUGGAACUGCACCAGCUUACCGCACCCCCAUUAAGAAUAAAUACGUAUCCGGUCUGCGACUUAGAGUCGUCCGGAUCUGUGUCAAGGCUUGCAUCGACGUAACCCUUUACGAAGAGCUCUUCGUCACCUCCAUACACGAGAAACAUCUCCUUAGUCCUUUUCAGGUACUUCAGGAUAUUCUUGACCGCCGUCCAGUGAUCCACUCCUGGAUUACUCUGGAACCUGCCUGCCAUACUUAUGGCCAGGCUAACGUCCGGUCUAGUGCACAACAUUGCAUACAUGAUAGAUCCUAUGGCUGAAGCAUAGGGGACGGUGCUCAUAUGCUCUCUAUCUUUAUCAGUUGCUGGGCACUGAGUCUUACUCAAUCUCGUACCUUGUAAAACUGGCAAUAACCCUUUCUUGGACUGUUCCAUUUUGAACCUCUUCAAAACUUUAUCAAGGUAUGUGCUUUGUGAAAUUCCUAUCAAGCGUUUCGAACUAUCCCUAUAGAUCUUAAUGCCUAGAAUGUAAGCAGCUUCUCCUAGGUCCUUCAUAGAGAAACUUUUAUUCAAGUAAUCCUUUACGCUCUCGAAAAACUCUACGUUGUUUUCAAUCAGCAAUAUGUCAUCCACAUAUAAUAUUAGAAACGCCACAGAGCUCCCACUCACUUUCUUGUAAAUACAAGAUUCUCCAACCACUUGUAUAAACCCAAAUGCUUUGAUCACCUCAUCAAAGCGUUUGUUCCAACUCCGAGAUGCUUGCACCAGUCCAUAAAUGGAUCGCUGGAGCUUGCAUACCUUGUUUGCAUUUUUAGGAUCGACAAAACCUUCGGGUUGCAUCAUAUACAACUCUUCCUUAAGGAAACCGUUAAGGAACGCCGUUUUGACAUCCAUCUGCCAGAUUUCAUAAUCGAAAAAUGCAGCUAUUGCUAACAUGAUUCUGACGGGCUUAAGCAUCGCUACAGGUGAGAAUGUCUCAUCGUAGUCAACUCCUUGAACUUGUGAAAAACCCUUUGCCACAAGUCGAGCUUUAUUAUAAAUGGUCACAUUCCCGUCUGCGUCCGUCUUCUUCUUAAAGAUCCAUUUGUUCUGAAUAGUCUUGUGGCCCUCAGGUAGUACUUCCAAAGUCCACACUUUGUUUUCAUACAUGGAUCCUAUCUCGGACUUCAUGGCCUCCAGCCAUUUGUUGGAAUCUGGGCCCACCAUUGCUUCUUCAUAAUUUGCAGGUUCAUUGUUGUCUAACAACUUGAUUGACAAAACGGGAUUACUGUACCACUCUGGAGCAGCACGUGGUCUCGUCGACCUGUGUGGUUCGAUAGGAACUUGAACCGAAGUUUCAUGAUCAUCAUCAUUAACUUCCUCCUCAACCGGCGUCGCAACGACACGGGUUUCUCCUUGCCCUGCGCCACCAUCCAGAGGGAUCAGAGGUUUGACAACCUCAUCAAGUUCUAUAUUCCUCCCACUCAAUUCUCUCGAGAGAAACUCCUUCUCGAGAAAAGCUCCGUUUUUAGCAACAAACACUUUGCCCUCGGAUUUGAGAUAGAAGGUGUACCCAACUGUCUCUUUUGGGUAACCUAUGAAGAUGCACUUUUCCGCUUUGGGUUCCAGCUUUUCAGGCUGAAGCUUUUUGACAUAAGCAUCACAUCCCCAAACUUUAAGAAACGACAACUUUGGCCUUUUGCCAUACCACAAUUCGUAUGGUGUCGUCUCAAUGGAUUUUGAUGGUGCCCUAUUUAAAGUGAAUGCAGCUGUGUCUAAUGCAUAACCCCAAAACGAUAACGGCAAAUCGGUAAGAGACAUCAUAGAUUGCACCAUCUCUAAUAAAGUACGAUUACGGCGUUCGGACACACCAUUACGCUGUGGUGUUCGAGGCGGUGUCAACUGUGAAACAAUUCCACAUUGUCUUAAGUGAGCACCAAACUCAAAACUCAGAUAUUCACCCCCACGAUCAGACCGUAGGAACUUGAUCUUCUUGUUACGAUGAUUUUCAACUUCACUAUGAAAUUGCUUGAACUUUUCAAAUGUUUCAGACUUGUGCUUCAUUAAGUAGACAUAACCAUAUCUACUCAAAUCGUCAGUGAAGGUGAGAAAAUAACGAUAUCCGCCGCGUGCCUCCACGCUCAUCGGACCGCACACAUCGGUAUGUAUGAUUUCCAACAAGUCACUGGCACGCUCCAUUGUUCCAGAGAACGGAGUUUUAGUCAUCUUUUCCAUGAGGCAUGGUUCGCACGUGUCAAGUGAAUCAAAGUCAAGUGACUCCAAAAGUCCAUCGGUAUGGAGUUUCUUCAUGCGCUUUACACCAAUAUGACCUAAGCAGCAGUGCCACAAAAACAUGGCGCUAUCAUUGUUAACUCUAACUCUUUUUGUCUCAAUGUUAUGUAUAUGUGUAUUAUCACUAUCAAGAUUCAAUAUGAACAAUCCUCUCACAUUGGGUGCAUGACCAUAAAAGAUGUUACUCAUAGAAAUAGAACAACCAUUAUUCUCUGACUUAAAAGAGUAACCGUCUCGCAAUAAACAAGAUCCAGAUAUAAUGUUCAUGCUCAACGCAGGCACUAAAUAACAAUUAUUCAAGUUCAUAACUAAUCCUGAUGGUAACUGAAGUGAAACUAUGCCGACGACGAUUGCAUCAACCUUGGAACAUUUCCUACGCGCAUCGUCACUUCAUCUUUCGCCAGCCUUCGCCUAUUCCGCAGUUCUUGUUUCGAGUUGCAAAUAUGAGCAACAAAACCGGUAUCGAAUACCCAGGCACUACUACGAGAGACGGUUAAGUACACAUCAAUAACAUGUAUAUCAAACAUACCUGAUUUUUCUUUGGCUGCCUUCUUAUCAGUCAGACACUUGGGGCAGUUGCGCUUCCAGUGACCCAUACACUUGCAAUAGUAGCACUCUGUUUCAGGCUUAGGUCCAGCUUUGGAUUUCUUCGUCGGAUUGGCAACAGGCUUGCCGCUCUUCUUUGAAUUACCCUUCUUCCCUUUGCCGUUUCUCUUGAAACUAGUGGUCUUAUUCACCAUCAACACUUGAUGCUCUUUACGGAGUUCUGACUCUGCGACUUUCAGCAUCGCAAACAACUUGCCGGGUGAUUUGUUCAUCCCUUGCACGUUGUAGUUCAACACAAAGCCCUUAUAGCUUGCGGCAGUGAUUGAAGAAUUCUGUCAGUGAUAGCCUCUUGCGGGAGUUCAAUCCCCAGCUCAGCUAGACGGUUUGAGUACCCAGACAUUUUGAGCACAUGUUCACUGACAGACGAAUUCUCCUCCAUCUUGCAAGCAUAGAAUUUAUCGGAGGUCUCAUACCUCUCGAACCGGGCAUUCAUCUGAAAGAUAAACUUCAACUCCUGGAACAUCUCAUAUGCUCCAUGACGCUCAAAGAAACGUUGAAGUCUCGGCUCUAAGCCAUACAAGACUGCACAUUGAACUACUGAGUAGUCCUCCUUACGUGUUAACCAAGCGUUCUUAACAUCUUGGUCAGCCGUAGCGGGUUGUUCAUCUCCUAGCGCAGCAUUAAGGACAUAAUCCUUCUUCCCAGCUUGUAGGAUCAACUUAAGAUUACGAGCCCAGUCUACAAAGUUGCUUCCAUCAUCUUUCAACUUAGCUUUCUCUAGGAACGUAUUAAAAUUCAGGGUGACUAUCGCGUGAGCCAUGAUCUACAACACAAAUAUAUUCAAAGUGGACUUAGACUAUGUUCAAGAUAAUUAGAGUUUAACUUAAUCAAAUUACUUGCUAAACUCCCACUCAAAAAAUACAUCUCUCUAGUCAUUUGAGUGGUUCAUGACCCACUUACACUAGCUCAAGUCCGAUCAUCACCUGAGUUGAGUAUAGUUUCAGUGGUAAGCAUCCCUAUGCUAAACAUAUGAACUAUAUGAUUCAUGAUCGACCUUUCGGUCUCAUGUGUUCCGAGGCCAUGUCUGCACAUGCUAGGCUCGUCAAGCUUAACUCGAGUGUUCCGCGUGUGCAACUGUUUUGCACCCAUUGUAUGUGAACGUUGAGUCUAUCACACCCGAUCAUCACGUGGUGUCUCGAAACGACGAACUGUAGCAACGGUGCACAGUCAGUGAGAACACAAUUUCGUCUUGAAAUUUUAGUGAGAGAUCACCUCAUAAUGCUACCGUCGUUCUAAGCAAAAUAAGGUGCAUAAAAGGAUUAACAUCACAUGCAAUUCAUAAGUGACAUGAUAUGGCCAUCAUCACGUGCUUCUUGAUCUCCAUCACCAAAGCACCGGCAUGAUCUUCUUUGUCACCAGCGCCACACCAUGAUCUCCAUCAACGUGUCGCCAUCGGGGUUGUCGUGCUACUCAUGCUAUUACUACUAAAGCUACAUCCUAGCAAUAUAGUAAACGCAUCUGCAAGCACAAACGUUAGUUUAAAGACAACCGUAUGGCUCCUGCCGGUUGCCGUACCAUCGACGUGAAAGUCGAAAUUAUCUAUUACAACAUGAUCAUCUCAUACAUCCAAUAUAUCACAUCACAUUGUUGGCCAUAUCACAUCACAAGCAUACCCUGCAAAAACAAGUUAGACGUCCUCUAAUUUGUUGUUGCAUGUUUUACGUGGUGACCAUGAGUAUCUAGUAGGAUCGCAUCUUACUUACGCAAACACCACAACGGAGAUAUAUGAAUUGCUAUUUAACCUAAUCCAAGGACCUCCUCGGUCAAAUCUAAUUCAACUAAAGUUGGAGAAACCGACACUUGCCAGUCAUCUUUGAGCAACGGAGUUACUCGUAGCGAUGAAACCAAUCUCUCGUAAGCGUACGAGUAAUGUCGGUCCAAGCCGCUUCAAUCCAACAAUACCGCGAAAUCAAGAAAAGACUAAGGAGGGUAGCAAGACGCACAUCACCGCCCACAAAAACUUUUGUGUUCUACUCGAGAUUACAUCUACGCAUGAACCUAGCUCAUGAUGCCACUGUUGGGGAACGUCGCAUGGGAAACACAAAUUCUCCUACGCGCACGAAGACCUAUCAUGGUGAUGUCCAUCUACGAGAGGCGAUUUCCGAUCUACGUACCCUUGUAGAUCGCACAGCAGAAGCGUUAGUGAACGCGGUUGAUGUAGUGGAACGUCCUCACGUCCCUCGAUCCGCCCCGCGAACCGUCCCACAAACUGUCCCGCGAUCCGUCCCACGAUCUAGUGCCGAACGAAAGGCACCUCCGCGUUCAGCACACGUACAGCUCGACGAUGAUCUCGGCCUUCUUGAUCCAGCAAGAGAGACGGAUAGGUAGAUGAGUUCUCCGGCAGCAUGACGGCGCUCCGGAGGUUGGUGGUGAACUAAUCUCAGCAGGGCUCCGCCCGAGCUCCGCAGAAACGCGAUCAAGAGGUAAAACCGUGGAGGUAUGUGGUCAGGCUGCCUUGAAAAAGUUGUCUCAAAUCAGCCCUAAUAGCUCCGUAUAUAUAGGAGGAGGGAGGGGAGGCUUGCCUUGAGGCUCAAGGAGCCCCAAGGGCUGCGCACCAAGGGGAGGAGGAGUCCUCCUCAAUCCUAGUCCAACUAGGAUUGGAAGGUGGAGUCCUUCUCUCCCUUCCCACCUCCUUUUUUUCUUUUCUCUUUGAUUUUCUAUCUAUGGCGCAUCGGGCCUUCUUGGGCUGUCCCACCAGCCCACCAAGGGCUGGUGCACCACCCCCAAGGCCUAUGGGCUUCCCGGGGUGGGCUGCCCCCCCCGGUGAACAUCUGGAACCCAUUCGUCAUUCCCGGUACAUUCCCGGUAACUCCGAAAACCUUCCGAUAAUCAAAUGAGCUCAUCCUAUAUAUCAAUCUUCCUUUCCGGACCAUUCCGGAAACCCUCGUGACGUCCGUGAUCUCAUCCGGGACUCCGAACAACAUUCGGUAACCAACCAUAUAACUCAAAUACGCAUAAAACAACGUCGUACCUUAAGUGUGCAGACCCUGCGGGUUCGAGAACUAUGUAGACAUGACCCGAUUGACUCCUCGGUCAAUAGCCAAUAGCGGGACCUGGAUGCCCAUAUUAGAUCCCACAUAUUCGACGAAGAUCUUAUCGUUUGAACCUCAGUGCCACGGAUUCAUACAAUCCCGUAUGUCAUUCCCUUUGUCCUCGGUAUGUUACUUGCCCGAGAUUCGAUCGUCAGUAUCCGCAUACCUAUUUCAAUCUCGUUUACCGGCAAGUCUCUUUACUCGUUCCGCAAUACAAGAUCCCGCAACUUACACUAAGUUACAUUGCUUGCAAGGCUUGUGUGUGAUGUUGUAUUACCGAGUGGGCCCCAAGAUACCUCUCCGUCACACGGAGUGACAAAUCCCAGUCUCGAUCCAUACUAACUCAACGAACACCUUCGGAGAUACCUGUAGAGCAUCUUUAUAGUCACCCAGUUACGUCGCGACGUUUGAUACACACAAAGCAUUCCUCCGGUGUCAGUGAGUUAUAUGAUCUCAUGGUCAUAGGAACAAAUACUUGACAUGCAGAAAACAGUAGCAACAAAAUGACACGAUCAACAUGCUACGUCUAUUAGUUUGGGUCUAGUCCAUCACGUGAUUCUCCUAAUGACGUGAUCCAGUUAUCAAGCAACAACACCUUGUACAUAGUCAGAAGACCCUGACUAUCUUUGAUCAACUGGCUAGCCAACUAGAGGCUUGCUAGGGACAGUGUUUUGUCUAUGUAUCCACACAUGUAUAUAAGUCUUCAUUCAAUACAAUUAUAGCACGGAUAAUAAACGAUUAUCUUGAUACAGGAAUUAUAAUAAUAACGAUAUUUAUUAUUGCCUCUAGGGCAUAAUUCCAACAAAAGAAGUACCAGAGGGGAGCCAGUAAGAGGCCACAAGCCUGCUAGGCGUGACCUACCCCCCUGGCCGCGCCUAGGGGGCUCGUGGGCUCUCUGCUGGCCCUCUGGCCCCCCUCUUUUGCUAUAAGGAGGGUUUCGUUCCAGAAAAAAUCAGGAGGAGGCUUUCGGGAGGAAUCGCCGCCGCCACGAGGCGGAACUUGAGCAGAACCAAUCUAGAGCUCCGGCAGUGUCCUCCUGCCGGGGAAACUUCCCUCCCAGAGGGGGAAAUCGUCGCCAUCGUCAUGACCAACACUCCUCUCAUCGGAGGGGACUCGUCACCAUCAACAUCUUCAUCAGCACCAUCUCAUCUCCAAACCCUAGUUCAUCUCUUGUAACCAAUCUUCGUCUCGCGACUCCGAUUGGUACUUGUAAGGUUGCUAGUAGUGUUAAUUACUCUUUGUAGUUGAUGCUAGUUGGAUUACUUGGUGGAAGAUUAUAUGUUCAGAUCUUUGAUGCUAUUCAAUAUCUCUCUGGUCAUGCAUAUUAUUAUGCUUUGUGAGUAGUCACUUUUGUUCCCGAGGACACGGGAUAAGUCUUGCUAUAAAUAGUCAUGUGAAUUUGGUAUUCGUUCGAUAUUUUGAUGUGUUGUAUGUUGUCUCUCCUCUAGUGGUGUUAUGUGAACGUCGACUACAUAACACUUCACCAUUAUUUGGGCCUAGAGGAAGGCAUUGGGAAGUAGUAAGUAGAUGAUGGGUUGCUAGAGUGACAGAAGCUUAAACCCUAGCUUAUGUGUUGCUUCGUAAGGGGCUGAUUUGGAUCCACUAGUUUAAUGCUAUGGUUAGACUUUGUCUUAAUUCUACUUUCGUAGUUGCGGAUGCUUGCGAGAGGGGUUAAUCAUAAGUGGGAUUCUUGUCGAAGUAAGGACAGUACCCAAGCGCCGGUCCACCCACAUAUCAAACUAUCAAAGUAGCGAACGCGAAUCAUAUGAACAUGAUGAAAACUAGCUUGACAGAAAUUCCCGUUUGUCCUCGGGAGCGGUUUACCUCCUAUAAGAGUUUGUCCUGGCUUGUCCCUUGCUACAAAAUGGAUUGGGCCACUUUGCUGCACCUUUGUUACUGUUGUUACUUGCUACUUUCUCCGAAUCAUCUUGUCACACAACUGCAUGUUACUGACAAUUUCAGUGCUUGCAGAGAUUACCUUGCUGAAAACCACUUGUCAGAUCCUUCUGCUCCUCGUUGGUUCGACACUCUUACUUAUCGAAAGGACUACAAUAGAUCCCCUACACUUGUGGGUCAUCAAUCAUUGACAUGAAAUAAGGGACCAUUAAAUUCCAAUUUCCCCUUAAAAAUGGAAUGGAACACUUCCCUUGUAAGAAGAUUAAGUUACCUUAUGAGUCCGUUACUCGGGUAAGUUAUUAUUUUGGAGUUGAUAAUACUUGAUCUUUUUUGCAUUAUGCCUAGCUCAAAGGCAUAAAAGAAAGCGCUUGUUGGGAGGUAACCCAAUUUGUUUUUACUUUCAGUUUAAGUUGUCUUGAUGCUUGUUACUACUGUGGCAACAUCAUUGUAUCUUUAUUUUCAAGAUUUGUACCAAGUUUUAGCCUCCGAUUGCAAGAAAGUUCAAAAGUUGUGACAUCCUGUCGAGAAACAGAUUCUGUAUGCUUGACAAAAAAAUUUGCCUCAUAUCACGAGGUAAUCUUUUUUAUCUGAAUUUUUUUGACACGAUGCUCUAUAUAAUUAUCUUUCCGGCGUAUGUUCUGAGUUUUUUUAUUUGAGUUGCAGAAGUGCCUCGAAAAAAUUAUUUACUACCUGCUGUUUUGUUUUUCACAGAUUCUGCCACGUUUUGCGUUUUCAUCAUUUUGCAAAUCUUAAGCUUUGUUUUUAUUUGCAAAAACCUUUUGGCAAUCUUGAUAAACAGUAGCUCUUAAUGAAUUUUUUUAUUUCAGUAGAGAAUAAGUUAUUUAUUAUGGGCACUAACCACUCUAAUCAGCUUAUGAUGAGUUUCGUAUGAAGGGAGUUUUCAAGUAUGCUAUGGAAGAUGAUGAAAGAAGAUCCAGGAGUGUCAAGCGCUCAAGCUUGGGGAUGCCCCCAUGCACCCCAAGAAAUAUUCAAGGAGACUCAAGCGUCUAAGCUUGGGGAUGCCCCCAUGCAUCCCCUUCUCCAUCAACAAUCAUCAGUUCGUCCAUCUCUAUGCUAUAUUUUUCUCACUUCAUAUGUUAUGUGCUAUGCUUGGAGCGUCUCACUCUUUACUUUUUAGUUUGUUUUAGUUUUUCUUGCUGUUCAUAACAAGUUGGAACCUAGCCUUCUUUGUUUGGGAGAGAAACACGCUCCACUCCACCUUAGAACACAACAUAGGUUUUCAUGCUUAUCUUUUUGUGUGUUCUUUAUCUUUCCAUAGCUACUGUCAUGCUUAGCUAUUACUCCCUCCGUUUCUAAAUAUAAGUCUUUUUAGAUGUUUCACUAAUAGACUACAUACGGAUGAAUGUAGACAUAUUUUAGAGUAUAGGUUCAUUCUAUUUUACUUCGAAUGUAGUCUUUUAGUGAAAUCUCUAAAAAGACUUAUAUUUAGGAACGGAGGGAGUAGUUUUCAUGCUUUAUCUUUUUAAGAGAUUUUAUUUAGGUUGCUUUUGAAACUCUCUUGAGUUAUCAUGCUUAUCUUGUUUAGAGAGUUGGCUUGUUGCACUGAGUUGGGUGUCUUGCAUGUGUAGGUAAUUGAGGUUGCUAUUUAAGUAUAGUAGUAACUUGCAACAAUUUUGAGGUAUUGUUUUGAGAAAUGUUUGGACUAUUGGUGCCAAGAGCUUGAGCCUAUUAGUGAUAGGUGUCGUAUUUUGGGAAAUCCGUGUGUUUUUCAAAACAAAAAAAUUAGUUGAGAACUCUAGCUACUAGAUGAAUCGCUAACCUCUGGUUGGGUUGGAAUAUAUAGAGUACCCUCACGUUACCGUAGGUCGAGGAUGCACAAGGAUAACCAAACCCCCAAACACUCCUCCUCGGGGUGCUUGUCUCUUUGUAAAUCUCCUAACAAGAUAGAGACUUACCGAUAACAAGUGCAUGAGUUCUUCAGACUAAUGUGAGUAUUCGAUUGUUGCCACUUCCACCACCAUAUUUUGCUAGCCUCUUUGGUACCGUGUAUUACCUUUUCUCAUCUUGAGAGUUGGUGCAAACUCCGCCGGUGCAUCCAAACCCUUGGCAUGAUACGCACUGCCAUCAUAAGCCUCAUUAUAUCUUUCCUCAAAACAACCACCAUACCUACCUAUUAAGGCAUUUCCAUAGCCUUUCUGAGAUACAUUGCCAUGCAACAUCCACGACCUCAUGACUUGAUCUUCAUGUCAUACAUGCUUUUGCUUGAUCGAGGAGCCGCAUGCUAGUUGGGCCUUGCCCUUGUUAUUGCUACAUGACGCGCUAGUUUCAUUGCAUAUCCUGCUACACUCGCACAUGCAUACAUUUGCAUACAUCAUGAUAGUUUUCAUUUGUCUUUAUGUUGAGUAUUUCUUAUAAAGUGUGAAGAUCUUCCUUUUACUCUUGUAAAACAUAGAGUGUUUCCCUUAAGUGAGGAAAGGAUCCCAAAGAGGACAAAUGAAAAGAUCCCAAAGAGGACAAAUGAAAAGAUCCCAAAGAGGACAAAUGAGAGAUAAAUAUAAAGAGCCAAAGAGGCCACAAAAAAAGAAAUAAAAAGAGAGAAGGGAGGAAACACUACUAUUCCUUUUGAAAGAUCCACACUCGUACUCCAUUGUUAUAUUUGUACUCCAUAGAGAUUAUCAUUCAUGCAUGACUAUGUGGGGACCCAUACACUAUAGAACUUGGCUUGUAUAUUCCAAUGAUGAGCCUCCUCAAAUGAGCUCUAGGUCUUCAUGAGGAAGAAAGUUGGAUGCACCCCCACUAGUUCCAUUGGAGGGCUUACCUUAGCUCAUAUGUGCAUCCGUUGCAUGGCAAUCCCUACUCCUCACAACAUAUCUAUCAUUUGGCUUUCUCUCGCCUAUGGUUGUCCUCAUUGAUGUGAGCCUUUCACUACUUUUUUUUGUCUUCCUUCUCCAUAAAUAUUCUCUUUGUCAUCCUAAGUACCAACAUAUCUUUCUUGCGCUUAUCCAUUGCAUGAGUGCUCAAAGUCGAAAGGGAGAGGAUCAUUUUGACUUGUGCCUGACUAGUGGUCUGGGGAUGAGUCAAAAUAAGAUUCCGGAGGAGACCAAGUGUGAAGUUUUAGUAGAUUGAGUUCUUAAUUAAAAACUAUUUUUAUGCUCUAAACCCAUCUCCCACUUCUUGCACGCAAACACCAUUUGGAUACAUUCGAGUCACGAACAGCGAGGGCUCUUGCACCUUUAUGUUCUUACUUUGCUAUUUUCAAUACUAAAUAUAGACUCUUGCUUGUUAUUGUCUUGACUUGAAUUGCAUAUCUCACUUGCUUUACUUUGAAGUUCUUAUAUGUGUGUUAGCAUGUCACCAUAGAAAUUAUUUGUGUUAUCAUUUACCUACUCGAGGACGAGCAGGAAUUAAGCUUGGGGAUGUUGAUAUCCCAAACGUAUCUAUAAUUUCUGCUUGUUCCAUGAUCUUUUUGGUGAAAUUGUUAUAUGUUUUGCUACACUUUCAUACCUUUUUACACAUAUUUGGACUAACCUACUAACUGAGUGCACCCAGUGCCAGUUUCUGUCUGCUGAUGUCUUUUUUCCAGGGACUUUUACCCCAAUUUAUAGAGUCCCAAAAAUCCCGAGAAAAAUAUAUAAAAAUCAGCAUGACGGAAGCUUUCAGAACACCGAAGAUGGGCCAGAGGGGAGCCAGGGCCUGCCCAGGCGUCCUCGCUGUGCGGCUUGCCCCUGGUCGCGCCCACAGGUCGGCUCGGUGGGGUCCACCUCCUCUGACGCCCUCCUUUGGCCUAUAUUUACCCCUCCGAUCGAAAACCCUUCCAUCAUAUCCAGAAUCACGAAUUUCUCCAUCGUUCUGCCGCCGCAGCGCUUCAGAGAUCGGGAGCGUCACAAGAUCUCUUCCCGGCACCCUGUCGGAGGGAGGAUUGACCUCCAGGAGCUCGUCCACCGCCAUAGACGCUUCCCGGAUGUGCCGUGAGUAGUCCUCCUUGGACCAUGAGUCCAUGACCAGUAGUUAUGUGAUGUCUUCUCUCCAAUCUUGUGCUUCAAUGAUUAGCCCUUGUGAGCUGCCCUACAUGAUCAAGGCAUCUAUGUAAUUUUCCUGAUAUUCCUAUGCUUGGUUUCUGGGAACCGAUGGAUUAUGAGAUUAUAUUCAGAUCAUGAUGAGUUAUAUAUUUGAUUAUCCUUUUAUAUGAUGUUCUUUUGUGAUUCAUGCAUGUUCUCCGUUGCUUUUUAUUGCUUUGGCCGAGUAGUAGAUUGUAACUCCAAGAGGGAGCGUUAUGCAUGAUUGUGGGUUCAUGGCCCCUCAUGUCUAGCUUGAGUGACAGAAACAUGAGACUAGGGGAUGUGUUGUUGCCAUAAGGGAGAAAACAACGGUGCUUGUGACCAGGUUGCAUGUAUUGUUUACCUUACGCAAAGUUCGUUAAUGCAGUUGUCCGUUGCUUUGAGUUUACACUUUGGGUGGGGCUCGCAACUUAAUACCAGCGAGAUGUUCUGGAUAGAUAACUCAAGGUGGAUGAUUAGUAAGUAGAUGCUGAUGAAUAAACAGUCUACUUGUCUUGGCGUACUGCCCAUUACUUUUGAGCCACUAACUUUCUAGUAGCAUAAUUAGCAUUGUGGUACGUUUAUAAUUUUGGCAAUUGCCCAGCUGUAAUUUGUUUACCCAUGCAUAGUUGUUUAUCGUCUUUUGGGAGAGAGACAUCACUAGUGAACAUCAUGUGAUUCCGGCCCAUAUUACCACCAUUGCUUACACCUCCACCAUUUACUGCUUUUAUUUACUUUUUCGUUGCAAUCACUAUCACUAUUCCUUCUUGUGUUUUGAUCCUUUGCAAACUACAAGGCUGGAGAGAUUGACAACCUCUCUGUACUCGUUGGGAGCAAAGUUAUAUGUUGUGUGUGUGAGAAAAGUUAUUUGUUGUGUGUGCAGGUCCACGUCUUCUGCUAGCGCCAGAGCAGCGGACACCUACUGGUUAAUCCUCGGAGUCCUCCCGGUUCGAUAAAUCUUACAGUCCCUGUGUAAGGGAAAUCUGCCGCUGACUACAUCUCCACCUUCCACUUUGGGUAACCAACGAGGGGUGAGAAGUAUAUCCAUCAACUCGUCAUCAAUAAUCAAUUGUCUCAUCGUUUCCACCGAACACAUAAGAUUUGUUACCUGACCAUUCUAUAUUCAGCAAGUUGUCUUUUAUGAGAAUACUUCUCCUAGUCAUCGGCCAAGUAAAAACUUUGAUUUUAGGAGGUACUUAUUUUUCGCAAAUACAUAGAAGGAAAAUUAACAUCAUUUACAAUCAGUUGGUUAUAAAAGGAUUUCACAGAAUAUCUGCCACAGGCAUUCAGGGUCCAUAUACUUCUAUAUUUUCUAUAGAUAAAGUAAUUUAUGCACAAACAUUUUAAUCCCCUCCAAUUGUGCCAAAAUGUCCCCCACAAGGUUCUUCUGAACUGAAAUACACCCCACCAUUUAUUCAUCACAUCAGCCAUCUUAAUGUUCUUCUUGAAACAUAAAUUAUACGGCCUGGGGUGUGAUUGAUUCAGUAGCUUAUCAUCCCCCCACCAAUCCUCCCAGAAUCUAGUAUUCAGCCCAUCUCCCACUACUCUUUUUAUAUAUUUAUAAAAAAGGUUUUUAGCAACUAGAGUCCCAAACAAAAACUGAGAAUCCCAACCUCUAGGUUUAGCCUCACCCAAACAUUUCCCCCUCGAAUAUUUUGAUUUCAAAACAUAUUGUCAUAGGCCAUCUUCAGUUUCUAGUUUUUAUGGCCAUUUAGCAAAGAAAACCUUGUUCAUGAGGUCUAGGUUAAGGAUCCCCCAACCCCCUUAACUUUAGGUUGGCACAGCUCUCACCAUCUAACUAGUUGAUAUUUAUUUUUCUUUUUAUCUCCUUGCCAUACAAUCCUGGCUCUAUAAAAACCCAUGUUUUUCCUAACCCCAACUAGAAUUGAAAAAAAAUCAUCAUACACAUUGGUAUGCUGGUCAAAGAUGACUGCGCCAAAGCAACCCUCCCAGAAAUGUUCAUCAUGUUGGAAAAUUAGGCAAGUUCAUGAUUAAUUAUAAUAAAUAAUUCAUGACCAAAACAUAAGAUAGCAUGCAAUACUCUAGCAAUCUAGAAGAGCAACCGACCAUGCACAUCAUCACCGCGCAAGAAGCAACAACUACAGCGAGAAACAUUAACACAUUACGAGUAACACACUGUUCGUUAGUUGCAGCAGGAGUGAGUGUGUUGAUGAUGAUGUUGGAGACGAUCCUUUGUUGAUGGAGAUGAAGACGACGAUGAGUAGCACCACCCAACUUGGACGGUAGACGACCCGUGGUGAAGAAUUUGAGCACUCGCACAAAGCGCUUUCCAAAAACCUAAUUUGUUCUCUCCCGGUGCAUGAUCGCAAAGACGAACGGUUCCGUAGACGUGCUCUCUCGCACGCCGAUGCAGGCCGGCAUUCGAGAUGAGGUAGAUUACAACGGCAUCGCAAGUUGUGAGAUGAAGCAAAACCCUAGGUGUUUUUGGUGUGUCUUUGGCCGACCACGGUAAGCAAUAUAUAUAGGAGGACCAAAGUCGAUACCGUGUCGCGAUCAUGAUCUCAAACCGACUUGGUUUCCAAGUCGUAUACUUAUUGGACAAGAAAUUCUCAACUUGUUUGUCAAGACAUAAAAAUAAAACGGCAAAAGGAAGACGUGCCCCCGCAAGGCAACGAACCGGAAUUUGGUGGACCAUUCACGCGCAGGUCGCAUGUACAUCUGGCCCAGAACGGUGAGCAAGCGCACGCGUGUGGUCUUCUCCUUUCUCUUUGCAACACACACUUAAAAUGAUGGGGAGAACUCACUAUAUAAAGAGGUCCAACUCUUCCUCAACUAGCGGUAUGAGACUAAACUUUAACACCACCACACCACCACUUGCCAAUUUACUCAUGGGAUCAUUCGAGAUUUCAGAAUUUUGUAGUUGGGCCAAGCCCAUUGAUUCUAACACAUCAAUCCCCCCCUCCCCCACCAAUAGGCACAUUUCUUCUCAAUUUUGGUUUCAUAAGGUUUCCAAUCAGGAUUUCACAAUCUGGCUUUAUUAAUAGGCAUCCCCAAGUAUUUAAUGGCUACUUUGCCCAAUUGGCAAGUGAAAUCUGCCUAGACUCCAUUUCUUUCCCAAUUGCCUACCCAAAAAGAAAUAAUUCACUUUUGUGGAAACUGAUUUUCAACCCAGACAUUUGCUCAAAGGAAUAUUUUUUUUUCAAAUCUCUAGCACUUCUCUACAUCAUCAAGUAUCAGGAAGAUAAUAUCAUCUGCAUAUUAUAACAAGUUUAUUCCAUUGUCACUAUAUCCGUCUAGCAGUCCUUUAACAAAUCCUGUUUUCUCUUAGUAUUCAUGAUAAUAGCGAGUGCAUCCACUGUCGAAUCUGGCUUCUUCUUCACAACGGAGUCAAUCAAAGAAAUCUUUUAAAAAAGAAAUCCAUGUAAGAGUGUUAUAACUAUGUUUUCGGCAAUGAAAAUGUUAGGAAACGACAUUGUUGCAUCUUUUAUUAAUAUAUAAAAUACCAUAGAACAAAUUGUUCUAUGGUUGUUGGCCUAAAAAACCCUUAUACAUGGCAAUGUUUUACAAUUACAAAACUAGUGUACAUGCCCCAACGCGCUUAAAAAACAUCAGUCUUCCGGAUUUUAUCUUCCGAUCCAUUAGGUUCAUUGGCCAGCAAGCAAGAGAUUAUUCUCGCAUCAUAAUUACCUGUUUUCGCCUUCUCUCUCUCUCUCUCUUUUUUUUGCAGGGGAGCAUUCGCCUUCUCACAAAGUCAUAAGACUCCGGCCGUAACGCGUCGUUGUUCAGAACAUGGUGCACGAGGGAAAAAAACUGCUUGAAAUGCAUUUUCAUUUGAUCUUGUCGAAAGAGACACCGUUCGAAUUUUCCGUGGUGAGCAAAGCACACCAUCUGACGUGCCAUACAUCGGGAAGACGAAGACACUGCGAGAAGAAUACAAAAUACGGCAGUCACAUCUCAACUAUUUACAGUGAACGUCGCCAAAAACACUUCUGUCGCCUUGCCAAAUGGAGAGGUAAUAUCAUGCACGACUCCAGACGCCAAAGCAUCCUAAUCUUCAUAGGGCUGCCAGGUCAUGCGGACAGGAUAAUGCCUUUGUCGACGUGAAAACAGAGUAAAACAUUGACCUCUAUAAUCAAGGUGAAAUUGUUGGUCAUCUUUUUGUUCUCCUGCCCGCCUGCCAUCGUACUUUGGCCAGGGGCGAACCCACUUUUAUUUGACUGGGGGCCAUGGCCCCUACUCAAGUUUUUUAAAUCCUGUAGGAUUUAGUUAUAUUUUUAGAAAAUAAAUACCAAAACUCUAUAAAUUUAUACAAAAUAUCAAAAUAUGCCCCAUUCAAGUAUUUUGCCCCCGGUCAAAAAUGUUUCUAGGUCCGCCCCUGACUUGGCCGUACCAUUUUUUUUACUUUUAACUUAGGACCAUAAUAAGUAUCAUAUGUGUGGCAUGAAGCAAUUUUUUCCUGAAUUUUUUUAUGACAAAUUUAGUUAUUCAAGAAUGACAAUUUUAUUGUAAAGCAUGAUGAUUUUCUGUUUGAAUGACAACUUUCAGUUUAUUUUAUUUUUAUUUUUAUUUCUCAGAUGGUAAUUUCAGUUAUAAAAACGUCAUAGUGAUAUUGCUUCAUGUCACACGUGUGACACUUAUUAUUUGAGUUAACUUAUCUCCACGUACUAGUACAGCUAAUUUGUUUGAAAACUGAUUGGGCGAGUUUAAUCUUAAAGUUAACCAACAUUUUUUUUAGAAAAUGAGGAUAUACCCCCGGCCUCUGCAUCUAGACGAUGCAUACAACCAUUUUAUUAAUUAUUCACAGAGACCAUACAAAGUAAUACAUCAGUUAGCCUGAAGCCACCAUCUAGGCAACACAUGUUGCUACUCCUAUUCCUUGAUGAAGGUGUGCUAAAUAUCUGGGCCAAAUACCAAAGAGAUAUCGCACCAAAUCCUAACAUCUAUAGUCUGAUGCUCAAGCCCAGCCACCACUGAGACUGGAUCCCAAACUGGCCGGCGCAGAGGCCGCCUCCACCAUCUAUCACCGUGCCCUCUCCAGAGCUAGAACAAACACAUCAUCCUUGCGAGGUCUGCCGUCGACGCCACCACGGUGCCAGACAGCGCCACCAUCCUGCACAUAUCCGCCUACACGUGCCUGUCGACGAACCACCGCAGCGCCAUGCCGUCGGGCUACACCGUAGGGCUCACGGUAGAUCAAACACCGCUCCUCCUCUUGUCCCGUCCACCCAGCACGUGCUCCAAAACGAUGCCCUCAGGAGAGAAACGACAUCGAAGAUGACAUCAUCGUCCGACCGGUAGAUCCAGAUCUAAGGUUUCCCUCGGAGCAUCACGAGUGUGGUGCCACGACCAGCAACAACGAUGCCAUGGGCUGGUAACGACGUCCUAGACGCCGCCAUCGUCCGCCAUGACCGAGGUCGGCGCGGUUUUCACCGAAAGUCGCGACCCCCGAUCUCGUGGCUGGAUGGAACUGAGGGAGGCACGUCAUGUAGACGAAGACCGCCGUCGGCAUGCCGGCAGGGGCCUCCAGCCGCCCCACACCGAUCCUCCUCGCGCCACGGGCCGAAGAAGUCCAAGCCGUGACGGAUCUGGGCAUGAUACGCCAGAUCCGCAGCCCUCGAUGACCGCCCUUGCGCGCAGCCGCUGCCCUCGCCGGAUGGAGCGCCUCACCGCCGCCAUCCAACCCGACCACGGCAUAUGUGGGUGAGAGUUUGUGAUGGGCUCUCGAUCUUAUGAGAUUGUCCGAACGACUCUGUUUCCAACAAAGUUUAAAUACUAAAAAAAUGCAGAUCAUUUUUUUAAGGCUAAAGCAUGGUUCUGUACGUGGUGCUUCACCACGCGAAGAUACAAGAGCUUAUGAAUAAUAGAUGCCAUAGAUGGAAAACGGUCUCAUGUAUGUUCAUAUUUAUUUCUAAAUGUAUUUUAAUAUUUUUUGGUGAUGCAUGUUCAGUAUUUUCUCUGUAAAGUAAUAUAAAAAUAUUUAGAUAACUAAAAUAAUAAUUUAAAUGCUUUUAUAUUAAUUUAUGGAGGGAGUAGAAAGAGAUGCACCCGUCGUACAUCAAGCGUUUUGAUGACUUCAUCAAUCUCAACUCGAUAUGUGACUUAAUUUUUUAAAAAUGUAUACAAGGAUAGGAUGUAUACAUAUGUGUGUUUAUAUGAUUAAGUAUAUAUGCAUAUGUAUAAGCAUGUGAGCGUUUGUAGUAGGUUAAAAAAAUCACGACCCAGCAUCAAAGAUUGCAUAUUAUUGUUGAGAAACAAAAACGCAAAUGAUGGAUUGUGUGGAGCCGAAAGCGCACAGCUGGACCCCAUGGCGUAGCGGCAACAACCGGCGAAGCACAUCAUCCAGCGCGGUGACACCGACGGCAAACCUCUCCACGAACAGUAGACACCGAAAUUAGACUGCAAUUAUGCUGUUUUGCUGUUUCCCAAUAGCCGGAGAACCGGAACACCAUGAGGCUUUUGCAACCACAAAUUAUUGUUUAUACUGAAACAAGAUACGCUUGACAGGUGACAGCCACUUGUAGCACCACCAUACCCCGAGACCCAGAAUUCGGGUUUUUUCACUCUUCUGACUCACUAACAAUAAAAAAUCACAUAACAAACUCGCCUCAAAAACAAUUUGACCCUUUUUAAAAACGUUAUAUACGGUGGCGUUGCAGGUAAACGAUGAAACGCCAGUCCAAUGUGGCGUUUGUGGCUUUGUGUCCAACGCGAGUCCACUGUGGCGUUGCUGGCCAUGUGUGCAACGCGAGGCAUAUUGAUGUUUCUAGCACUCAUAUCUGCCUAGCCCGACCCCGUCGCCCACCAACCACCUAUUCUUCUCUUCUUUCUUUCGACCUUUCGCGAAAAAUCUCUCCCUCCUCCUCCAGACCCCCCCCCUUCGAUCUUCGUCCUCCCUCAACCGUUUUGUUGGUUUUUGGGGCAAAUCAAAGAUGCCGGUAAGCUCUUCCAAUCUCUCCAAUUAGUUUUUGCAAUGCCUUUGUAUUUGUGUAUCUUUUUUUCCACUAGGUGUAACGUAUGUUUUGAAGUAAAAUCUAUUUUGUGAUGAUUAAUGCAUAGGUUUUUGGCAAUAGGUGUAGUUUACGGUGGCUCUAGGUAUAACCUAGGUUUUGUCCAUAUUAUUCGCACUAGGUUUAUGCCUAGGUUUAGUUCAUAUUGUUGGCACUAGAUGAAUGCCUAGGUUUAGUUCAUAUUAGUGGCACUAGGUGAAUGCCUAUAUUUAGUUCAUAUUAUUGACACUAGGUGAAUGUGUAGCUUUUUUGGCACUAGGUGUAGUGUGUUUGUUUUUCACACUAGGUUAAUGCCUAAAAGAAUUUUGUUCAUAUUAUGUAGGAUGUUUUAGUCGGAUAAAUAUCCGGGCCUUGAUGAGUUCUACGAGCAGAAGCAUCGUGCGGUGCUAGUGGAAAGAGGAGAGGUAAUUAUGAUGGCCUUGAUGAUUAUUUUUCUAUAUUCCAUGAUUUUCAUAUUGUGACAAGUUGAGACAACUAACGAAUUAUGCGUUUGUUGGUUUAGGUUCCUCCACUACUUCGUUUGAGGGGGCACAACCCGAAUGAAUCUCUCUUAUAUGACCCUCGGUACGAGCCUUAUUUUAGAAGAAUGGAUCUUCUUCAGUUUGUGCUCAACUUUAAAGGCACACCACCAUGGUUGAACGCCACGACCCUUACCGCCCUUACGGACCGUUGGAGGCCGGAGACGCACUCUUUUCACCUUCCUCUUGGUGAGAUGACCAUAACUCUGGAGGAUAUUGCUAUGAUCACCGGACUUCCGAUCGAGGGCAGGGCUCUUACACGGAAGGUUAUGUCCGAUGGGUGGCGACAACGGGUUGCAGCAUUGGUUGGUGUUGAACCCGAGCCAUGGAUUCAUGAAACCAGGAAGGAUCCUAGGCCAUCUGGUGUGUUGUUCUCUUGGAUACAGAGACAUUUUCGCAAGUGCCCAAGGGAUGCUAGUCCGACUGUUGUGGAGAGGUUCGCCAGGGCUUACCUCUGGAAUCUUUUGACCCAAGUGGUGUUUCCGGAUGGCACGGGGGACACAGCCUCAUGGAUGUUUUUGGAUCCUCUUCGUGACUGGGAUGUUAAGUGGAGUUGGGGUUCGGUGGCACUAACCUUCUUGUACCGUCAGGUAUGGCUUAAUAUCAUGCAUUUUCGUUUUAUUCAAUGGGUAUAUGAUGCAUUUUCGUUAUAUUGAAUGGGUAUAUGUUGCAUUUUCAUUUUAUUAAAUCUGUAGUUGGAUGGAGCAUGUAUGAGGAGCAAGCCGACGUCCACUCUUGGAGGUUUUGUUUGGGCCCUACAAGUUUGGAUGUGGGAGCGUAUCCCUGUUGGUCGUAACCUCAGCCUUCCUCCGGAAGAACCUUGGAUGUACCCUUUUGACGGAGAUGAGUUGCGGCACCCCACUAUCGCACACACAUGGGCUAAUGUCCAAUGGACGAGUAUCGCAGCUAUGGGGCGGUAUAAGGCAUACAUAAGCGAGCUAGACAUGCUCACUUAUGAACAAGUAAAUGCUUUCACAAAUUUUCUGGAAAAUUUUCAUGGAUGGUCGAGUGACUUGUUGUUAUGUAGGUGAAUUGGAGGCCGUACACGGUACUUAGGUAGUUCCCUCUUAGCAACAUGUGCCUUCGUGACCAACAUCUUUGGCGUGUCGGCUACGUCAUCCUCCAUCCUUGCGUUAUACUCCUCUUCCUUCUUCUUCCGCGCUUCGGCUGCGUCCUCCUCUCUCAACUUCUUUGCAUCCCUCUCCCUCAACCCCUGGUCCUCACCGGAUGCAUCCUUCUCCUCCCCCACUCCGUUGUUGCCUUGUUGGGUUGAGACGCCGCCAUACCUACAUAAAAACAUCAAGGCUCGGAGUUAGUACAAUAACAUGAUAAAGAUAAGUGAAAUAUGUGACAACAAAAAAUGCACAACAUGACAAAAAUAAUGAAAUAUAUCAAACUUACGGAAAUGGUCCUUAUAGGUAUCCGAACAUUCCUCUACCACCACCCGAACCUCUACCCAUAAAACCUCCUCUACGACCAGCACUACCACGAGCACUUGAACGGCCACGUCUACUAUCGUCGGAUCCUCGGCCCACAACACGGCCACCACUUGAACCACCACGUCUACCAUCACCGGAUCCUCGGCCCACAUCAAGGCCACCACUUGAACCACCACGUCUACCACCGCCGGAUCCUCGGCCCACAGCAAGGUCACCAGUGGAACCACCUUCACCACCAACACUUGAACCACCUCUGCCACCCACAUCACUAGUAGAUGCAUUGUGACCUUUUGAAGUUUUGUUUGUUUUGCAAGUCCUCUUAUUAUGUCUUGUUUCAUUGCAAUCACCGCAUUGGUUCCUAUCACGUGGCUCCAUGAAAUGUCCACUACCAAACUCUCUCGUGCUCAUGAGGUCGUCCAUAUCAUUCCUAUAUCGUUUUGUUCUCCUUCUACCCUUCGGUUGAACCAUCAUCUCUGGAUCUGGCCUAAUAUUAGGGCUGUGAUACUAUGGCCACUGUGAUGGGUCAAGAAAAGGGUGGAAUCUCCAAGCCCAUGUUAACUUAUGAGUUUGCAAGUUGAAUUCAUGCAACCUCACAACUACACCAUCAGAGAAGGGAAAAUUCCUCAUGCGACAUGUCGUCAUCAUGUGCGAGCAUGUCCAGUGGUACUUAGUAGGCCGGUCACAAGUGAAAUGCCACGUCCGAAGGGAUACCGUAAAUGAGCGACCACCAUAUGAUUGCCCAUCUCUCGUUGUACCGCUUGGCUCAUCCACUUGGUAUUUCAUUUUAGCAUUACCGAAACAAGUGGCUCGCUGCAUGGCUGACUUCUCUUUUUGAAACUCUAGCCACUCGGCAACCUUCUUCGGAUAGAUCUCAUUAGGAGGCUUCUCACUCUCACCAAUCAACUUGUCGAUUUAUUCGGAGUGCUUCAGAAAAUACUCAUUGAGCUUGUAAAAGGUAUAUUCAGCUAUUGCCGUCACCGGCAACUGAUGUGCCCCCUUCAAGACAAAGUUGAAGCACUCAACAAGAUUGCUUGUCAUAUCGCCAUAUCUCAUGCCUCCUUCUUCACAUGCCCGUGACCACUUAUGUUUCUCAUCUAUAUUCAUUUCUAGGAAUUCGCCCUANNNNNNNNNNNNNNNNNNNNNNNNNNNNNNNNNNNNNNNNNNNNNNNNNNNNNNNNNNNNNNNNNNNNNNNNNNNNNNNNNNNNNNNNNNNNNNNNNNNNAGGAUCAUUCUAUGGACAGGAGCAAGCAUCUCGGAGUUGGAAUAUACGCUUUGAUGAGAUGAUCAAAGUUUUUGGUUUUAUACAAAGUUUAUGAGAAACUUGUAUUUCCAAAGAAGUGAGUGGGAGCGUUAUAGAAUUUUUGAUUAGAAUAUGUGAUUGAUAUAUUGUUGAUCGGAAAUAAUGUAGAAUUUAUGGAAAUCAUAAAGGGUUGUUUUAAUGGGGUUUUCAAAGGAAAACCUGGAUUGAGCUACUUGAACAUUGAGCACCAAGAUCUAUGGAGAUAGAUCAAGACGCUUGAUAAAACUUUCAAAUGAAUACAUACCGUAACAAGAUUUUUGAAGGAGUUCAAAAUGGACCAGGUAAAGAAGGAGUUGUUGACUGUAUUGUAAGGUGUGAUUUCGAGUAAGACUGAAAAGACCGACCACAACAUAAGAAAUAUAAAGGACGAAGCUCGUCCCCUGUGCCUUAGCCGCACUCUCUAAAGUAUGCCACGUUGUGUACCACACCUGAUGUGUGGCUUGCCAUGAGUCUGUCAAGGGGUACAAAGAGUGAUCCAGGAUUGAAUCACUGAACAAGGGUCAAAGUUAUCCUUAGUAACUAGUGGACUAAGGAAUUUUUUAUCGAUUAUGGAGGUGAUUAAAGAGUUCAUCGUAAAGGGUUGCGUCAAUGCAAGCUCCGACACUAAUUCGGAUAACUCUGAGUAGCAAACCGGAUUCGUAUGGUGGAGCAGUCAUUUGGAAUAGUUCCAAAUGGAGCGUGGUAGCAGCAUCUAUUGGGACAUAGAGAUUUGUAAAGCACUCACGGAUGUGAAAGAUUUAGACCCGUCGACUAAAAAGCUCUCUCACAAGCAAGAUAUGAUCAAACCCCAUAACUGUAUGGGUGUUAGAUUCAUUACAAUCACAUAGUGAGGUGAACUAGAUUAUUGAGUCUAGUGCAAGUGGGAGACUAUUGGAAAUAUGCCCUAGAGGUAAUAAUAAAUUGGUCAUUAUUAUAUUGUCUGGACACAUAGACAACACACUGUCCCUAGUGAGCCUCUAGUUGACUAACUCAUUGCUCAAAGAUGGUCAAGGUUUCCUGGCCAUAGACAACUGUUGUAACUUUAUAACGGGAUCACAUCAUUAGGAGAAUGAUGUGAUGGACAAGACCCAAACUAUGAACGUAGCAUAUGAUCGUGUUAGUUUAUUGCUAUUGUUUUUUGCAUGUCAAUGUAUCUGUUCCUAUGACCAUGAGAUCAUGCAACUCCCGCACACCGGAGGAAUACCUUGUGUGUAUCAAAUGAAGCAACGUUACUGGGUGACUAUAAAGGUGCUCUACAGGUAUCUCCGAAGGUGUUUGUUGGGUUGUCAUGGAUCAAGACUGGGAUUUGUCACUCCAUGUAACGAAGAGGUAUCUCGGGGCCCACUCGGUAAUAAAACAUCACAACAAGCCUUGCAAGCAAUGUGACUAAGGAGUUAGUCACGAGAUCUUGUAUUACGGAAUGAGUAAAGAGACUUGCCGGUAACGAGAUUGAACUAGGUAUAGAGAUACCGAUGAUCGAAUCUUUGGCAAGUAACAUACCGAAGGACAAAGGGAACAACAUACGAGAUUAACUCAAUCCUUGACAUAGAGGUUCAAUCGAUAGAGAUCUUCGUAGAAUAUGUAGGAGCCAAUAUGGGCAUCCAGGCCUCGCUAUUGGUUAUUGACCGGGGAAUGUCUCAGGUCAUGUGUGCAUAGUUCUCGAACCCACAGGGUGUGCACACUUAAGGUUCGGUGACGUUUCGGUAUAGUUGAGUUAUGGUUGUUGGUUACUGAAGGUUGUUCGAAGUCCUAGAUGAGAUCCUGGACAUCACGAGGAGCUCCAGAAUGGUCUGGGGGGGGGGGGUAAAUAUUGAUAUAUAGGAAGUCCUGCUUUGGUCACCGGAAAAGUUUCGGGCUCAUCGGUAGUGUGCCGGGAGUGCCGGGAGGGUGCCGGGGGACCACCAGCAGGGGUGUGACGACCUAAGAGCCUUAUGGGUUGUGAGAGGAGGUAGACCAGCCCUUGGUGGGCUGGCUGAAGCCUCUCUCAAAAGCCCAUGCGGCUAGGAGUAGAGACAAAAGGCAAAAGUCAUUUAAAAGGAAAGGAAGGAGGAGUCCUCCCAAAGUAGACCACCUCGCUUGUGGGAAGGUGGACUCUUCCUUUAGGGUUCGGCCGACCCCUUCUCCUUGGAGUAGGGGCCAAGACUGCCUCCUCUCCCCCCUACUAUAUUUGCUAGAGGUAUUGAGGGGUUUUGGACAACAUAGAAAUCAACCACGGCUGCCUCUCUCUCUAGAUCUGUUUCUCCUUUAGUCUAGAAUGACAGUGCUUAGGCGAAGCCCUGCUGGAUUAGUUCACGACCACCACCACCAUGCCACCAUGCUGGAGAACUCAUCUACCUCUCCGCCCCCUCUUGCUGGUUCAAGAAGGCGGGGAUCGUGAUCGAGUUGUACGUGUGUUGAACAUGGAGGUGCUGUCCGUUCGGCACUAGAUCGGGAUGGAUCGUGGUGGGAUCACGGGACGGGUUGUGAUGAGAUCGUGUGACGGGCUGAGAUUUGGAUAGCGAAGAUGUUCCACUACAUCAACCGCGUUAUAUACGCUUCCGUUUAGCAAUCUAAAAGGGUAUGUAGAUUCACUCUCCCCUCUCGUAGAUGAUCAUCACCAUGGAUAGGUAUUGCGUGUACGUAGGAAUUUUUUUGUUUCCCAUGCAAUGUUCCCAACAGUUGGAGGCCCGUCCGGUUGCCUGCUGGAGACCUGUUUGGCUGUCGGCCCCCGGCUAUCCGGUUGUCGGCUACCGGUUGGGACCCGUCCAACUAGAACGCGUCUGGCUCGAGACCUAUCCGGGUGGAGCUGAGUGAAGUCAACUGCAAGGUCCCAUCAGACACGACGCAAGGAUGCUACAGCAUGCAUCACUGCGCCCCAGCAGUCCAGUCUGCAUCACUGCGCACCCGUCACCUCCAAUAGUGAAGUUAGUCCAUGCGCCCCCACACCCAUCAUGUCCAAUAGUAAAGUUAGGCCACGUGGGCCACCCUUUCUCCCCUAGGCACCCCUUUAAAAGGUGAUCCAAGGAGCCAGCCCAAGGACAGACACACACGAUGGGGAGGAGUCUCCAUGGCUCCCCCAUUCUCUUGUUCCCCACUCUACACGAGAAGAGGAGAGAUCCCAGCCUCCUUCUUCUUCCUCCAGACAGCUCAAGGAACACCAUGUACAACCAUAUACUCUCCAUAUACACCACACAUGCACGAGUAGGGGUGUUACCUCUACAUGAGGGCCCCGAACCUAGGUAAACCACCGCGUGUUGUUGCCCAACCCAUUCCGGAUCUCCACGGGGUCCCUGAUCUCACCUCUCUAAGCCACCACUCGCAUAUGUCGUGCGAAACUACCAGGACAUGUCGGCUGGCGGCCGCUGAACCGUCUGGUCCUCACGCUGCUAGCCGUCUGGCGAUAGCCGACCCGUAUGGCUAGCCCCAACGGCAACUGGCGGGUCAACACUCGUUCCAUCCAUACCAGCGUAUGACGACAAGACCAGACUCCUGAUGCAGAGGUGCUAGUGCUAAUAGUGUGCGCUAACAAGCCCGGCGUGGCCACGGGCGUACCGAUGCGAGGGUGACCGGGCGAGGUGGCCCUAUAGCCAUUCAUAUCCCUACCUACUCAAUGAUGACGGCGUGCUAACCACUAUCGCGCUCGGCCGGCGGGCCCCACGGCGAACAAGACUCGACAACCGACGAGCCUCUCAGCCAGCCGGAGAGAGGCUCACAGCCGGGCCCUGCCCCGGUUCCCCCCCACUACUGUACACUCCUGGCUAGACUAUAAACACAAACCCCAGCCCCUCAAGAGAGGGCUUGCGAACUCUCGGUCCACAGAUCCCCACAUAGCACACCGGAGAGGCAGUGAGGCGGGCACCGACAACUCUGUCUCCUCCCUCGCGAAUAGCUCGAGGAGCACCAUUGUACGGUGAUCACAUAUAGUCAUACCGGUAGGGCUAGGGGUUUUACCUCACUGGAGGGUCCUAAACCUGGGUAGAUCGGCGUCAUGUGUCUCUCGCCUACACCCAUUCCCAAACGAUGUUGGCGCCCAUCGUCCGCAAACCACGAUCUAAGCCAUCCAGUGGCAUCUCCCAUGGAAAUACCAUGAUAGUUGGCGCCCAUCAUGGGGUUGGCAGCAACGCCGGUCGGAGUAAUGUUCCAGGAAGGACCUUUCACCCCUUUUGGCGAGCACGUGGCGCACGACUUGGUUGUCCUCUAUGGCAUGCUCGACUGCAUCAACGACAACGCAUGCCACCUCAAGGACGCGGACGUCCCCGUCGAUGGCUCCAUCGUCUCCUUUGGCUCGCAUUGCAUCUACGUCGCGGUCGUCCCCGACGAGUACCCCGCCGAGGUGCUCAGCUACGAUGAACUGCCGCCGUACGACAAUAGCAACCUCUGCACCGGCGUAGAGGUAUGGACUGCUACCUCGUUAGGCGGUACGUCAGGGCACUGAACCCCGCUUCGCGUCGUAGUGGACACACUGCGCACACCCAUCCCUGUGGUAGCCGACCCUGCGGCCGAAACCGAGGAGCUGGACGGCUGAUGACUGAUACGUCUCUGUCGUAUCUACUUUUUCAACCUCUUUUGCCCUUGUUUUGGACUCUACUUUGCAUGAUUUCAAUGGAACUAACCCAGACUAACGCUGUUUUCAGCAGAAUUGCCAUGGUGUUGUUUUUGCGCAGAAAUAAAAGUUCUCGGAAUGACCUAGAAAUUUAUGAGGAUUUUUUGUGGAAUAUAUAAAAAAUACUGGUGCAAGAAUCAACCGGAGGAGUGGAGCGAGGAGCCCACAAGCACACCGGGAGCGACCCCCCUGGCCGCGCCUAGCAGGCUUGUGGGGCCCUCGGAGCUCCACCGCCUCCAACUCCAGCUCUAUUUAGUCCCUUUCGUCCGGAAAACAAAUCAAGGAGGAGAGUUCAUCGCGUUUUACGAUAUGGAGGCGCCGCCACCACCUGUUAUUCCUCUAGAGGGCCGAUCUGGAGUCCGUUCUGGGCUCCGGAGAGGGGAGAUCGUCGCCAUCAUCAUCACCAACCUUCCUUCAUCGCUAAUUCCAUGAUGCUCUUCACCUUUCGUGAGUAAUCUCAUCGUAGGCUUGUUGGACGGUAAUGGGUUGGAUGAGAUCUAUCAUGUAAUCAAGUUAGUUUUGAUGGGGAUUGAUCCCUAGUAUCCACUAUGUUCUGAGAUUGAUGUUGCUAGUACUUUGCCAUGCUUAAUGCUUGUCACUAGGGCCCGAGUGCCAUGAUUUCAGAUCUGAACCUAUUAUGUUCUCGUCAAUAUAUGUGUGCUCUUGAUCCUAUCUUGCAAGUUGUAGUCACCUACUAUGUGUUAUGACCCGGCAAUCCCGGAGUGACAAUAGCCGAAACCACUCCCGGAGAUGACCAUAGUAUGAGGAGUUCAUGUAUUCACUAAGUGCUAAUGCUUUGUUCCAGUUCUCAAAAGGAGAACCUUAAUAUCCCAUAGUUUCCAUUAGGACCCCGCUGCCACGGGAGGGAUGGACAAUAGAUGUCAUGCAAGUUCUUUUCCCUAAGCACGACUACAUACGGAAUACAUGCCUACAUUACAUUGACGAACUGGAGCUAGUUACAUAUCUCUCCAUGUUAUAACUGUUGCAUGAUGAAUAUCAUCUGGCAUAAUUAUCCAUUACCGAUCCAAUGCCUACGAGUUUUUCCUACUUGUCCUUGUUACGUUACUUUGAUGCUACUGUUACUCUGUCGCUACUACUGUCACUGCUGCUACUGUUACUCUGUCGCUACUCCUGUCACUUCUGCUACUGUUACUCUGUCGCUACUGCUGUCACUGCUGCUACUAUUACUGUUGCUACUGUUGCUAUCCCACCACCUUGAUACUGAUACUUUGCUGCAGAUACUAAGUCUUUCAGAUGUGGUUGAAUUGACAACUCAACUGCCAAUACUCGAGAAUAUUCUUUGGUUUCCCCUUGUGUCGAAUCAACAAAUUUGGGUUGAAUACUCUACCCUCGAAAACUAUUGCGAUCCCCUAUACUUGUGGGUUAUCAAGACUAUUUUCUAGCGCCGUUGCUGGGGAGGCAUAGCUAUAUUCUCUGAGUCACUUGGGAUUUAUGUCUGCUAAUCACUAUGAGGAAUCCGAGAGAUCCAAAAACUAAAGUCUUGCCGUCAACUACGAGGACAUGUAAGGAACUGCCAUCUAGCUCUGCACUUGAUUCACCUUCAGUUAUGAGUAAGUUUGCGACACCACCUCCUGCUAAAAUUUUUGAUGUGUCGUCUGUGCUUGAUGAUGCUACUUCUGCUCUCCAUGAUGCUUGUGAUGAUGUUUUGCUUGGUACUGCUUUGCCACUAGGUGCAUUCCUAGGUGCACAAAUUGCUGGAGUUGCUGCUAGAUGUGAUGAUACUUCUGAAACUGCUGAGAUUAUUGAAGUAGAACCUGCUAUUUCGCCUGUUAGAACUAGCUCUCCUAGAUAUGAAUUGCCUGAUAUGCCUCAGGGUUAUGUUAUGGAGGGAGAGAUAGCUGAGGACUUUCUUGCUUGUAAGGAUAGCUAUGAUCUUCAGAAAUUACCGCGCAAGUGGAAAGAAAAAUCUUUGAACGCUAGGAUGAAAUACGACCCGAAGUUUUCUACUUCGCCUAUCUUUGUGACCGAUAAGGAUUAUGAAUUCUCUGUCGACCCUGAGUUAAUCACUCUUGUCGAAUCUGAUCCUUUUCAUGGUUAUGAGUCUGAAACGGUUGUAGCACAUCUUACUAAGCUGCACGAUAUAGCCACCCUAUUCACGAGUGAGGAAAAGAUCCGUCACUACUAUAUCCUUAAGUUGUUUCCUUUCUCGCUAAAGGAUGAUGCUAAGACUUGGUUCACUUCUCUUGCUCCUGGUUGUGUGUGUAGUCCCUAGGAUAUGAUCUACUACUUCUCUAAGAAAUAUUUCCCUGCCCAUAAGAAGCAAGCUGCCUUGCAGGAAAUUAAUAACUUUGCGCAAGUUGAAGAAGAGAGUCUCCCACAAGCUUGGGGGAGGCUUGUCCAACUACUGAAUGCUUUGCUCCAUCACCCUCUUAAGAAGAAUGAAAUACUUGAUAUAUUCUAUAAUGGACUAACCAAUGCUUCUAAGGACCACCUUGAUAGUUGUGUUGGUUGUGUUUUCAGGGAACAAACUAUAGAACAAGCUGAGAUCCUAUUGAACAAUAUCUUGUGCAAUGAGAAUGCUUGGACUAUUCCCGAACCACCUCCGAAGCCAACUCCAAAGAAAAGAGGUAUUCUAUUCCUCAGUCCUGAAGAUAUGCAAGAAGCUAAGAAAUCUAUGAAAGAGAAAGGCAUUAAAUCCGAAGAUGUCAAAAAUCUACCACCUGUCGAAGAGAUCCAUGGUCUUGAUAACCUGACACAUGUAGUAGAGGUAAAUUCUCUUCACAGAUUAAAUGAGAGUGAUAUUCCUUUUGAUAAACCUGCUAGCUUAUGCGUGGAUGAAUUUGAUAACUUUGUUGCCACACAACGAAGUUUCAAUGAUUAUGUUAGUAGACAAUUGGAACAUAAUGCUCGUAUGCUUAGUCAUUUAAGUGCUUGUGUGGACAGAAACGUCAAUGAUCUUAAGCUUUUGAGUAAACAUGCCUCUAUGCUUACUACUCAAGUAGAACAAGUACUUAAGGCUCAAAAUGACUUGCUCAAUGAGUUGAAUGACAAUUCUGUCAGAGUCGUCACUAGAGGCGGUAGACUGACCCAAGAACCUUUGUAUCCUGAGGGUCAUCCUAAGAGAAUUGAACAAUAUUCUCAAGGCAUUAGCACUGAUGCACCUAGUCAUCCUAGGAAGAAGAAGAAAUAUGAUAGGAACUUGCAUGCUAGCAACCCUGUUGCUGUUACACCCGAGAAUCCAAACGAUGUCUCUGUUUCUCAUGCCGAAACACAAUCUGGUGAUGAACAUGGGCCUAAUUAUAAUAUCGAUAGUGAUGUUCUUGAUGAUGCUCAACCUAGCAAUGAUAACGAUGUGGAGAUUGAACCAGUUGAUCUUGAUAACCCACAACCUAAGAAUAGGAGAUACGAUAAGAACGACUUCACUGCUAGAAAGCAUGGUAAAGAAAGGGAACCAUGGGUUCAGAAACCCAUGCCCUUUCCCCCCAAACCAUCCAAGAAAAAGGAUGAUGAGGAUUUUGAGCGAUUUGUUGAAAUAAUUAGACCUGUCUUUCUGCAAAUGCGUUUGACAGAUAUACUCAAAAUGUCUCCCUAUGCUAAGUACAUGAAGGAUAUUGUUACUAAUAAGAGGAGGAUACCUGAGGUUGAGAUUUCCACCAUGCUCGCUAAUUACACCUUCAAGGGUGAAACUCCUAAGAAACUAGGUGAUCCCGGAGUGCCCAGUAUACCUUGCUGCAUUAAAGGCAACUACGUUAGAACUGCUUUAUGCGACCUUGGAGCCGGUGAUAGUGUUAUGCCUCUCUUUCUUUAUCGUAGACUUGAACUGGAUAAGUUGACACCCACUGAAAUCUCUCUGCAAAUGGCCGACAAAUAAACAUCUUUCCCUAUCGGCAUUUGCGAGGAUGUGCCUGUUGUGGUUGCUAACGUUACUAUCUUAACGGACUUUGUUAUUCUGGACAUUCCCGAGGAUGAUGCCAUGGCAGUCAUCCUUGGAAGACCCAUUUUGAACACUGUAGGGGCUGUUAUUGAUUGCAAUAAAGGCAAUGUCACUUUCCAUGUCAAUGGUAAUGAGCAUACGGUGCACUUUCCAAAGAAAAAAUAUCGGGUACAUUGCAUCAAUGCUAUUGAAAAAACUUCAUCGAUUCUUAUUGGGAGCUUUGAAUGCCCUAUACCUACUUUUAAGAUGAAGUAUGAUUUGCUUGUUGGGGAUAUGCACAUCCCCAUUGAGGUAACCUAGUGACUAUUCUCCGUUUUUACGUGAUUCGAAAAAAGUUUGUCAAGGAGACUUGAUCAACUUCAUUGACGGAUUUCUUUUGAUGACCAUGAGAUGGAUGAAUCUAAGAGCCAUAACCCUCUGUUUCAAACCUUUACCUUCGGUAGCUUAGAAGAAAAAUGAUAGAUUUAGCUUUAGUGUCUCCUGUUUUCUGUUUUUUGUGUCCUGUAGAAAAGUGUCCGAAAAUAAAAUUUCUCCCAAUGUCGUGAAAAUCAAGUAUGAUUUUUUCUGGAUUUUUUGAAAAAUACUGAGACGGAGAGCUAGUCAGGGGGAUGCACCAGUGGGCCACAAGCCCAGGAGGCGUAGGCACCCCCUGGUCGCGCCUACCAGGCUUGUGGGGCCCACGUGUCCCCCCUCCACUUAUUCCAGCUCCCAUCUCCUUCUCCUACCUCGAGAAAAAUUCAUUCUACAGCUCAAACCCGUGUUCUUGCUCUUCUUGCUGCGAUUUUCAAUCUCCUUGUGCAAAGCCCCAUUCACGAAACUGUUUUGGGGGAAAUUGCUCCUUGGUAUGUGACUUCUUCAUUGGUCCAUUAGUUUUUGCUCUAGUGUCUUAUUCGUUGCGUAUUUUUGCUGCCUUGGUGACCCUGUUCUUGAGCUUUGCAUGCUAAUUUUAGCUGGUCCCAAGUAAUUUUGAUGCGUGAUAUGGCCUCUAGGCACUUGUAGGAGUAGUUGAUACGAGUUUCAUUGGGCCUUGUUCACUUUUCCUUAGAGUCACUAAAAAUUUCAGAAAUUUUCUAAGAAAGAAAAAGGAAAAGAUGAGGAGGUUCCUAAGAGGCUCUUCAAGCCGUGACCCCAAGGAUGAAGAAAAUGAGAAGAAGAAACCCAAGUUCGAGCGUGCGAGUGGCCAAGAGAUGUGUUCUUAUGCGCCACCGGACUUUAUGAGGACUUUUACUACUUGGUGGAGAACGCAGGCCUUACCGCCUUCGUUGAAGAUAAGUGUCCGCAAUAUUUUCGUGCAAAGCUUUAAUUUCUAUACAAGGAAGAGUCCUCCUAUGGUUGAGUUCAAGUUAUAUGAUAUCCCCCGGCGCAUGCCACUUCAAGAUUUUUGCAAUGUUUGCAAAUUACCUUAUGUUGGGGAUAUUCAUGAACCUCGUCCACGGGACUUGGAGGCUUUCAUAGAUACUAUUGUUGUAGGAGAGGAGAGAGGAGAGUCUUGCGCUAGAGCUGCUAGCAUACAUUUUCCCGUGCUUCGGUACUUCUCAUUAUUCGUGGGAAAAUGUUUGAUUGGCCGUGGGAAAGCUGGGGCCCUUAGCUCCCCAGAUCUUGGGGUUUUGCGCGAAGCCCUUUAUAAUGAUAAAACUUAUAGCUUGGAUGCUAUAGUAGCUCAACGGUUGAACACGAACCGUUCCAAAGGCGUUGUUUAUGAAGGUAUCUAUGCUACCCGUCUUGCUAGACAUUUUGAGAUACCUAUAAGACUGCACGAGGAAGAAGAGAUUCUUCUUCCUCAGAGAUAUCUAGAUUAUGAUAGCAUGGUUCGCCAUGACCUUCUUGAUAAAGAUAUAAGUAAGAGGAUGAUUUAUAACCUGGUAUUUAGUCAGGGUACUCGUGAGACUAUUACUUUGCCUGCUCCUUCUUUCUUCAAUCUUCAUCUAGGCAGGUACAUUAUUAUGCCCUCGGACAUCUACGCAUAUUGGGGCAUAGCACCACCACAGGCGCCCGUGCCCGAGCUACCAGUCGAGUACGAGACGCCAAUUUAUCAGUGGGAGCCAGAGGAGCUCACACAGCAGUGGCACCCUCAGUACACUCCGGAGUACCCCAGAGACGGUUAUUUCCCUCCUUGGGAGUAUACCAAAUUAGGCCAAAAGCCUAAGCUUGGGGGAGUACGUGUUUCUCACCGACUUUAUAUUCUUGUUCACACAUUCACUUUGUUAGUCGGUGUUUACACUUUGCCACUGUAUCAUCCAUGCUAGUUUAUUUCUUUUUCUUGCUUUCUUCUCGUGUGUUUGUCUAGUUUGAGAAAACCCAAAAAGAUUUCUCGUUCUUCUUUUGCUUGUUGGGAGUUUUCCCGUGUAAAUAGUUUUCUUUUUCUUUGGGUCAAGGUAGAAGACCAUGGUUACAAUGUUUAGUGGCUCUCACAUGCAUAUCUGUUUAUCUGUUGAAGAGCCAUAUUACUUUGUCUUCUCCUUUGUGUUUGCUUGCAGAUUCUAGCUUAGUCCAAUGCACGAGUACUCUUAUUAUUGUUUACAUCAUUCGGUCGUGCAAGUGAAAGGAGAUAAUGAUGAUAUAUGAUGAAGUGACUGAGCCUGGAAAAGCUGGUAUGAACUCGAUCUAUUUUGUUUUUGUAAAUAUGACUAGCUCAUCAUUCCUGAUUCAACUUUCUUGUGAGAGAAACAUGUUUGCAAUGACAACUUAGAGAUCAUAGUUUCUCAUGCCAUGCUUAAUUAGCUAGGAUCUUAUAAUGGUUUGUCUUGGAUCCCACCAUGAAUUUGAGAUGAUUAUGAUGUAGUAUGAUAGGAUGGUAUCCUCCUUUGAAUGAUUCAAGUGGCUUGACUUGGCGCAUGUUUACUCAUGUAGUUGAAACAAAAUCAAGAUAGCCUCUAUGAUAUUCAUGUUCACGGUGAUUUAUGUCCUACUCAUGCUUGAACUCCAUGUUGGUUAAUCUCAAUGCAUUUUGAUGACUGUUGUCGCUCUCUAGUUGGUCGCUUCCCAGUCUUUUGCUAGCCUUCACUUCUACUAAGCAGGAAUACUGCUUGUGCAUCCACUUCCAUAAACCCAAAGUUGUUCCAUAUGACUCCACCAUACCUACCUAUAUGCGGUAUCUACCUGCUCUUCCAAGUAAAUUUGCAUGUGCCACUCUCUAAACCUUCAAGAAAUAAUCUAUUUUGCAUGCCCGAACCACUCAUGUGGUGACAGGGGGCGAUCAGUAUCUUCCAUGCUAGGCGUGUUAUCCCCGAUAUGUGUUUAUUCACUAUCAUUCAUGAGCAAGGGGUCGGUAAUUGGAACGCCCAAUUCCAUGCUCAAAUCGAAAAUAUAAUUGCAAACAAAACUCCCCCUGGAUUGUUGUUGGUAUGGACGGCACCCGAGUAUUCGGCUAGUCAUGGAGUGAGAUUGAUCGGUGGUGGGGGAGUCAACACUUUACUUUUCUGUUUGGGAACCGCCUAUAAUAUGUGUAGCAUGGAAGAUGGUGAAAACUCUUGGUCAUCGCGUUGACACUGAAAGCAUGCCACGCAAAAUUAUUUAUCUCUGUUUUAAAAGCUUGAGCUCUAGUACCUCUGCAAAUCAAUGCUUUCCUCUGUGAAGGACUUGUCUAUUUAUGUUUCUGUUGAGUCAUCCUCUUCUUAUAAAAGCACCAAUUAGAGAUUACCUCUGUCAUUUCUAUAAUUUGCUUUUAAUUGAUAUUGAGUAUGAUUGUGACUGGUUCUUCUUUGCCAUGAAUUACAAUGUUCAGUCAGCCCUUGGUCUUUGAAGGUGCUCUGCAUUUAUGUUUUGCGGUCUGAGAAAUAGCUAGCGAGAUACCAUCUGUUCAUAUUGCUUCAUGAUUGUUUUGAUUGAAGUGUUGACAUUUGAAACUCAUUAGUAUUGCUCGCUACUUGAUUAUGCCGUUGAUAUGAGUUCCUCUUGAGACCUAAAUGUCGUUGCUUAUGUGGUUAGCUUAUGAUCUUGCUGAAAAUCUGAAUAUGAGUUAGACAUAAUUGCAACAACAAGAUUAAACAGAGUUCGUAAAAGUUUUUCUUUUGUCUGUUUCAGUUUGUCAACUAAAUUUCUUGAGGACAAGCAAGGUUUUAAGCUUGGAGGAGUUGAUACAUCUCCGUCGUAUAUACUUUUCCAAACUCUUUUGCCCUUGUUUUGGACUCUAAUUCGCAUGAUUUGAAUGGAACUAACCCGGACUAACACUGUUUUCAGCAGAAUUGCCAUGGUGUUGUUUUUGCGCAGAAAUAAAAGUUCUCGGAAUGACCUGGAAAUUUACGAGGAUUUUUUGUGGAAUAUAUAAAAAAAUCCUCGUAAGUUUCCAGGUCAUUCCAAGAAAUUUUAUUUCUGCACAAAAACAACCAUGGCAGUUCUGCUGAAAACAGCGUCACUCCGGGUUAGUUUCAUUCAAUUCAUGCAAAUUAGAGUCCAAAACAAGGGCAAAAGAGUUUGGAAAAGUAGAUACGUUGGAGACGUAUCAACUCCCCCAAGCUUAAAUCCUUGCUUGUCCUCAAGCAAUUCAGUUGAUAAACUGAAAGAGACAAAAGAAAAACUUUUACGAACUCUGUUUGAUCUUGUUGUUGUAAUUAUGUCUAACUCAUAUUCAGACUUUCAGCAAGAUCAUAAGCUAACCACAUAAGCAAUGACAUUUAGGUCUCAUGGUAUACUCAUAUCAAUGGCGUAAUUAACUAGCAAGCAAUAAUAAUGACUUUCAAACAUCAACACUUCAAACAAAAUAAUCAUGAUACAAUAUGAAAAAUGGUAUCUCGCUAGCCCUUUCUCAGACCGCAAAACAUAAAUGCAGAGCACCUUCAAAGACCAAAGGCAGACUGGAAAUUGUAAUUCAUGGCAAAGAAGAUCCAGUCAUAGUCAUACUCAAUAUCAAUUAAUAGCAAAGCAUAUAAAUGAUGGAGGUGCUCUCUAACUUGUGCUUUUUAAUAAGAAGAGGACGACUCAACAGAAACGUAAAUAGAUAUGCCCUUCGCAGAGGGAAUCAUUAAUUUGGAGAGGUGCUAGAGCUCAAGCUUUUUUUAAACAGAGAUAAAUAAUUUUGGGUGGCAUGCUUUCAUUAUCAACGCGAUGACCAAGAGUUUCCACCAUCUUCCAUGCUACACAUAUUAUAGGCGGUUCCCAAACAGAAUAGUAAAGUUGUGACUCCCCCACCACCGAUCAAUCACACUCCACGACUAGCCGAAUCCUCGGGCGCCAUCCAUACCAACAACAAUCCAAGGGGAGUGUUGUUUGCAAUUAUAUUUUUGAUCUGAUUUGAGCAUGGAACUGGGUAUUCCGAUUACCGACCCCUUUCUCGUGAGUGAUAGUGAAUAAACACGUAUCGAGGAUAACACGCCUAGCAUGGAAGAUACUGACCGCCCCUUGUCACCACAUGAGCGAUUCAGGCAUACAAAACAGAUUAUUAUUUGAAGAUUUAGAGAGUGGCACAUGCAAAUUUACUUGGAACGACAAGUAGAUACCACAUAUAGGUAGGUAUGGUGGACUCAUACGGAACAACUUUGGGUUUAUGGAAGUGGAUGCACAAGCAGUAUUCCCUCUUAGUACAAGUGAAGGCUAGCAAAAGACUGGGAAGCGACCAACUAGAGAGCGACAACAGUCAUCAGUAUGCAUUGAAAUUAACCAAUGUUGAGUGCAAGCAUGAGUACGAUAUAAAUCACCAUAAACAUGAAUAUUUUCGAGGAUAUGUUGAUUUUGUUUCAACUACAUGCGUGAACAUGUGCCAAGUCAAGCCACUUGAAUCAUUCAAAGGAGGAUACCAUCCUAUCAUACUACAUCAUAAUCAUCUUGAAAAUCAUCUUGGCAUCCAAGACAAACCAUUAUAAGCUCCUAGCUAAUUAAGCAUGGCAUCAGAAACUAUGAUCUCUAAGUUGUCAUUGCAAACAUGUUUCUCUCAUAACAAUGCUGAAUUAGGAACGAUGAGCUAGUCAUAUUUAUAAUAACAAAAUAGGUCGAGUUCAUACUAGCUUUUGCAGGCUCAGUCACUUCAUCAUAUAUCAUCAUUAUUGCCUUUCACUUGCACGACCGAAUGAUGUGAAUAAUAAUAAGAGUGUUCGUGCAUUGGACUAAGCUGGAAUCUGCAACAAAAUUCAGAGGAGAAUACAAAGUAAUAUGGCUCUUUGACGGAUAAACAAUAAUGCAUAUGAGAGCCACUAAUCAUUUUAAUCAUGGUCAUUGAUACGUCUCAAACGUAUCUAUAAUUUUUGAUGGUUUCACGCUGUUAUCUUGCCAUCUUUGGAUGUUUUAUGUACCUUUUAUAUAUUUUUUGGCACAAACUUAUUAAUUCAGUGUCAAGUGCCAGUUCCUGUUUUUCUGUGUUUUUGACUCUUUUUAGAUCUGAUUUUGGAACGAAGUCCAAACGGAAUAAAAACCCCGAAAUGAUUUUUUCCCGAACGGAAGAAGAUCAGGGGGGCUCGGGGCCAAGCCAGGUGGGCUCUAGGGAGCCCAGAGGCUCCCACUCCGCCACCAGGGGGAGGCGGCGGUGUCAGGGCUUGUGGCCUCCCUGGCCGCCCCGUGACCUAGAUCCUUGGCCUAUAUAUUCCCAAAAAUUCAGCAAAAAAUCAAGGGAGCCUCGAAAAUACUUUUUCGCCGCCGCAAGCUUCUGUUUCCGCGAGAUCUCAUCUGGUGACCCUUCCCGGCGCCCUGCCGGAGGGGACUUUGGAGUUGGAGGGCUUCUUCAUCAUCAUCAUCGCCCCUCCAAUGACUCGUGAGUAGUUCACUUCAGAUCUACGGGUCCGUAGUUAGUAGCUAGAUGGCUUCUUCUCUCUCUUGGAUCUUCAAUACAAAGUUCUCCAUGAUCUUCAUGGAGAUCUAUCCGAUGUAAUCUUCUUUGGCGGUGUGUUUGUUGAGAUCCGAUGAAUUGUGGAUUUGUGAUCAGAUUAUCUAUGAUAUAUAUUUGAGUCUUUGUUGAUUUCUUAUAUGCAUGAUUUGAUAUCCUUGUAAGUCUCUCCGAGUCUUGGGUUUUGUUUGGCCAACUAGAUCUAUGAUUCUUUCAAUGGGAGAAGUGCUUGGUUUUGGGUUCUACCAUGUGGUGACCUUUCCAAGUGACAGUAGGGGCAGCAAGGCAGACAUUAAGUAGUUGCCAUCAUGCGUAAAAAGAUGGGGUUUUCAUCAUUGGUUUGAGAUUAUCCCUCUACAUCAUGCCAUCUUGCUUAAGGCGUUACUCUGUUCUUAUGGACUUAAUACACUAGAUGCAUGCUGGAUAGCGGUCGACGUGUGGAGUAAUUGUAGUAGAUGAAGAAAGUAUCGGUCUACUUGUUUUGGACGUGAUGCCUAUAGAUAUAAUCAUUGCCAUAGAUACAGUCACGACUUUGCGCGGUUCUAUGAAUUGCUCGACAGUAAUUUGUUCACCCACCGUCUACUUGCUUUCAUGAGAGAAGCCACUAGUAAACACUACGGCCCCCGGGUCUAUUCACAUCCAUCGUUUACACCUCCGCUUUUACUUUGCUUUGUUACUUUGUUGCUUUUAGUUCUCACUUGGCAAACAAUCUAUAAGGGAUUGACAACCCCUUCAUAGCGUUGGGAGCAAGCUUUUUGUGUUUGUGGAGGCUCUUGUGAUACUCCUCCACUGGAUCGAUACCUUGGUUCUCAAACUGAGGGAAAUACUUACCACCUCUAUGCUACAUCACCCUUUCUGCUUUGAGGGAACACCAAUGCAAGGCUCCAAGGCCACGGGGGAAAUACUUUGCAUACUUGCCGAGGAAGUCCCUUAAGGUGUAGCCGCAGAAGAAGGAUCAACCCAAGUAUUCUCCCGUCAACGUGCCUAUUUCUGGCACCAUUGGAAGGUCCUUGGUUGCAGUAGCAGAAGUAUUUCUGGCGCCGUUGCCAGGGAGGAGAGAUCUAUCCAAGUAGGUCUCACAAACUCAUCUCUUGCAUUUACUUUUUUGCCAGUUUCCUCUCGUUUUCCCCUCCCCGACUUCACAUUUGCCGUUUUCAUUUGCCUUUCUCCUUUGCCUUUUUCAUUCGCCCUUUUCUCUUGUUUGCCUUUCCGUUGCUUGUGUGCUAUGUGCCUUCAAUAUGCUUGCAUCUUCGCUUACUGAAAAUCUAGUGAUAUGGAUCCUCAUCCACUUGCUAAUCUCUUUAAGAGACCAACUUAUGUGGAACGAAUUGCUAGUGAGUUGAGGGCACUUGAUUAUCUUUAUGGAGUUUUGCUUGAGAUCCGUGAAUCUGAAAAUUGCGAGGAAGAAAAUUAUGAAGUGAUUCACAAGGGCUCCUUGGAUGAAAAGCAUGAUUGCAAUGGUUUCACUAUAAAUCCUAUUAGUGAAAAUCAUGCUAAAAAUAUGCAAAACCCUAAUCUUGGGGAUGCUAGUUUUGCUAUGUCCCCUACUUGUUGCAAUAAUCAUGAUUGGGGUGAUGAUCUUUCUUAUGAUCUUGAAAAUUUGUUUAAGCCUCAUGAUGAGUAUGAUAUUUGCAACAAUAUUGAAAGUGGGAUUGGAGAAGUCAUGACUUUAUUUAAUGAUAAUCCCACUAUUUUUGAAGAGCGUCAACUUUGCAUGCAUAUGGAUCAUGAAAAGAAUAUCCUAUGUGAUAGUUACAUUGUUGAAUUCGAAUAUGAUCCCACAUGUAAUUAUUAUGAGAGGAAAAUAUGGUGGUAGAAACUUUCAUAUCACUAAAUCACCUCUCGUUAUGUUGAGAUGGCUAUUGUCUCUUUCUUCUUCCUUGCAUUUGGUAACUAUUGGUUGUCUUGCCAAUUUGUUUUCCUAUAAAAUGCCUAUGGAUGGGAAGUAUGUUAGACUUAGAUGUGAUUUUCACAUGCUUUAUGAUGCUCUCAUUGUGCUUCAACUCUUGUCUUUUGUGUGAGCAUCAUUGAUGCCUAGCUAAGGGCGUUAAACAAUAGCGCUUGUUGGGAGGCAACCCAAUGAAUUUAUUCUUUUUCAUUCUGUUUUGUGUUUUCCCCACUUUCAUAAUUCUGUUAUGAUUGUGUUUUUUGUGUUUAUUUUUGCGUUUUUGCCAAGCAAAACCGUUAUGAUUAGUCUUGGGGAUGAUCGUUUGGUCAUGCUGGAAAAGAAAGAAACUUUCUGCUCACGAAAAGAAUUUUCAUUUUUUUUAUGUAAGAGAUUUGGAGUUGAUUGUUUUUGCUGCUGAUGUCUACGCAAAUACUUCAUACUUUCGUAAAUGUUCAGAAUUUUUGAAGUAAAAUAGGCAUACGAAAUAUACAGAUUGCUCAGACUGGUCUGCUGUUAACAGAUUCUGUUUUUGUUGUGUUGGUUGCUUAUUUUGAUGAAACUAUGGAUAGUAUCGGGGGGUAUUAGCCAUGGAAGAUUGAAAGUACAGUAACCCAACAUCAGGACAAGUAGAAUUUAAGUUUUCUACAGUACCUAAGGAAGUGGUGGUUUGGUUUCUUGUACUAAUGUUAUCACGAGUUUCUGUUUAAGUUUCGUGUUAUGAAGUUUUCAAGUUUUGGGUGAAGUUCUUAUGGACAAAGAGAUAAAGAGUGGCAAGAGCUCAAGAUUGGGGAUUCCCAAGGCACCCCAAGAGAUUCAAGGAUGCCGUAAAAGCCUAAAGCUUGGGGAUUCCCCAGGAAGGCAUCCCUUCUCUCGUCUUCAAUCCAUCGGUAACGUUACUUGGGGCUAUAUUUUUAUUCACCACAUGUUAUGUGUUUUUGCUUGGAGCGUCUUGUGUCGUAGGAGUCUUUUAUUUUUGUUGUGACACAAUCAUCCUUGCUGCACACAUAGAGAGAGAGACAUGCACACACCAUGAUUUUGUCGAGCUUCACUUAUAUCUUUUGGUAGACAAUUCAGCUCACAUGUGCUUCACUUAUAUCUUUUGAGCUAGAUACUUUUGCUCUAUGUGCUUCACUUAUAUCUUUUAGAGCGCAGCGGUGCGUGGCUUGGUAGUUUCUCUAUGAUUUGAAAGUAGUCUCAAAAGGGGUAGUUAUCCAAAGGGAUACGAAAACUUCCACCUUCAUGUGCAUUGAAUAGUUAGAGAAGUUUGAUUCAUCUCAAUUAGUUUUGAGUUGUGGUUAUGGUAAUAUUGAAGUCAUGCUAGUAAGGUGUUGUGGAUCUAGAAAUACUUGUGUUGAAGUUAGUGAUUCCCGUAGCAUGCACGUAUGGUGAACCGCUAUGUGAUGAAAUCUGAGCAUGAUUAGUCUAUUGAUUGUCAUCCUUUGCGUGGCGGUCGGGAUCGCGCGAUUGUUUAUACCUACCAACCCUUCCCCUAGGAGUAUGCGUUGAAUGCUUUGUUUCGAUUACUAUUAAAACUUUUGCAACAAGUAUAUGAGGUCUUCAUGACUAAUGUUGAGUCCAUGGUUUAGAUGCACUUUCACCUACCACCAUCACUAUCUUCUUAGUGCCGUGCAACUUUCGCCGGUGCACAAAACCCACCAUUAGCCUCCCUCAAAACAGCCACCAUACCUACCUACUAUGGCUUUUUCAAAGUUAUUCCGAGAUAUAUUGCCAUGCAACUACCACCAUGACAUGUGCCACCACGUCUACAUUGCCAUUGCAUGAUCGUAAGAUAGCUAUCAUGAUGUUUCCAUUGAUGUCUAUGCCAUGCUAGAUCAUUGACAAGGUACACUACCGAAGGCAUUCCAUAUAGAGUCAUAGUUGCUCUAACUUUUGAGUUGAAAGUGUGAUGAUCAUCAUUAUUGGAGCAUUGUCCCAUGUGAGGAAAUAAAAGAGGCCAAAGAAGCCCACCCAAAAAAAGAGAGGCCAGAGAGCCCACCAAAAAAAUGAGAGAAAAAGAGAGAAGGGACAAUGCUACCACUUUUCCACACUUCUGCAUAUUAAGCACCAUGAUCUUCAUGAUUGAGAGUCUCUCGUUUUGUCACCACCAUAUAGCUAGUGGGAAAUUUUCAUUAUAUAACUUGGCUUGUAUAUUCCAAUGAUAGGCUUCCUCAAAAUUGCCUUAGGUCUUCGUGAGCAAGCAAGUUGGAUGCACACCCACUAGUUUUCUUUAAGAGCUUUCACAUACUCGUAGUUCUAGUGCAUCAUUUGUAUGGCAGUCCCUACUCAUUCACAUUGAUAUAUAUUGAUGAGCAUCUCCACAGCUCAUUGAUAUGCCUAGUUAAUGUGACUAUCUUCUCCUUUUUUUGCCUUGCAACCUCUACCACAUUCCACACCAUCUAUAGUGCUAUAACCAUGGCUCACGCUCAUGUAUUGCGUGAGAGUUGAAAAGGUUUGAGAAAGUAAAGGUGUGAAACAAUUACUUGGCCAAUACCGGGGUUGUGCAUGAUUUAAAUUCGUUGUGCAAUGAUGAUAGAGCAUAGCCAGACUAUAUGCUUUUGUAGGGAUAACUUUCUUUUGGCCUUGUUAUUUUGAAAGUUCAUGAUUACCUUGCUAGUUUGCUUGAAUUAGUAUUGUUUCCAUGUCAAUAGCAAACUAUUGUUUUGAAUCUAAUGGAUCUGAACAUUCACGUCACAUAAGAGGAAUUACAAAGGACACCUAUGCUAGGUAGCAUGAAAGCAUCAAAAAAUCAUUCUUUAUCACUUCCCUACUCGAGGACGAGCAGGAGUUAAGCUUGGGGAUGCUUGAUACGUCUCAAACGUAUCUAUAAUUUUUUAUGGUUUCACGUUGUUAUCUUGCCAUCUUUGGAUGUUUUAUGUACCUUUUAUAUAUUUUUUGGGACUAACUUAUUAAUUCAGUGUCAAGUGCGAGUUCCUGUUUUUUCUGUGUGUUUAACUCUUUUUAGAUCUGAUUUUGGAACGGAGUCCAAACGGAAUAAAACCCCGAAAUGAUUUUUUCCCGAAGGAAAGAAGAUCAGGGGGCCUCUGGGCCAAGCCAGGUGGGCUCCAGGGAGCCCACAAGCUCCCAAUCCGCCACCAGGGGAGGCGGCGGUGUCAGGGCUUGUGGCCUCCCUGGCCGCCCCCUGACCUAGAUCCUUGGCCUAUAUAUUCCCAAAAAUUCAGCAAAAAAAUCAGGGGAGCCUCGAAAAUACUUUUCCGCCGCCGCAAGCUUCCGUUUCCGCGAGAUCUCAUCUAGAGACCCUUCCCGGCGCCCUGCCGGAGGGGACUUUGGAGUUGGAGGGCUUCUUCAUCAUCAUCAUCGCCCCUCCAAUGACUCGUGAGUAGUUCACUUCAGACCUACGGGUCCGUAGUUAGUAGCUAGAUGGCUUGUUCUCUCUCUUGGAUCUUCAAUACAAAGUUCUCCAUGAUCUUCAUGGAGAUCUAUCCGAUGUAAUCUUCUUUGGCGGUGUGUUUGUCGAGAUCCGAUGAAUUGUGGAUUUUUGAUCAGAUUAUCUAUGAUAUAUAUUUGAGUCUUUGCUGAUUUCUUAUAUGCAUGAUUUGAUAUCCUUGUAAGUCUCUCCGAGUCUUGGUUUUGUUUGUCCAACUAGAUCUAUGAUUCUUGCAAUGGGAGAAGUGCUUGGUUUUGGGUUCUACCAUGUGGUGACCUUUCCCAGUGACAGUAGGGGCAGCAAGGCACACAUUAAGUAGUUGCCAUCAAGGGUAAAAAGAUGGGGUUUUCAUCAUUGGUGUGAGAUUAUCCCUCUACAUCAUGUCAUCUUGCUUAAGGCGUUACUCUGUUCUUAUGGACUUAAUACACUAGAUGCAUGUUGGAUAGCGGUCGACGUGUGGAGUAAUAGUAAUACAUGUAGAAAGUAACGGCCUACUUGUUUUGGACGUGAUGCCUAUAGAUAUAAUCAUUGCCGUAGAUAUCGUCACGAAUUUGCGCGGUUCUAUGAAUUGCUCGACAGUAAUUUGUUCACCCACCGUCUACUUGCUUUCAUGAGAGAAACCACUAGUAAACACUACGACCAUCCAUCGUUUACACCUCCGCUUUUACUUUGCUUUGUUACUUUGUUGCUUUCAGUUCUCACUUGGCAAACAAUCUAUAAGGGAUUGACAACCCCUUCAUAGCGUUGGGAGCAAGCUUUUUGUGUUUGUGCAGGCUCUUGUGAUACUCCUCCACUCGAUCGAUACCUUGUUUCUCAAACUGAGGGAAAUAAUUACCACCGCUACGCUACAUCACCCUUUCCGCUUCGAGAGAACACCAACGCAAGGCUCCAAGGCCACGGGGGAAAUCCUUUGCAUACUUGCCUAGGAAGUCCCUUAAGGCGUAGCCGCAGCAGAAGGAUCAAGCCAAGUAUUCUCCUGUCAACGUGCCUAUUUCUGGCGCCAUUGGAAGGUCUUUUGUUGCAGUAGGAGUCUUCUAACUCGACCCAAAGAAAAAAGAAAACUAUUUACACGGGAAAGCUCCCAACAAGCAAAAGAAGAACGGGAAAUCUUUUUGGGUUUUCUUUUUAAUUACCACUAAGCAUGCUGGAAACUUUUGGAGUCGGUUUACUUACCGUAUCACAUACCUUUUCGUUCUUGGAGUAUGAAACAAGCUAGUAAAUACCCCUUAUGUACUCCUCCAGAGUUAUGGUAUUAAUAAUAUUGCUUUCGACAUUUAUGGGAGUACCUGAGAUAUAAUGCUUGAUUCUUUGCCUAUUUUCAACUCUCGGAAAAUUACCUUCCGCAUUGUUGAUUUUUAUGGCAUCGGAACGAUAUACUUCCUCAAAAAUGUAAGGUCCUACCCAUUUAGAGAGAAGUUUCCCUGCAAAAAAUCUUAAACGAGAAUUGUAUAGCAAGACAUAAUCACCUACACUCAAAUCACGUUUUUGUAUCCUUUUAUCAUGCCACCUCUUAACCUUUUCUUUAAACAACUUGGCAUUUUCAUAUGACCGAGUUCUCCAUUCAUCAAGUGAGCUAAUGUCAAAUAACGUCUUCUCACCAGCAAGUUUGGAAUCAAAGUUGAGCUCUUUGAUUGCCCAAUAAUCCUUAUGCUCUAGCUCAAGAGGUAAAUGGCAUGCUUUACCGUAAACCAUAUUAUACGGAGACAUGCCCAUGGGAUUCUUAUAAGCAGUUCUAUAAGCCCACAGUGCAUCAUCAAGUUUCUUAGACCAAUUCUUUCUAGACCUAUUAACAGUCUUUUGCAAAAUUAAUUUAAUUUCUCUAUUACUUAACUCUACUUGACCACUAGACUGAGGAUGAUAAGGAGAUGCAAUUCUAUGGUUGACAUCAUACUUAGCAAGCAUUUUACGGAAAGCACCAUGAAUAAAAUGUGAACCACCAUCAGUCAUUAAAUAUCUAGGGACUCCAAAUCUAGGAAAUAUAACUUCUUUAAGCAUCUUAAUAGAGGUGUUAUGAUCAGCACUACUAGUUGGAAUAACUUCUACCCACUUAGUAACACAAUCAACAGCAACUAGAAUAUGAGUAUACCCGUUGGACUUUGGAAAAGGUCCCAUAUAAUCAAAACCCAAACAUCAAAUGGUUCAAUAACAAGUGAAUAAUUCAUAGGCAUUUCCUGACGUUUACUGAUAUUACCUAUUCUUUGACAUUCAUCACAAGACAAGACAAACUUACGAGCAUCCUUGAAGAGAGUAGGCCAAUAAAAACCGGAUUGCAAUACCUUGUGUGCAGUUCUAUCUCCCGCAUGGUGUCCUCUGUAAGCCUCGGAGUGACACUUCUGUAGGAUCUGUCCCUGUUCAUGCUCAGGUACACAACGUCUAAUAACACCAUCUACUCCUUCUUUAUAAAGGUGAGGAUCAUCCCAAAAGUAAUGUCUCAAAACAUAAAAGAACUUUUUCUUUUGUUGGUAUGUGAAACUAGGUGGUAUAUAUUUAGCAACAAUAUAAUUAGCAUAAUCAGCAUACCAUGGUGUACUAUGUGAAACAUUGAUGACAUUCAAUUGUUCAUCAGGAAAGCUAUCAUCAAUAUGUUGUGGGUCAUCAAGAACAUUCUCUAACCUAGACACGUUAUCUGCUACGGGGUUCUCAGCACCCUUCCUAUCAACAAUAUGCAAAUCAAAUUCUUGUAGCAAGAGAACCCAUCUAAUAAGUCUAGGUUUAGCAUCUUUCUUUUCCAUGAGAUAUUUAAUAGCAGCAUGAUCAGUGUGAAUAGUAACUUUGGAAUCAACAAUAUAAGAUCUGAACUUAUCACAUGCAAACACCACUGCUAAAAAUUCUUUUUCAGUAGUAGCAUAGUUUCUUUGGGCACUGUCUAGAGUUUUAUCAACAUAAUGAAUAGCAUUUAAUUUCUUAUCAACUCUUUGUCCUAGAACAGCACCAACAACAUAAUCACUAGCAUCACACAUAAUUUCAAAAGGUAGGUUCCAAUCAGGUGGUUGAACAAUAGGUGUAGUUAUCAAGGCCUUCUUAAGUAUUUCAAAUGCUUCUUCACAAUCAUCAUCAAAAACAGAUGGAAUAUCCUUUUGCAAGAGAUUGGUGAGAGGCCUAGAAAUCUUAGAGAAGUCUUUAAUGAACCUUCUAUAGAAACCAGCAUGACCAAGGAAACUUCUUAUACCUUUAAUGUCUGUAGGGCAUGGCAUUUUCUCGAUCGCAUCAACUUUAGCCUUAUCGACUUCAAUACCUCUUUCAGAAAUUUUAUGACCUAAGACGAUGCCUUCAUUAACCAUAAAGUGGCACUUCUCCCAAUUCAAGACAAGGUUAGUAUCUUACAUCUCUGCAAAACUCGAUCAAGGUUGCUCAAGCAAUCAUCAAAAGAAGAUCCGUAAACGGAGAUAUCAUCCAUGAAAACCUCAACAAUCUUUUCACAAAAGUCAGAGAAUAUAGCCAUCAUACAUCUUUGAAAGGUAGCAGGUGCAUUACAUAAACCAAAAGGCAUACGUCUAUAAGCAAAGAUACCGAAAGGGCAAGUAAAAGUGGUUUUGUCCUGAUCAUAUUGUGCAACCGGUAUUUGGGAGAAACCAGAAUAACCAUCUAGAAAGCAAAAGUGUGUGUGUUUAGACAGUCUUUCUAGCAUUUGGUCGAUAAAAGGCAAAGGGUAAUGAUCUUUCCUAGUGGCCUUAUUCAAUUUCCUAAAGUCAAUUACCAUCCUAUAGCCAGUAACAAUUAUUUGUGGGAUCAAUUCAUCUUUAACAUUAGGGAGAACGGUAAUACCUACCUUCUUAGGGACACAAUGCACCGGACUUACCCAAUCACUAUGAGCAACAUGAUAGAUAAUACCUGCUUCAAGGAGCUUUAGUAUUUCCUUUCUUACCACCUCUUUCAUCUUAGGAUUUAAUCUUCGUUAAUGAUGAGUAACUGGUUUGAAAUCAGGAUCAGUUUUAAUUUUAUGCUGGCAUAGAGUGGGACUAAUGCCCUUAAGAUCAUAAAAGAGUAUAUCCAAUAGUAACACGGUGCUUCCUCAGAGUUUUCAGUAAUUUCUUUUCUUCAUGCUCUGAAAGGUUAGCACUAAUAAUAACAGGAUAUAUCUCUUUUUCAUAAAGAUAAGCAUACUUAAGAGUAUUAGGUAAUUUUUUAAGCUCAAACACAGGAUCACCCUUUGGUGGAGGUGGAUCUCCAAGUAAUUCAAUAGGAAACUUAUUCUUAAGGAUAGGACGUUGUUCAAAGAUAACUCUAUCUAUCUCAUUCCUUUCAUCCAUAUGCAUAUCAUUUUCAUGUUCAAGCAAGUAUUGCUCUAAAAGAUCAGUAGGAGGCACAACAAUAGAAGCAAGAGCAAUAAUUUCAUCCUUACUAGACAAUUAUUUUUCAUGAGGUUGUCUACCAAACUUAGAAAAAUUAAAUUCAGGUGACACACCUUCAAAGCCAACAGUAACAGUUUGUUUCUCAGAGUCAAUCUGAGCAUUAACAGUAUUGAGGAAAGGUCUACCAAAUAUGAUGGGACAAAAGCUAUCUUGUGUGGUAGCAAGAACGAGAAAAUCAGUAGGAUACUUAGUUUUACCACACAAGACUUCAACAUCUCUAACAAUUCCCACAGGGAAGAUAGUAUCUCUAUUAGCAUGUUGAAUAGUAACAUUAAUAAAUUCCAUCUCGACAGGUGCAAUCUCAUCUUUAAUUUCAUUAUAUAACGAUUGAGGUAUUGCACUAACACUAGCACCCAUGUCAAAUAAACCAUGAUCACAAUGAUCUCCUAUCUUAACAGAAACAACAUGCAUGCCAACAACAGGUUUAUGUUUGUCUCUAGCAUGAGGUUUAGCAAUUCUAGCAGCACCUUCACAGAAUUGAAUAACAUGCCCAUCAACAUUAUUGGCCAAGAGAUCUUUAAUAAUAGCAAUGCUAGGUUCAACUUUUAUUUUCUCAGGGGGUGUAGGUGUUCUAAUGUAGCCCUUAUGUAUCACAGUUGAAGUUUUAGCAUGAUCCUUUAUUCUAACAGGGAAAGGUGGUUUCUCAAUGUAAGCACUAGGAACAAUAGAAUCAUUAUAAGCAAUAACUUUCUCUUCAACUAGAUUGGGUUUUACUACAUUGACUUCUAUGGGAGGAUGAUAUUUAGACCACUUCUCCCUAGGGAGAUUAAUAUGAACAACAAAUGAGUCACAUAAUGAAGCUACUAUCGCAGAUUCAAGUCCAUGUUUAGCACUAAAAUCACGAAGAGUAUUUGUUUCAACGAAGGAUUUAAUGCAAUCGAACUUAAGAUUCAUACCUGACUCCUCACCUUCAUAAAACUCCCAAUCUUUAGAGUUGCAUUUAAUUCUUUCCAAUAAAUCCCAUUUGAAGUCAAUAUCUCUCUUCAUAAAAGAACCGGUACAAGAAGUGUCAAGCAUGGUGCGAUUAUCAUGAGUAAGCCGAGCAUAGAAGUUCUGAAUAAUAAUUUCUCUCGAGAGCUCAUGGUUGGGGCAUGAAUAUAACAUUGACUUAAGCCUCCCCCAAGCUUGAGCGAUACUUUCUCUAUCACGAGGACAAAAAUUAUAGGUAUAAUUCCGAUCACGAUGUACCAAAUGCAUAGGAUAAAACUUUUGAUGAAAUUCCAAUUUCAAUCGGUUGUAGUUCCAUGUCCAGUAUCAUCACAUAGCCUAUACCAUGUCAAUGCUUUAUCCCUCAAAGAUAAGGGAAAGAGCUUCUUCUUGACCUCAUCCUCGGGCAAACCUGCAAGCUUAAAUAAACCACAAACUUCCUCUACAUAGAUUAGAUGCAAGUCGGGAUGUGAUGUUCCAUCUCCUGUAAAAGGAUUAGCCAACAGUUUCUCUAGCAUACCCGAGGAAUUUCAUAAUAAAUAUUUUCAGUAGGUGCAGUAGGUUGAGGAGCAAUUAUUUGUGCUUCCGGUCGAGGUGAAGAUACCCCGAACAAGCCCCUCAAAGGAUUAGUUUCCAUAGUGACAAGUGGCAAUAAAUUUCAGCACACUAUAUAAAUGUUUCCUUACCAAAUUCCACUCACCAAAGGCGUUUCACUCCUCGGCAACAGCGCCAGAAAAGAGUCUUGAUGACCCGCAAGUGUAAGGAAUCUGUCGUAGUCCUUUCGAUAAGUAAGAGUGUCAAACCCAACGAGGAGUAGAAGGAAAUGACAAGUGGUGUUCAGCAAGGUAUUCUUUGUAGGCACUGAAAUUAUCGGUAACAGAUAGUUGUGUGAUAAGAUAAUUCGUAAUGGGUAGCAAGUAACAAUAGUAACAAAGGUGCAGAAAGAUGACCCAAUCCAUUUUGUAGCAACGUACAAGCCUGGAUGAAUUCUUAUAUAAGGUAAAGCGCUCCCGAGGACACAUGGGAAUUUCUGUCAAGCUAGUUUUCAUCAUGUUCAUAUGAUUCAUGUUCGCUACUUUGAUAGUUUGAUAUGUGGGUGGACCGGUGCUUGGGUGCUGUACUUACUUGGACAAACAUUCCACUUAUGAUUAACCCCUCUCCCAAGCAUCCGCAACUACGAAAGAAGAAUUAAGACAAAGUCUAACCAUAGCAUUAAACUAGUGGAUCCAAAUCAGCCCCUUGCGAAGCAACACAUAAACUAGGGUUUAAGCUUCUGUCACUCUAGCAACCCAUCAUCUACUUAUUACUUUCCAAUGCCUUCUUAUAGGCCCAAAUAACGGUGAAGUGUCAUGUAGUCGACAUUCACAUAACACCACUAGAGGAAAGACAACAUACAACGCAUCAAAAUAUCGAACGAAUACCAAAUUCACAUGACUACUUAUAGCAAGACUUAUCCCAUGUCCUGAGGAACAAAGGUAACUACUCACAAAGCAUAAUUAUGUUCAUGAUCAAAAAUGUAUUUAAUAGAAUUAAGGAUCUUAACAUAUGAUCUUCCACCGAGUAAACCAACUAGCAUCAACUACAAGGAGUAAUUAACACUACUAGCAACCUUACAAGUACCAAUCGGAGUCGCGAGAUGAAGAUUGGGUACAAGAGAUGAAAUAGGGUUUGGAGAUGAGAUGGUGAUGAUGAAGAUGUUGAUGGAGAUGAGUCCCCUCCGGUGAGAGGAGUGUUGGUGAUGACGAUGGCGACGAUUUCCCCCUCCGGGAGGGAAGAUUGCCUGGCAGGACGGCCCUGCCGGAGCUCUAGAUUGGUUCUGCUCAAGUUCCGCCUCGUGGCGGCAGAGAUUCUUCCCGAAAGCUCUCUCUUGACUUUUUCUGGGAGGAAACCCUCCAUAUAGCAGAAGAUGGGAGCCAGAGGAGUAACAUGGGGCCCACGAGCCUGCUAGGCGUGCCCUUGGGGGGCGCGCUUCCAGGGCUCGUGGCCCACUAGUAGCGUAUUUUUAGUUGAUUCUUUCUCUGACAUUUUUUUAUAUAUUCCAUAAAAAAUCCUUGUAAGUUUCCAGGUCAUUCCAUAAACUUUUAUUUCUGCACAAAAACAACACCAUGGCAGUUCUACUGAAAACAGCGUCAGCCCGGGUUAGUUUCAUUCAAAUCUUGCAAAUUAGAGUCCAAACAAGGGCAAAAGAGUUUGGAAAAGUAGAUACGUUGGAGAAGUAUCAACGGCCACCACCAACACCUGCUCAGGGAGGCGGAAGCGCUGGAGGCUACCCAGCGUGAGUUCGAGGCCACUCGGUGCGAGUUCAAUGCGGCCCAUGGCCUCAUGCUGGCUGCCUACCGACCUAGACUGCUGGGGGAAGUGCAACACUACGGCGGCCGCGUCAGCCACGAGCUGGCCGGCGAUUGCCCCGUCAACGACACCCCCGUCAAGAACAUGCAAGCUACACAGGCUGCCCUCAGUGAGCUGGUAGAGCUAGAACGAGGGACCAGCCCGCAAGGCGCAGCAGCAGCGCAUCCGCGUCGUCAUGGAGGCUACCAACGCGCAGUAGGAGUAGUCGUAUCGCGACCCGGCCAGCUCUCACUCGAGGACCAACGAUGACCCCGCCAACCCGCGACUCGCCGGCGGGACAUGGACUAGGCAUCUUCGCUUGUCGACGCGAACUGUCGCCGCGACAGUUGGCAUGCGGGCAUCCGCGGUCGAUGAGACCACAACCCGUCGGUUGUGAACAACCGCACGAAAGAGCCGGUUGGCCAAGGCAACCGCCAGCUGGCGCGAUGGAGAAACCGCAAAGAUCGCGACCGGAUGGUCGUGCAGUCGCCGCCCCAUCGUUCGAUGUCCAAGAGCAUCGGCCCUCGCCAGCUGGACGACCAAGACGUCCGCUUCUACCUGGAGUGCCUCACGGAAUAUCACACUGUCGAGGAGGAAAGCACAGCCGGCCCGCACUGUUUUGGGCGGCGCAUCCUCAAGGUGCCGCUCCCCAAGGGCUUCACCUUGGCGCGCGAUAGUACAUUGGCUCGACCAAGCCAGAGGAUUGGUUGACCGACUACACCACCACCGUCGGCAUCGCCAGUGGGAACAUGCGAGUGAUAGUAUGCUACGCGCCCCUCAUGCUGCUCGGCUUGGCUCGGACCUGGUUUAACAGCCUACCAGCUGGCUGGACUUCUAGGAGGCGUUUGUGUGCAACUUCACCGGCACAUACAAGCAUCCUGGCCGGCCCCGCCAGCUAGCCCUGUGCGUACAUGGACCGAUCCAGCUCCUCCGCGACUACCUCAGACGAUGGACCGAGCUCAACAACUCCUAUGAGGGCGUCCAUGAGGUACAAGCGAUCCAGUACUUGAUCGACGGCUGCCGAGACGGCACCCUCCUCAAGCACAAGAUCACGCGCGCCUGUAACCGGCUUCCCUGGCGCAGCUGACGGCCGCCGUCGAUGAGUACGCUAUGGCCAAGUCUUCCAUGAAGCUCGCAGUGCAUGUUGAAGCAACCGGCAAGCGAGCCGUGGCCAAGCCGGCUGCCGCCCGACAGCCGGCCGAUCUCGGUCGGAUCAAGGCAAGCAUAAGAGGGACCAGCCGGAUGCCCGUCAGGUAGCCGGUAGGCCACGACCGUCGAGGAUGGUCGGAUGGUCGAUGCCCCGGGCUCCAGCCGGCGCCAGCACACCAGUGACGGCAAGCAACCCUGGCAGGCCAAGUACACCUUCGAGGCCAUGCUCGAUUGGCCUUGCAUGUUCCACAGUGGGGCCAAGCCGGCUACACACAUGUCCCGCCAGUGCAGCUGGUUCACCAAGAUUGCGCGGGGCGAUGUUGUGCCACCCACGCCGCCACCGCCACCGCCUCCCGCUCAGAGAGCCGGCAGCUCCUGAUACGUCUCCAACGUAUCUAUAAUUUUUAUUAUUUCGUGCUAUUAUAUUAUAUGUUUUGGAUGUUCCAUAUGCAUUUAUAUGUUGUUUUAUAUUAUUUUUGGGACUAACCUAUUAAUCUAGAGCCUAGUGUCAGUUUCAGUUUUUUCAACAUUUUUGAAUAUUGCAGAUGAGGAAUAUUAAACGGAGUCCAAGUGGAAUAAAAUCUGCGGAAAUAUUUUUUCGGACCAGAAGACACGCAACAGACUUGGAGUAGGGGGCAAGGCAAUUGCUGGGAGGCCAUAAGACUGCAGGGCGCGCCCUGGGGGUGGCCGCGCCCCCUGGCUUGUGGGCUCCCUGCAGGUCUCCUAACCCUAAUUCGUGGCCUAUAAAUUCCCAAAUAUUCCACUAUCGCCAAAAAGAGCCACGAAAAAACUUCUACGCCGCUGGGAGCCUCUGUUCCCCAGAGAUCCAAUCUGGGAUCCUUUUUCGCAAAUCUACCGGAGAGGGAAUUAAUCACAGAAGGCAUCUACAUCAACUCCAUUGCCCCUCCAAUGAUGUGUGAGUACUUCACCACAGACCUACGGGACCAUAGCUAGUAGCUAGAUGGCUUCUUCUCUCUCUUUGAUCUUCAAUACCAUGUUCUUCAUGAUCUUCAUGGAGAUCUAUCCAAUGUAAUACUCUUUUGCGGUGUGUUUGUCGAGAUCCGAUGAAUUGUGAGUUUACGUUCACAUUAUCCAUGAAUAUUAUUUGAGUCUCUUCUGAAUUCUUAUAUGCAUGAUUUCAUAUCUUUACAAGUCUCUUCAAAUUAUUUUUUUGAUUUGGCCAACUAGAUUGGUAAUUCUUGCCAUGGGAGAAGUGCUUAGUUUUGGGUCCAAUCUUGCGGUGUCCUCACCCAGUGACAGUAGGGGUAGCGAGGCACGCAUUUUAUUGUUACCAUAAAGGGUAAAAAGAUGGGGUUUUCAUCAUAUUCCUUAAGUUUAUCCCUCUACAUCAUGUCAUCUUGUUUAAUGCGUUACUCUGUUCUUCAUGAACUUAAUACUCUAGAUGCAGGCAGGAGUCGGUCGAUGUGUCGAGUAAUAGUAGUAGAUGUAGAAUCGUUUCGGUCUACUUGAUACGGACGUGAUGCCUAUAUGCAUAAUCAUUGCCUUGGAUAUCUUCAUAAUUAUUUGCUUUUCUAUCAGUUGCUUCACAGCAAUUUGUUCACCCACCGUAUUAUUUUCCUUUAUGACAAAAGCCUCUAGUGAAACCUAUGGCCCCUGGGUCUAUUUUCCAUAUCAUAUUUUCAGAUCUAUAAACAAAAAAAUGCCAAAAAUACUUUGCUGCAAUUUAGUUACUUUAGUUUUACUUUCAGAUCUAUCAAUAUUUUAUACCUAUCUCUGUGAGAUCUCAUCCUUGCAAAUAACUCUCAAGGGAUUGACAACCCCUUUAUAGCGUUGGGUGCAAGUGUUUGAUUAUUUGUGUAGGUACUAUUAUCGGAGUCUCGCUUGUUCCUCCUAUUGGAUUGAUACCUUGGUUCUCAACAAACUGAGGGAAAUACUUAUCUACUUCACUGCAUCACCCUUUCCUCUUCAAGGGAAACCUGCGCAAGCUCAAGAGGUAGCAAGAAGGAUUUCUGGCGCCAUUGCCGGGGAGGAUACAUAGCAAGGUUACCAAGUACCCAUCACAAAAUCAUCUCUUGCACUUAUUUUAUUUUCCAUUUGCCUCUCACUUUCCUCUCUCCCACUUCUAAAAAUAUUUUCAGGAAAUACCAAAAAGAUUUGCCUUUUUAUUCGCCCUUUUUCAUUCGUCUUUUUGUUUGCUUGCUUGUGUGCUAGACCUAUUCGUUACCACCAUGUAUGAAUCUGGGGAGGUUUAAUUGGAAAGGAUAGUAAUAAUCCUGAAGAGAAUAAUUAUUCCCAUAGAGAACCUACUAUCAUUCAUACAAAAAAAACUCCGCAUAGGUAGUGGCAAUAUCAUUGGAAAAGGUGUUAUUCAAGAUUUAUUUACUUGUGCUAGUAUGCUACCUACUUUAGGAGGGUCUAUCCUCAAUAAAACUAAUAGUCUUGCGAACGCCAUUACACUUCUAAUACUUGAACUUGAGAGAUAGUUUAUUCAUAUGCACCCUUGCAUACAAAGGAUUUUCCUUGAGUUCUCUAAUAUUCAACUUGCUUCCGUUAAGCGUGCCGCCACUAUAUAUCUAGCCCACGAUUUUAGAUUCAUUAUGCAAGAGUCUAAUGAAAUUUUUGCUCAUUAUAAAAUUAAUGGUGGAUGUCCUCCCGUUGAGGAGAUCCUUUUUAAUCAAGAAGAAAUAAUGAGAUUGGAGUCUUCGGAUUAUGUGGCUUAUAAUGAAAAUUUGAGAAAAAGGGUUCUCAUUGAGGUUUUGGUUGAUAGGAUUUCUAAACUCAAUGAUGAUUUUGCUAUAAAAAUAAUGGAUCAGAGUUCAUACUACGAGAUAAACUUAUGACCUUCCGCCAAAGGAAAGCCUACAAUGAUGAAUUGAUCAUACACUAUAAAGGGUCGAAGGAGGAACCUAUUCCUGCCGCACUUGAUCUUAAUGAUCCUUAUCCUAUUAAAUUUAGCCCUUUUGAUUAAUUUUUCUUGCGACAAAAGAAACUUCUUGCUGAAAGAAUGGAGUAUGAGAAUAGCAUUGAUAAUCUCCCUUACUAUUAUGAUAAUACUUAGAUCUAUUGCAUUAUGCCUAGCUAGGGGCGUUAAACAAUAGCGCUAGUUGGGAGGCAACCCAAUUUUAUUUGUUUUGCUUUUGUUUUUGUUUUUGUUUUUGUUUUUAUGUGCUGCACAUAUUAUUACCUCUGUAAUAAUUGUGUUUUCUUGUUUCAAUUAGUGUUUGAGCCAAGUAAGACUUUGGGAUGGUCUAUGGUGCUUGCAAGUUGAUUUUGCUGAAAAACAGAAACUUUCGCUCUCAGUCCAGGAAUUUUAUAAAUUCACUAGAACAUGCUUUUGAUCUGAAUUUUUUCACAAGAUUGUUUUACAAAUUUCCCAGAUCAUCCUAUUCUUUCAGAAAUUUUGGAUUACAGAAGUAUUCAAAGUAAACAGAUUGCUACAGAUUGUUCUGUUUUUGACAGAUUCUAUUUUCUUUGUGUUGUUUGCUUAUUUUGAUGAAUCUAUGGGUUGUAUCGGGGGUAUGAACCAUGGAGAAGUUAGAAUACAGUAAAUAUUACAUCAAUAUAAAUAACUAAUGAGUUCACAACAAUACCUAAGUGUUGAUUGCUACGGAAACACACAACAGCGCGAGGAAUUGACAUGUUGACGGAGACUGGGCUUGCGUUGGUUUAUCCCUUGAAGAGGAAAGGGUGGUGCAACACAGGAGCAGUAAGUAUUUCCCUUAGUUUGAGAACCAAGGUAUCAAUCCAGUAGGAGAAUCGCAUCAAGUCCAGAGUACCUGCGCAAACACAAAGGAGCUUGCACCCAACGCUAUGAAGGGGUUGUCAAUCCCUUCAACAUUGAUUGCAAAGUGAGAUCUGAAGGCGGAAAGUGCAACGAAGUAAAAGUGUAAGGCUGAAAAUAUGAUGUGAAGUAGACCCAGGGGUCAUAGUGUUCACUAGAGGCUUCUCUCAAAAUAGAAAAUAUUACGGUGGGUGAACAAAUUACUGUCGAGCAAUUUACAGAACCACAAGAAGUCAUGACGAUAUCUAAGGCAAUGAUCAUACAUAUAGGCAUCACGUCCGAGACAAGUAGACUGAUACUUUCUGCAUCUACUACUAUUACUCCACACAUCGACCGCUAUCCAGCAUGCAUCUAGUGUAUGGAGUUCAUGACGAACAGAGUAACGCCUUAAGCAAGAUGACAUGAGGUAGAGGGAUAAACUCAAACCAAUGAUGAAAACCCCAUCUUUUUACCCUUGAUGGCAACAACAUGAUGCGUGCCUCGUACCCCUUCUGUCACUGGGUGCGGUCACCGCACAGUAUGAACCCAAAACCAUGCACUUCUCCCAUUGCAAGAAUCAUAGAUCAAGCUGGCCAAACAAAACCCACAACUCGAAGAGAAUUACAAGGAUAUGAAAUCAUGCAUAUAAGAGAUCAGAAGAAACUCAAAUAAGAUUCAUAGCUAAUCUGAUCAUAAAUCCACAAUUCAUCGGAUCUCGACAAACACACCGCAAAAGAAGGUUACAUCGGAUAGAUCUCCAUGAAGAUCAUGGAGAACUUUGUAUUGGAGAUCCAAGAGAGAGAAGAAGCCAUCUAGCUAAUAGCUAUGGACCCGAAGGUCUAUGGUGAACUACUCACGCAUCAUCGGAGAGGUCAUGGUGUUGAUGAAGAAGCCCUCUGUAUGCGAAUCCCCCCUCCGGUAGGGCACCAGAUCGUACCCCAGAUGGGAUCUUGCGGAGACAGAAGCUUGCGGCGGUGGAAAAGUGUUUUCGAGGCUCUCGUGAUUUUUUCUGGGAUUUUAGGGAAUUUAUAGGCGAAAGACCUAGGGCAGAGGAGGUCCAGGGAGCCCACAACCCUGGGAGGCGCGGCCCCCCUGGCCGCGGCUAGGGGGCUUGUGGGGUCCCUAUUGACCCUGUGCCUUGGUUCUCAAGUCUCCCGAUCGUCUUCUAUUUCGGAAAAAAUCUUUUUGGAAGUUUCGUUCCGUUUGGAAUCCAUUUAAAAUCCUUCUCUGAAAGGGGUCAAAAACACGGAAAAAACAGGAACUGGCACUUGGCACUGAGUUAAUAAGUUAGUCCCAAAAAAGAUAUAAAAGGCCUACAAAACAUCCAAAGUUUGACAAGAUAAUAGCAUGAAACCAUCAAAAAUUAUAGAUACGUUGGAGAUGUAUCUUUGAUCUAUCUUUCUUAUACUAACGGAUCUCAUUAGUUUUCUGUUGAGUUUUGUGUUGUGAAGUUUUCAAGUUUUGGGUAAAUAUUUGAUUGACUAUGGAAUAAGGAGUGGCAAGAGCCUAAGCUUGGGGAUGCCCAAGGCACCCCAAGACAUAUUCAAGGGUACCAAAGAGCCUAAGCUUGGGGAUGCCCCGGAAGGCAUCCCCUCUUUCGUCUUCAAUCCAUCGGUAAAUUUACUUGAGGCUAUAUUUUUAUUCACCACAUGAUAUGUGUUUUGCUUGGAGCGUCUUGUAUGAUAUGAGUCUUUAAUUUUUAGUUUGACACAAUCAUCCUUGAUGCACACAUCUCUUGAGAGAGAUAUACACACCGUAUCGUGAAUUUAUUAGAAUACUCUUUAUGCUUCACUUAUAUCUUUUGAGCUAGGCAAUGUUGCUCUAGUACUUCAUUUAUAUAUUUUAGAGCAUGCCGGUGUUGUGGAAUUAUUAAAACUCUCCUACUUCACUUAUAUUAUUUUGAGAGUUAUUUAAACAACAUGGUAAUAUAAUAGGCAUCCAAGAGGGAUAUAAUAAAAACUUUCAUAUUAAUUGCAUUGAAUAUGAUGAGAAGUUUGAUUUCUUACAUAUAGUUUUGAGAUGUGAAGAUGGUGAUACGAGAGUCAUGCUAGUAAGUAAUUGUGAAUUAGAAAAAAAAUACUUGUGUUAAAGCUUGUGAUUCCCGUAGCAUGCACGUAUGGUGAACCGUUAUGUGAUGAAGUCGGAGCAUGACUUGUUUACUGAUUGUCAACCUUUGUGUGGAGGUCGGGAUCGUGCGAUGGUUAACUCCUACCAACCCUUCUCCUAGGAGCAUGCGUCUAAUACUUUGCUUCGAUAACUAAUAGGCUUUUGCAAUCAGUAUGUGAGUUCUUUACGACUAAAGUUGAGUUCAUGGAUUAUACACACUCUCAUGCUUCCACCUUUGCUAACCUCUCUAGUACUGUGUAACUUUUGUUGGUACAUUAAAACGACCUUCCUCAAAAUAGACACCAUAUAUUUUCCUCAAAACAGCCACCAUACCUACCUAGUAUGGCAUUUUCAUAGCCAUUCCGAGAUAUAUUGCCAUGCAACACCACCGUCUCGUUUUUAUGACACGCACCAUCACUUCCAUAUUGCUUGUAGAGUCAUACUUUAUUCUAGAUAUCGAAUUUUAAUCUUUUGAGUCGUAAGUAAAUAAAAGUGUGAUGAUUUGCAUUAUUAGAGCAUUGUCCCAUGUGAGAAAAAGGAUGAUGGAAGCUAUGACUCCCUCACAAGUUGGGAUGAGCCUCCAGACUUUACAAAAAAAAGAGGCCAGCGUAGCCCAUAAAAAAUAAAAGAGGCCAUAGAAGCCCAUUCAAAAAAGGAAAAAAAAGAAGAGAGAAAAAAUGAGAAAAAGAGAGAAGGGACAAUGCUACUAUCUUUUUCCACACUUGUGCUUCAAAGUAGCACCAUGUUCUUCAUAGAGAGUCUCCUAUGUUGUCACUUUCAUAUAACUAGUGGUAUACAUCAAUUGCACAACCACACAGUUUUCUUUUUGAGCUUUCAUACAGUUAUAGCUCUAGUGCAUCUGUUAAAUGGAAAUCCGUACUCACUCACAUUGAUAUCUAUUAAUGGGCAUCUCCAUAGCGCGUCGAUAUGCCUAGUUGAUGUGAGACUAUCUUCUUCCUUUCUUUUUGCAACCUCCACCACAUUCUAUUCCAUCAAUAGUGUUAUAUCCAUGGUCCACGCUCAUGUAUUGCGUGAGAUUUGAAAAGGUUUGAGAACAUAAAAAGUGUGAAACAAUUGCUUGAUUUUCACCCGGGUUGUGCAUGAUUUAGAUACUUUGUGUGGUGAAGAUGGAGCACAACCAAACCAUAUGAUUUUGUAGGGAUAACUUUCUAAUACCAUGCUAUUUUGAAAAGAAGCAAUCACCUUAUUAGUAUGCUUGAAGUAUUAUUGUUUUUAUGUCAACAUAGACUUUUGUUUUGAGUCUUAUGGAUCUGAAUAUUCGUGCCACAUUAGAGAAUAUUACAUGGAUAAAUAUGUUAGGUAGCAUUCCACAUCAAAAAUUCUGUUUUUAUCAUUUACCUUCUCAAGGACGAGCGGUAAUUAAGCUUGGGGAUGUUGAUAUGUCUCCAAUGUAUCUAUAAUUUCCGAUUGUUCCAUGCUAUUAUAUUAUAUGUUUUGGAUGUUUUAUAUGCAUUUAUAUACUGUUUUAUAUUAUUUUUGGGACCAAACUAUUAAUAUAGAGCCUAGUGCGAGUUUCUGUGUUUUCCACGUUUUUGAAUAUUGCAGAUAAGGAAUAUUAAACGGAGUCCAAAUGGAAUAUAAAAUCUCUGGAAAGAUUUUUCUUGGACCAGAAGACACGCAACAGACUUGGAGUAGGGGGCAAGGCAGUUGCCGGGAGGCCACAAGCAUGCAGGGCACGCCCUGGGGGUGGCCGCGCCCCUGGCUUGUGGGCCCUCUGCAACUCUCCUAACCCUGAUUCUUGGCCUAUAAAUUCCCAAAUAUUCCAGUAUCGCCAAAAAGAGCCAUGAAAAUACUUUUACACCGUCGGGAGCCUCUGUUCCCCAGAGAUCCAAUCUGGGAGCUUUUUCCGCUAAUCUACCCAAUAGAGAAUUGAUCACAGGCGGCAUCUAUAUCAACUCCAAUGCCCCUCCUAUGAUGUGUGAGUAGUUCACCACAGACCUACAGGUCCAUAGCUAGUAGCUAGAUGGCUUCUUCUCUCUCUUUGAUCUUCAAUACCAUGUUCUUCAUGAUCUUCAUGGAGAUCUGCUACUUCUCAAACAACAGCGCCAGAAAUUGACACGUUGUCGGAGACUUGCUUGCGUUGGUUGUUCCGUUGAAGAGGAAAGGGUGAUGCAGCACAUGAGCAGUAAUUAUUUCCCUCAGUUUGAGAACCAAGGUAUCAAUCUAAUAGGAGAAUCUCGUCAAGUCCAGAGUACCUGCGCAAACACAAAAGAGCUUGCACCCAACGCUAUAAAGGGGUUCUCAAUCCCUUCAAGAUUGAUUGCAAAGUGAGAUCUGAAGGCGGAAAGUGCAACGAAGUAAAAGUGUAAGGCUAAAAAUAUGGUGUGGAAUAGACCCGGGGGCCAUAGUGUUCACUAGAGGCUUCUCUCAAAAUAGAAAAUAUCACGGUGGGUGAACAAAUUACUGUCGAGCAAUUGAUAGAACAGCGCAAAGUCAUGACGAUAUCUAAGGCAAUGAUCAUACAUAUAGGCAUCACGUCCGAGACAAGUAGACCGAUACUUUCUGCAUCUACUACUAUUACUACACACAUCGACCGCUAUCCAGCAUGCAUCUAGUGUAUUGAGUUCAUGACGAACAGAGUAACGCCUUAAGCAAGAUGACAUGAUGUAGAGGUAUAAUCUCAAACCAAUGAUGAAAACCCCAUCUUUUUACCCUUGAUGGCUACAACAUGAUGCGUGCCUCGCUACCCCUUCUGUCACUAUGUGAGGUCAGCGCACGGUAUGAACCCAAAACCAAGCACUUCUCCCAUUGCAAGAAUCAUAGAUCUAGUUGGCCAAACAAAACCCACAACUCAAAGAGAAUUACAAGGAUAUGAAAUCAUGCAUAAGAGAGAUCAGAAGAAACUCAAAUAAGAUUCACAGAUAAUCUGAUCAUAAAUCCACAAUUCACCGGAUCUCGACAAACACACCGCAAAAGAAGAUUACAUCGGAUAGAUCUCCAUGAAGAUCAUGGAGAACUUUGUAUUGAAGAUCCAAGAAAUAGAAGAAGCCAUCUAGCUACUAGCUAUGGACCCGUAGGUCUAUGGUGAACUAGUCACGCAUCAUCGAAGAGGUCAUGGUGUUGAUGAAGAAGCCCUCCGUAUCUGAAUCCCCCUCUGGCAGGGCACCAAAACGUGCUCAGAUGGGAUCUUGCGGAGACAGAAGCUUGCGGCAGCGGAAAAGUACUUUCGAUGAUCUCCUGAUUUUUUCUGGGAUUUUAGGGAAUUUAUAGGCGAAAGACCUAGGGCAGAGGAGGCUCAGGCAGCCCACAAGCCUGGGAGGCGCGGGCCCCCCUGGCCGCGGCUAGGGGGCUUGUGGGGUCCCUGGUCACCUCCUGCCCUGAUUCUCAGGCUUCCCGAUCUUUUUCUGUUUUGGAAAAAAUCUUUUUGGCAGUUUCGUUCCGUUUGGACCCCGUUGAAAAUCCUCCUUUGAAAGGGGUCAAAAACAUGGAAAAAACAGGAACUGGCACUUGGCACUGAGUUAAUAAGUUAGUCCCAAAAAUUAUAUAAAAGGCAUAAAAACAGGAACUAGCACUUGGCACCGAGUUAAUAAGUUUGACAAGAGAAUAGCUUGAAACUGUCAAAAAUUAUAGAUACGUUGGAGACGUAUCAAGAUCCAUCCGAUGUAAUACUCUUUUGCGGUGUGUUUGUCGAGAUCCGAUGAGCUAUGAGUUUAUGUUCAGAUUAUCCAUGAAUAUUAUUUGAGUCUCUUCUGAAUUCUUAUAAGCAUGAUUUCAUAUCUUUGCAAGUCUCUUCAAAUUAUUGGUUUGGUUUGGCCAAGUAGAUUGGUAAUUCUUGCAAUGGGAGAAGUGCUUAGUUUUGGGUUCAAUCUUGCGGUGUCCUCACCCAGUGACAUAGUAGGGGUAGCAAGGCACAUAUUGCAUUGUUGCCAUCGAGGAUAAAAAGAUGGGGUUUUCAUCAUAUUGCUUGAGUUUAUCCCUCUACACCAUGUCAUCUUACUUAAUGUGUUACUCUGUUCUUCAUGAACUUAAUACUCUAGAUGCAUGCAGGAGUGGGUCGAUGUGUGGGGUAAUAGUAGUAGAUGCAUAAUCGUUCCGGUCUACUUGACACGGACGUGAUGCCUAUAUGCAUAAUCAUUGCCUUGGAUAUCUUCAUAAUUAUUCUCUUUUCUAUCAAUUGCUCGACAGUAAUUUGUUCACCCACCGUAUUAUUUUCCUUUAUGAGAGAAGCCUCUAGUCAAAACUAUGGCCCCGGGGUCUAUUUUUCAUAUUAUAUUUUUAGACCUAUAAACCAAAAAUAACAAAAAUAUAUUCCUGCAAUUUAUUUACUUUGGUUUCUACAAUAUUUUAUACCUAUCUCUAUAAGAUACCAUCCUUGCAAAUAACUCUAAAGGGAUUGACAACCCCUUUAUAGCGUUGGGUGCAAGUGUUUGAUUAUUUCUGUAGGUACUACUAUUGGAGCCUUGCUUGUUCCUCCUAUUGGAUUGAUACAUUGGUUCUCAACAAACUAAGGAAAUACUUAUCUACUUCGCCACAUCACCCUUUCCUCUUCAUGGGAAAACCAACGCAAGCUCAAGAGGUAGCAGCUCCCGCGACGACUACCCCCAAAAGGAGCAGCCUAUGUCGUCUUCGCUACUGAGGACGACGACGAGCAUAGACAGCGCAGGCAUGCGUUGGGGGUCAACACCGUCAUCAUGUCGAUCCCCCAGUACAUGCACUCUUCGGACAAACCAAAGACCUAGGGGCGCGAGGAUAACUCGGUUUUGGUGCCAAAGCAAGGCGGUUACGCGAUGGUCCUCGACCCCACCUUCGUCUCUCGACGGAGCACCUGUCGCUUGACGCGGGUGCUCGUCGAUGGCGGUAGGAGCAUCAACAUCCUCUACUGCAACACCAUGGACAAGCUCGACAUCCUGGAGUGCGAGAUCCAGCCAACCCGGAUGGUGUUCAAUGGCCUCGUUCGUGACCACUCUUGCUCCCCGAUCAGCAAGGUCCUGCUGGACGUGCUAUUCGGAUCACUGAAGAACUUCUGCUGCGAGCUUGUCUGGUUCGACGUUGUCAACCUCUCCAGCUCCUACCUGGCCAUCUUGGGCUGGCUCGCCAUGUCCAAGUUCAUGGCAGCCCCCACUAUGCCUAUCUGAAGAUCAAGCUGCCAGGCCCGCACGGCAUCAUCACCGUCACUAGCAAUUACAAGAAGUCGACCGAAAGCGCUCUAACCAGCUCCAAGCUGGCCGGAUCCCUCGUCAUUAUGGAGGAUAGGCAGAAGAUCGACCGACUCGUGGCCCUCUCCCAUGAGACAGUGGUCGUGACUGAGCCCAAGCUGAAGCAACCUGCUGCAGAGGCCUAGUUCCAGCCGGCCACCGACAAGGACACCAAGAGGGUCCCCCUCGACCCGGCUGACCCCAUCCGCAAGUAAGUCAUGGUGGGGCUGGCCUCAACAACAAAUAGGAAAGAAAGCUCGCCGACUUCCUCCUUGAGAAUUCAUAUAUCUUCGCAUGGACCCGAAAUGACAUGCCGGGAGUCCCGAGGAAGUACGUUGAGCACUUCUUACACAUCCAGACGGAUGCAAAGCCAGUCAAGCAACCACUACGCCCCUUCUCCUCGGAGAAGCGGAAGACUAUCGGUGAAGAGAUCGCUCGGCUGCUAGCAGCAGAUUAUAUCAUGGAAGUCUUCCACCCGGACUGGUUGGCGAACCCGGUCUUGGUGCUGAAGAAGAAUAAGACUUGGCGCAUGUGUAUCGACAACACGAGGCUGAACAAAGCAUGCCCCAAGGAUCCAUUUGCUCUGCCCCGUAUUGAUCAAGUGAUCGACUCGACGGCGAGCUACGAGCUAUUUUUCCUUCUUGGACGCCUACUUAGGCUACCCCAUAUCAAGAUUAAUUCGGUCGAUCGGAUCAAAACAACUUUCAUAAUCCCCUUCAGGGCGUUUUGCUAUAUCACGACGGGGUUCGAGCUGAAAAAACAUCGGUGCCACAUUCCAGCGGUGCACGCAGCGAUUCCUCUACAUGCAUCUUGGCCUCAAUUUACACGUCUAUGUGGACGAUGUUGUGGUCAAGACCAAGGAAAGCUGCACCCUCCUGGACGAUCUCAAAGCGACGUUCGCGAGCCUGCGCGAGUUCAAGAUCCGUCUCAACCCAGAGAAGAGCAUGCUCGGCGUCCUAGCCGGCCAGCUCCUCGAUUUCCUCAUUUCCGAAUAGGGAAUCGAGGACAAUUCGAAAAAGAUUCGGGCCAUCGAGCGGAUGGGUCGGCCGACCAACCUGGCCGGCGUAUAGAACAUCACUCGCUCUCACCUUGCUCGGUUGUUUCAUCAAUCAGCUCGGAGUAAUGCCCCCCCUCUAUUGCCUGCUCAAAAAGGCAAACAACUUCAUCUGGUGCGACCAGGCAUAUGAGGUUGUGCGCAAUCUCAAGCGUGCGUUGAGCACCGUGCCCGUGCUGGUCGCAUCGGCGGACAAGGAUCUUAUGCUACUCUACAUGGCAGCGACCAGCCGUGUGGUCAGCAUCGCCAUGGCCAUCAAGUGCUUGGAGCCGUGCCGAGCCUAGCCGAUCCAAUGACUGGUCUACUAUCUGGGUGAGGUGUUGUCCGCCUCCAAGAAAAACUACCCUCACUACGAAAAGAUGUGUUACGGCGUGUUCCUAGCAGUCAAGAAGCUCAAGCCCUACUUCCAGGAGCACCCGAUCACGAUGGUGAGCACCGCUACCCUCCGGGAAAUCAUGGGCAACCGGGACACGACCGCCGACCACCACAUCACCUACGAGUCUCGCACGUCUAUCUAGUCUUAGGCCUUGGCGAAUUUCCUCGUUGACUGGGCAGCGAUCGAGUACGCGCCACCACCUCCCGACUCCACCCAUUGGCGCCUAUACCAGCCUCGGGGCCUACAUCAUCCUCUCCUCCAUGAAGGGGGGACCGAUCGUAGUAGGUCAUGUAGAUCCACUUUGCCGCGUCAAAAACAUGACGGAGUACGAAGCGCUCACCCACGGCCUCCAGUUGGCCAGGGAGAUUGGUGUCUGAUGCAUCCUUUGCUUCGGCGACUUCGACCUGGUGGUGCAGCAAGUCACUAGUGAAUGGGAUGCUAGGGACGCAAACAUGGCCAACUAUGCUUCGUGGUCCAACAGCUGACCGGCGGUUUCAAAGGCUGCGAGUUCCACCACAUCCUUCGAGCCAGGAACGAGGUUGUCGACACACUCGCGAAGAUCGGCUCCACCCGGCAGCCGAUCCCAGCCGGCGUAUCCCUCGAGCAUCUGCGUAAGCCCUCCAUUAGCCAUCUCUGGAGUCCGAGUCCAUCUUCAUCCCGACAGACCCGAGGGUUGCUCCACCAGCCCCGGGGGCUACCGUCGCUAACUUGGGGGCUUCUCCACCAGCCCCGGGGUCUGUCGUCGUUGUCUCGGGGGCUGCCCCACCAGCCUCGGGGGCUGCCAUCACCAACUCGGGGAAUGCUCUGUCCAACUCGGGGGCUACCGCAGCCGUCCCUGUGACUGCGGUCCCCGCCUAGCUACCGACAAUUCCAGCCAGCCCGAGGAUUGUCCCCCCCCCCGACCCGGGGGGCUACCUGCCCACCCUCUAGGCCACUAGCACGACAGCUGGCAUGCCGGCAGUCGGCCCAUUCCCAGCAAGCCCAGCCACGUCGGCCAUGCUAAUAGUGGUCACGGCCUCAUCCUGGGCACAACCCUUCCCCGACUACAUUGAAAACUGCAACUUCCCGCUGACAAGGUCGAGGCCCGACAGAUCCAACGAUGUUCCACGGCCUACACCAUCAUCAACAACGAGCUCGUCUAGCGCAGCGUGUCUGGGGUGUUCCAGCAUUGCAUCGAGGUGGACAAGGGCCGCGAAAUCCUCCUCGACAUCAACCAGGGCGAGUGUGGCCAUCAUGCGGCCUCCCGCUCAUUGGUGGCCAAGGCAUUUCGCCAUGGAUUUUAUUGGUCGUAUUCCCUCAAGGACGCCAAAGAGCUGGUCGACAAGUGCAAUGGCUACCAACACUUCAAAGCGCGCAGCCACCAGCCGACUGCAACCCUGUAAACUAUCCCGCUCACAUGGCCUUUCGCCAUAUGGGGCUUGGACAUGGUCGGCCUGCUCAAAACCGCCUGAGGUGGCGUGACGCACCUGCUGGUGGCUGUCGACAAGUUCACAAAGUGGAUCGAGGCCAGGACAAUCAAAAAAUUUGACGGCUUGUUAACUAUCACGUUCAUCAAGGACAUCACCGUCCGCUAUGGCCUCCCCAACAGCAUCAUCACCAACAACGGCACCAACUUCGCUAAGGGCACGCUCUCUCGCUACUGCAACAAGCAAGAAAUUCAGCUGGACCUCGCGUCCAUGGCCCACCCGCAGUCAAACGGCCAGGCAGAGCGAGCGAACGGCCUCAUCCUGGCCGGCCUAAAGCCCAGGCUGGUCGAGCCUCUCGGGCGCUCGGCCGGCGCCUGGGUCGAGGAACUGCCGACCAUGGUAUGGAGCGUGCGAACCACGCCCAACCGGUCAACCGGCUUCACCCCCUUCUUCCUCGUAUAUGGGGCCGAAGCAAUCAACCCCACCAACAUCAAGUUCGACUUGCCGCGAGUCACCCUCUACAUAGAGGUCGAUGCCAAAGAAGCCCGAGAAGAUGGUGUCGACCUCCUCGAAGAGGCACGCGAGCUGGCGCUGUCCAGAUCAACCAUCUAGCAGCAGGGCCUGCGCCACUAUCACAACCGCUGGGUCAAGCCCCUCUCAUUCUGAGAGGGCGACCUGGUGCUCCGGGUGAUCCAACAAAUAGCCGGCCAACACAAGUUGUCCGCCCCAUGGGAGGCCCCCUUCAUCAUCAACAAAGCAUUGAGCAACAAUGCCUACUACCUGAUCGAUGCACAAAAAGCAAGAAAGAACAAGAAGGACACAUCCGACUCCAAGACGAAGCGCCGAAGGAAUGCGGAGCUCCUCCACCCGUUUUACAGUUGAAGCAAGUGUAUGUAUGUAUCACUUCCUUUAAAAUCAAUGAAUAGUCGGCACCCUCUAGCAGGACCCGGGGACUGCCCUUCCAUUGCUAUCUAUUUCUUAGUCAUUUUCUUCAACCGGUAGCCCCCGAACCGGCUCAACCGGCCCAGGGACUGGCCGGCCCACCCAAUCCCCAUCGACUCGGAAAAGUAUUAUAUCUCCUCCCCGGCGGCCUAACCCUUGCCGGCUACAGACCACAACCUGGUUGUCUGACCGGGGGACGCACAAGCAAAGGGGUAGGGUGGAUAGGAAAAAUCGACAAGGGGCGGGCCGGGUCCGACCAUGCUACUCGGUUCGUUCAAAACCCAACUUGCAAAGCUCCCAAAGUACGAACAUACCGCCUCCGCCAUCCCACUCCUCUCUUGGUCACAGUCCGCAAGCCGGCUGGUCGAUAGAAAAAAAGCAAAUGAGCGGGGCACAUGAGAAAAAUGACUAAGGCAAGAAAAAGUGUCGAACGAGCCGGCAAACAACAAGCAAGUUGAAAUAAACUGCAAGACAUAAAUAAAGAUAUUAGCGCCAGGCAGAGAGUGCAUUAAAUAAAACCUAGACCCCAUGUGGGUGGACUUAUUCAUAAGAAAGUGUGUGAGUAAAGAAAGCAGGAAGGUAAAAAUCAAACAACCGACGCAUGCGGUGCCACCUCCGUGUCCCGAGCUGGUUGGGUCCUCUCGCCCGCCUGAGCAUCGUGGGCUGAUGGAACCUACCGGCUGGCCUCUGCGUCACCAGCCGACGAAGUCUCACGCUGGGACAUCUCCACGUCCCCAACUGGUGGGGUCUAUUGGCCCACCUUAGCAUCGCCGGUAUGCGGCUCCGCCCCCUCCACAAAGGACGUGACCGCCCCUCCGACGCCCAACUCACCAACCUAGUCAUCGGCGGCAGGCUCCUCCGAGCUAACCCAACCUCCUUGUCCCUGCCGGUGAUCGGGGUGCCGAACUCGUCCUCCGAGAUGGGUGCACCAUCCUCCCCCCUCUCGUGGUAGUACGUAUCCAACGAGGCGUAGCUGGCGAGCCUGUUGAUCCGAAAGCCAAUGGCCUUGACGCGCCACGUCAAGUCCAUAUGCGCCUCCGCUCGCAUGGUGGCCAGCUGAGCCAGGUUGAUACCCGAGUACUAGGAGAGGGAGAAGGUCAGUGCCAACCGAGCACCGCCCCUCGUCGCCAACGCCCUCCAUGUGUCAAAUCGAUCCACUACGUGCUCGAGCCACUGUGCGAAUUGGUUGACGGGAAUAUUCGCCGCUCGGUCGGGCCAAAGGGCCUGGACAAGGUUCCCGCCUGCCGUUUGAAGCCGCUCAUAGAGCAACCGUAGGUACACCAACCAGGUCAUGCAGGCAUAGACCACCGCCUCCAUCCCCCACCCGGCAUGAGCAUCCGGCUCGCACCCCGCCCGGUGCAGCUCUUCCUUGUGGGCCUCCAUGGCCCGGUCCGCCCAUGCCUGGAUCUCUAGAAAGCAAGCUGGCCUAGAGAAAAAUUAUAAGAGAAAGGACCAGCGAACAACAAUGACCAAGGACCAAGACACUCACCGGCGAAGAUCUCGUCCACCUCGUGGAAGAGCUUCAGUGCGGUGGUGAUAUGUCUCAAACGUAUCUAUAAUUUUUGAUGGUUUCAUGUUGUUAUCUUGUCAACUUUGGAUGUUUUAUGUACCUUCUAUAUCUUUUUUGGGACUAACUUAUUAAUUCAGUGCUAAGUGGCAGUUCCUAUUUUUUCUGUGUUUUUGACUCUUUUCAGAUCUGAUUUUGGAACGGAGUCCAAACGGAAUAAAAACCCCGAAAUAAUUUUUUCCAGAACAGAAGAAGAUCGGGGGACUUGAGGGCCAAGGCAGGAGCGCCACAGGGGGCCCACAAGCCCUAUAGCCGCCACCAGGGGGCGGCGGCUGCCAGGCUUGUGGCCCCCCUGGAGCUCCCCUGCCCUAGCUCUUUCACCUAUAUAUUCCCUGAAAUCCCAAAAAAUGAGGACAUCCACGAAAACACUUUUCCGUCGCCGCAAGCUUCCGUUUCCGCGAGAUCUCAUGUGGAGACCCUUCCCGGUGCCCUGCCGGAGGGGACUUUGGAGUUGGAGGGCUUCUACAUCAACAUCAUCGCCUCUCCAAUGACUCGUGAGUAGUCCACUUCAGACCUACGGGUCCGUAGUUGUUAGCUAGAUGGCUUCUUCUCUCUCUUGGAUCUUCAAUACAAAGUUCUCCAUGAUCUUCAUGGAGAUCUAUCCGAUGUUAUCUUCUUUGGCGGUGUGUUUGUCGAGAUCCGACGAAUUGUGGAUUUGUGAUCAGAUUAUCUAUGAUAUAUAUUUGAGUCUUUGCUGAUUUCUUAUAUGCAAGAUUUUAUAUCCUUGUAAGUCUCUUCGAGUCUUGGGUUUUGUUUGGCCAACUAGAUCUAUGAUUCUUGCAAUGGGAGAAGUGCUUGGUUUUGGGUUCAUACCGUGUGGUGACCUUUCCGAGUGACAGAAGGGGCAGCAAGGCAUGCAUCAUGAUGUUACCAUCAAGGGUAACAAGAUGGGCUUUUAUCAUAGAUAUGAGAUUGUCCAUCUACAUCAUGUCAUCAUGCUUAAGGCGUUACUCUGUUCUUAUGAACUUAAUACACUAGAUGCAUGCUGGAUAGCGGUCGACGUGUGGAGUAAUACUAGUAGAUGCAGAAAGUAUCGGUCUACUUGUUUUGGACAUGAUACCUAUAGAUAUAAUCAUUGCCUUAGAUAAUGUCAUGACUUUGCACGGUUCUAUCAAGUGCUCGACAGUAAUUCGUUCACCCACCGUCUACUUGCUUUCAUGAGAGAAGCCACUAGUGAACACUACGGCCCUCGGGUCUAUUCACAACUAUCGUCUCCACUUUCACUUUUACUUUGCUUUGUUUACUUUUUGCUUUCAGUUCUCACUUUGCAAACAAUCUAUAAGGGAUUGAAAACCCCUUCGUAGCGUUGGGCGCAAGCUCUUUGUGUUUGUGCAGGUACUUGUGACUCGAGGCGAACCUCCCACUGGAUCGAUACCUUGGUUCUCAAACUGAGGGAAAUACUUACCGCCGCUGUGCUACAUCACCCUUUCCUCUUCAAGGGAAAACCAACGCAAGUCUCCAAGGCCGCGGGGAAAUCCUUUGCAUAUUUGCCAAGGAAGUCCCUAUAGGCGUAGCUCGUAGUAGCAGGAUUCCUGGCGCCGUUGUCAGGGAAGGUUUGUUGUUGCAGUAGCAGGUGGCCGCCUGCUGCUCCACCCUCGCCUUGGCCGCCAUCGCGUGUCGGACCUCCUCCCCGAGCCGAGCAACCUUGGCACGGAGAGUGGCCGCCUCCUCCCCGCUGGCGACUGACGCAUGUGACGCCACCUCCUUAGCCUCCAUCUCCCGACAAAGUGCCUCGGUUAGCCACUCCACCUCCGCCUUUCACCUGCCCCAAAGCUUCCCGCUCGGCCUCCAGAUCCCUCCCCAACCAGUCGCAGUCGCCGGCAACCUAGUCGCGCUUGCCUCAGACGUCAGCAAGAGAGCGACGCUGCUCCGCCACCUCAGCCGCAGAAACGCCCUCCUGUGCAAAAAAAGUUCAUGGUCGGCAAUCGGCUCCAUAAGGAAUAUCAAAAGAAAAAAACAUUUGUCUUGGCUACCACGCAGCCGCACAGCGGGCCUGAAUCUCGGGAACUACAUGCAGUGCGUGCGCUCGUGCGCACCCACCAAUUCAUGGAGAUACCUCGGGCCUUCUACAGCUCAGCCACCUAUAGCUCGAGCUCCUUUCAGGCCUUGAAGUAGGAAUUCUUGUUGUAGCGGUACAACCCAGUACCCUCCUUGAAGAGUGUGUCGCCCUUCGCCCCGUCAGCCUGAGAAGAGAACACAAGAAAAGGAUCAGAAGACAAAGAUUUGGCCCGGCUGCCACGCAGUCGUGCAGCCGGCUCGAAUCUCGAGGAUUCCCAGUGGUCACACUUGCGUAGUGAUGACCCACAAGUUUAGGGGAUCUAUCAUAGUCCUUUCGAUAAGUAAGAGUGUCGAACCCAACGAGGAGCAGAAGGAAAUGAUAAGCGGUUUUUAGUAAGGUAUUUUCUGCAAGCACUGAAAUUAUUGGUGACAAAUAGUUUUGUGAUAAGGUAAUUCGUAACGAGUAACAAGUAAGAAGUGUAACUAAGGUGCAGCAAGGUGGCCCGAUCCUUUUUUAGCAAAGAACAAGCCUGGACAAACUCUUAUAUAAAGAAAUGCGCCCCCGAGGACACAUGGGAAUUUUUGUCAAGCUAAUUUUCAUCAUGCUCAUAUGAUUCACGUUCGUUACUUUGAUAAUUUGAUAUGUGGGUGGACCGGUGCUUGGGUGUUGCCCUUACUUGGAAAAACCUACCAAUUAUGAUUAACCUCUCCCGGAAGCAUCCACAACUACGAAAUAGUAAUGAAGAUAAAUCUAACCAUUGCAUUAAUCAUAUGGAUCCAAAUCAUCCCCUUACGAAGCAACGCAUAAACUAGGGUUUAAGCUUCUGUCACUCUAGCAACCCAUCAUCUACUUAUUACUUCCCAAUGCCUUCCUCUAGGCCCAAAUAAUGGUGAUGUGUCAUGUGGUCGACGUUCACAUGACACCACUAGAGGAGAUACAACAUAUAACUUAUCAAAAUAUUGAAUGAAUACCAAAUUCACAUGAUUACUUAUAACAAGACUUAUCCCAUGUCCUCAGGAACAAACAUGACUACUCACAAAGCAUAUUCUUAUUCCUGAUCAGAGGAGUAUUAAUAAUUAUUAAGGAUCUGAACAUAUAAUCUUCCACCAAAUAAAUCAACUAGCAUCAACUAUAAGGAGUAAUUAACACUACUAGCAACCCACAGGUACCAAUCUGAGGUUUUAAGACAAAGAUCGGAUACAAGAGAUGAACUAGGGUUUGGAGAGGAGAUGGUGUUGAUGAAUAUGUUGAUGGACAUUGACCCCCUUUCAAUGAGAGGAUCUUUGGUGAUGACGAUGGCUUUGAUUUCCCCCUCCGGAAGGGAAGUUUCCCCGACGGAAUCGCUCCGCCGGAGCUCUAGAUUGGUUCUGUCCAAGUUCAGCCUCGAGACGGCUGCGUCGCAUCCCGAAAGGUGUGAUAUGAUUUUUUCUAGGUCAAAACCCUUCAUAUAGGAGAAGAUGGGUGCCGGAGGUCUGUCAGGGGGGUCACAACCUUGCACGGCUCGGUCAGGGGGUAGGCCGUGAUACGUUUGCAUCGUAUCUACUUUUCCAAACUCUUUUGCCCUUGUUUUCGACUCUAAUUUGCAUGAUUUGAAUGGAGCUACCCCGGACUGACGCUGUUUUCACCAGAAUUGCCAUGGUGUUGUUUUUGUGCAGAAAUGAAAGUUCUCGGAACGUCCUGAAAAUUUACGGAGAAUUUUUCUGGAAAAUAUGAAAAAUACCUACGCAAAGAUCCGCCGGAGGGGAUGGGCUAGUGGGCCACAAGCCCUGUUGUCGCGGCCACCCCCUGGCCGCGUCAACCAAGCUUGUGGGGCCCACGUGGAUCUGCCGCCCCCAAACUCAGCUCUAUAAAUUCACUUUCGCCGAGAAAAAAAUCAGAAGAGAAGAUUUCCUUGCGUUUGCGAUACGGAGGCGGCGCCACAUCCUGUUUUUCAUUUGGAGGGCAGAUCUGGAGUCCGUUUUGGGCUCCGGAGAGGGGAAAUCGUCGUCAUCGUCAUCAUCAACCUUCUUCCCUCUCCAAUUCCAUGAAGCUCUUCAUCGUUCGUGAGUAAUCUAUUCGUAGGCUCGCUGGACGGUGAUGAGUAGGAUGAGAUCUAUCAUGUAAUCGAGUUAGUUUUGACGGGGAUUGAUCCCUAGUAUCCACUAUGUUCUGAGAUUGAUGUUGCUACUACUUUGCCAUGCUUAAUGCUUGUCACUAGGGCCCGAGUGCCAUGAUUUCAGAUAUGAAAUUAUUAUGUUGUCACCAAUAUAUGUGUGUUUUAGAUCCGAUCUUGCAAGUUGUAGUUACCUACUAUGUGUUAUGACCCGGCAACCCUGGAGUGACAAUAACCGGAACCACUCCCGAUGAAGACCAUAGUUUGAGGAGUUCAUGUGUUCACCAAGUGCUAAUGCGUUGUUCCGGUUCUUUAUUAAAAGGAGAACCUUAAUAUCAUGUAGUAUCGUUUUGGACCCCGCUGCCACGGGAGGGAUGUGCAAUAGAUGUCAUGCAAGUUCUUUUCCCUAAGCACGUAUGACUACACACGGAAUGCAUGCCUACAUCACAUUGACGAACGGGAGCUAGCCACAUAUCUCACCAUGUUAUAACUGUUGCAUGAUGAAUAUCAUCCAAAUGAAUCACCGACCCAUUGCCUACGAGUUCGUCCCACUGCUGUUGUUACUUGUUUUGCUCUGCUGCUGUUACUGCUGUUACUUGCUCUGCACUGCUGUUGUUACUAUUGUUGCUACUUGCUACUGCUGUCACUACUGUUGUUCCUUGCCACUGCUGCUACUCGUUACACUGCUACUACCUGCUACAAUUCUGGUUCGCUCGGCGUUGACGGGAAAAGACUAUUUCCGUCACUGGGCAACUUCUGGCGCCAUUGAUACGACAGUUAGGAAUAGUCUGCCGUCAACAGAUCGUUUCUGACACCGUUCUUAUCAUACUACUUUCCUGCUGAUACUUUGCUUGCAGAUACUAAUCUUUUAGGUGUGGUUGAAUCUGACAAAUUCAACUGCUAAUACUCGAGAGUAUUCUCUCACCUCCUGACUGGCGUACCAACAAAUUUGGGUCGAAUACUCUACCCUCGAAAACUGCCGCGAACCCACGCGCUCGUGGGCCAUUGCAAAACAAUUGCUAAUUGUUGAGCAACUGGGAGCAGUUCUGGCUCUGUUUUCGCGAAGGCAUCAACUCAGGGACUCAUCAACAACAUUCUUCUAGUGUCGUUGCCGGGGACUGCUAAGCAGCAUUUUUCUAGCGCCGUUGUCGGGGACUGCUAAGCAGCAUUUUUCUGGCGCCGUUGCCGGGGAGGUAUUGCUAUAUUCUCUGAGUCACUUGGGAUUUAUAUCUGCUGAUCACUAUGAAGAAUCUGAAGGAUCCAAAAACCAAAGUCUUUCCCUCAACUACGAGGGGAGGUAAGGAACUGCCAUCUAGCUCUGCACUUGAUUCACCUUCAGUUAUGAGUAAGUUUGCGACAUCACCUCCUGCUAGAAAUCUUGAUAUGUCGCGUGUGCUUGAUGAUGCUUAUGAUACUACUAUGCUUGAUGCUAUGCCUGAUACUGCUAGAGAUGCUAUGCCUGAUACUGCUAGAGAUGCUAUGCGUGAUACUUCUAGAGAUGUUAUGCCUGAUACUGCUUUGCCUGAUGAUGCUAGAGAUGCUAUUUUGCCUGAUGAUGCUAUGCUUGAUACUGCUAGAGAUACUACUUUGCCUGAUGUGCCACUAGGGGUAUUCCUUGAUACUCAUAUUGCUAGAGUUACUGCCAAUGCUCAUGAUGCUUCUGGAACUGCCAAUACUAUUGAGAUAGAACCUGCUUUUGCUCCUGCUAGAUCUAGCUCUCCUAGAUAUGAAUUGCCUGAUAUACCUGAGGAUUACGUUAUGGAGGGAGAGAUAGCUGAGGAUUUUCUUGUGUGUAAGGAUGCCUAUGACGCUCAGAAAUUACUUCUCAAGUGGAAGGAAAAAUCUCUAAAAGCUAGGAUGAAAUGCGACUUGAAGUUUGCCACAUAAACUAUCUUUAUCACCGAUAAGGAUUAUGAAUUCUCUGUCGAUCCUGAGAUAAUCUCUCUAGUCGAAUGUGAUCCUUUCCACGGUCGUAGCCCAUCUUACCAAACUACAUGAUAUAGUUACCCUUUUCACUAGUGAGGAGAAGAUCCGCCACUACUAUAUCCUUAAGUUGUUUCCUUUCUCUCUAAAGGAUGAUGCUAAAGCCUGGUUCACUUCUCUUGCUCCUGGAUGUGUGAGUAGUCCCCAGGAUAUGGUCUAUUACUUCUGUGAGAAAUAUUUCCCUGCCCAUAAGAAGCAAGCUGCCUUGCAGGAAAUAUACAACUUUGCUCAACUCAAAGAAGAGAGUCUCCCACAAGCUUGGGGGAGGCUCGUCCAGCUACAUAAUGCUUUGCUUGAUCACCCUCUUAAGAAGAACGAGAUACUUGAUAUCUUCUAUAACAGACUUACCGAUGAUUCUAGAGACCACCUAGAUAGUUGUGUCAGUUGUGUUUUUAGGGAACGAACUGUAGAACAAGCUGAGACUCUACUGAAUAACAUCUUGAUCAAUGAUAAUGCUUGGACUAUUCCCGAACCACCUCCUAAGCCAACUCCGAAGAAAAGAGGUAUUCUAUUCCUCAGUCCUAAAGAUAUGCAAGAAGCCAAGAAAACUAUGCAAGAGAAAGGCAUUAGAUCAGAAGAUGUCAAAAAUCUACCACCUAUCGAAGAGAUCCAUGGUCUCGAUAACCCGAUACAGGUAGUAGAAGUAAAUUCUCUGCGUAGGUUUGAUGAGAGUGAUAUUCCUUUUGAUAAACCUGCUAGCCUAUGCUUUGAUGAAUUUGACAACUUUGUUGCCAAACAACAGAGUUUCAAUGAUUAGGUUAUGAGACAUUUGGAACAAAGUACUCGUAUGCUUAGUCAUUUAAGUGCUUGGGUAGACAGAAAUGUCAAUGAUCUAAAGCUUCUGAGUAAACAUGCCUCUAUGAUUACUACUCAGGUAGAACAACUACUUAAAGCUCAGAAUGACCUGCUCAAUGAAUUAAAUGACAACUCUGUCAGAGUCGUUACUAGAGGAGGCAAAAUGACUCAGGAAUCUUUGUAUCCUGAAGGUCAUCCUAAGAGAAUCUAUCAAGAUUAUCAAGGAAUUAAUGCAGAUGCACCCAGUCAUCCUAAGGAGAAGAAGAAGGAUGAUAGAAACAUGCAUGUUAGUUCACCAAAUACUAUCACACCUGAAGAACCAAAUGAUAUUUCUGCGUCUGAUGCAGAAACACAAUCUAGUGAUGAACAUGAACCUGGUGACAAUAUGGACAGCGAUGUUCAUAAUGAUGCUCAACCUAGCAAUGAUGAGGAUGUGGAGAUUGAACCUACGGUUAAUCCUGAUAACCCACAACCUAAGAGAUAUGAUAAGAAUGACUUCACCUCUAGGAAGCAUGGUAAAGAAAGGGAGCCAUGGGUUCAGAGACCUGUGCCCUUUCCUCCUAAGCCAUCCAAGAAAAAGGAUGAUGAGGAUUUUGAGCGCUUUAUUGAAAUGAUAAGUCCCGUCUUUGUGCAGAUGCGGUUAGAUGAUAUGCUCAAAAUGUCUCCGUAUGCCAAGUACAUGAAAGAUAUCGUGACCAAUAAACAGAAGAUACCAGAUCUUGAGAUCUCCACCAUGCUUGCCAAUUACACUUUCAAAGGUGGAACUCUUAAGAAACUUGGUGAUCCCGGAGUGCCCACUAUACCUUGCUCCAUAAAAGGAAACUACGUAAGAACUGCCUUAUGUGACCUUGGAGCCGGAGUUUGUGUUAUGCAUCUCUCUCUCUUUAUCGUAGACUUGAACUGGAUAAGUUGACACCCACUGAAAUCUAUCUGCAAAUGGCCGACAAGUCAACUGCUUUCCCUGUCGGCAUUUGUGAGGAUGUGCCUGUUGUGGUUGCUAACACCACCAUCUUAACGGACUUUGUUAUCUUAGAUAUUCCCGAGGACGAUGCCAUGGCUGUCAUCCUUGGAAGACCCUUUUUAAACACUGUAGGGGCUGUUAUAGAUUGCAACAAAGGCAAUGUCACUUUCCAUGUCAAUGGUAAUGAGCAUACCGUGCACUUUCUGAAGAAACGAUAUCAAGUACAUUGCGUCAAUGCUAUCGAAAAAACUUCAUCGAUUCUUAUUGGGAGCUUUGAAUGCCCUAUUCCUCGUGUCAAGAUGAAGUAUGAAUUGCUUGUUGGGGAGAUUCAUAUCCCCAUUGAGGUGACUUGGCGGCUAUUUGAAAAUUCUCCGUUCUCUCUUGCGAUUCGAGAAAGUUUUGUCAUAAGGAUUUGAUCAACCCCAUUGACGGAUUUCUUUCGGUGACCAUGAAAUGGAUGAAUCAAAGAGUCACUUACCUCUGUUUUAAGCUUUCACUUUAUUUUUGCUUAGAAGAAAAAUGAUAGGUUUAGUUCAGUUUUUCCUGUCUUCUAUUUAAGCGUCCCAGAGAAAAAUACCCCAGAAAAAAAAGUUCUCCGAUGGUCCUGAAAAUCUAGUAUGAUUUUUUCUGGAAUAUUUGAAAAAUAUUGGGAUAGAGAGCUGGCCUCGGGGCCACCCCAGUUGGCCACAAGCCCUGUCACCGCGGCCACCCCCCUGGCCGCGGCAAGCAAGCUUGUGGGGCCCACAGGGGCCCCCUCCACUCACUCCAGCUCCCAUCCUCUUCUUUUUCCUCCAGAAAAAAAAUGUGUCGCAGCUCAAACCCGUGUUCUUUCUCAUUUGGCUGUGAUUUUUGAUCUCCUUUCUCAAAGCAUCAUUCUCCGAACCGUUUUGGGGAAAUUACUCCUUGGUAAGUGACUAAUCCAUUGGUCGAAUUAGUUUUUGCUCUAGUGCUUUAUCCUUCGCGUAUUCUUGCUACCUUGGUGACCCUAUUCUUGAGCUUGAAAUGUUGAUUUUAGCUGGUCCCAAGUAGUUUUAGCGCGUGAUACGGUCUCUAGGCACUAGUUGGAGUAGUUGCUACAAGGUGUGGUUGGUCUUUAUUCACUUUUCUCUUGAACUUCAAAAUUUCAGCAAAGAGAAAUUAUGUUCAGGAGGAAGUUUCAUGGUGGUUCCUCAAGUAAGAAGGGUCCCCGUCUUUCUUUUCGGGAGCCUGAUCCUUAUCAACUAAGGGACGCACCGGUACAACCAUGUGAAUGGCCUUCCGAUGAGUUCAUGAUCGAAGCAGGCUUCAAGGAUGAGUUUGAUACACUUGUCCGCAAUGCCGGGUUAGCAGAAUUCCUCUCAGAUAAAUGUGAACCGUAUAAUAUGCUCACUGCCUCUUUCGUGCGUAGAUUUAAUUUUUUAGUUGGCCGUGACUCAUCCAUACUGUUUUAUUUGUAUGAUAAAUCCUAUGCCAUGGAUUUGGAGGAUUUCAAUAGGAUUUGCAAAAUACCCGAUGGGGGUAAUCUUAAAGAUCCUGCUAAAUCUUCGGUUAGAGAUUUUUUUUCUCUAGUAUAUUUGUUGGAGAAACUAGAGACAUCACGCAAGCUACCAUAGGAAGCAUUCAUUUCCUUGCCUUGCACUACUUUGCCCUCUUCAUAGGUAGAUGCAUUAACGGUAAGGUUGAACAUUGUCACCUAUGCGCAUCCGACCUUAGUAUCCUUAAGAGCGCGGUUACGGGUGACAAAAGCUUCAACAUGGGAGCUAUUAUAGCAAGGAGGCUGAAUAAGAAUGCUAUUGAGGGAGAUUUCUUUGGCGGCAUCUAUGCCACUCGCAUAGCAAAUUUUCUUGGAGUACCCAUCUGCGCAGGAGAUCCCCCGCUCCAUUCAGCUUUCCUUAACUGCGUCGCUCUGACACGCUACCAGUUUCUUGAGAGGGAUGAUGAAUCCCUCCUAUACCGAUUGAUAUUUAACCGGCAGCGUGUCUUCCAUAUUAACCUUCCUGCUCCUUCUUUCUUUGACUUUCAGGUAAAACGGAGAUACUACAUAACCAUGAGAUAGGCAAAGGAGUAUGAGAGGGAGGCGACGGCUGCUCGUCUUCGUGAGGUAGCUAUUCAGGCAGUGGCUGCAAGGCUCCCGUAUAACCCCGAUUAUGAUUUUGGAUUUCGACAGGACCGUCCUUGGGAGUAGACCAAGCUAGGCCAAAAUCCUAAGCUUGGGGGAGUACGUGUUCUCACCGACCUUACGUUCAUGCUUAUGCUUUCACUUUGUCCGUCGGUGUUUACACUUUGCCACUAUAUUAUCCAUGCUAGUUUAUUUUCGUUUUCUUGUUUUCUUGUUUUCUGUCCUUUUGAGAAAACCCAAAAAGAUUUUCCUUUCUUCUUUUGCUUGUUAGGAGCUUUCCCGUGUAAAUAGUUUUCUUUUUGUCUGGGUCAACGUAGAAGAUAUUGGUUACAAUGUUUCGUGGCUCUUGCAUGCAUACCUGUUUAGCUUUCAAAGAGCCAUAUUACUUUGUCUUAUCCUUUGUGUUUGCCUGCAGAUUCAGCUUAGUCCAAUGCACGAGCACGCGUAUUAUUGUUCACAUCGUUCGAUCGUGCAAGUGAAAGGCAAUAAUGAUGAUAUAUGAUGAAGUGACUCAGACUGGAAAAGCUGGUAUGAACUCGAUCUAUUUUGUUUUUGUAAAUAUGACUAGCUUGUCGUCCCAGAUUCAGCUUUGUCGUGAAAGAACCAUGUUUGCAAUGACAACUUAGAGAUCAUAGUUUCUGAUGCCAUGCUUAUUUAGCUAGGAGCUUAUAAUGGUUUGUCUUGAAUGCCAACAUAGAUUUUGAGAUGACUAUGAUGUAGUAUGAUAGGAUGGUAUUCUCCUUUGAAUGAUUCAAGUGGCUUUACUUGGCGCAUGUUCAUGCAUGUAGUUGAAACAAAAUCAACAUAGCCUCUAUGAUGUUCGUGUUCAUAGUGAUUUAUAUCCUGUUCAUAAUUGCAUUCCAUGUUAGUCAAACUCAUUGCAUCUUGAUGACUAUUGUCGCUCUCUAGUUGGUCGCUUCCUAGUCUUUUGCUAGCCUUCACUUGUACUAAGCGGAAUACUGCUUGUGCAUCCACUUCCAUAAACCCAAAAGUUUUUCCAUGAGAGUCCACCAUACCUACCUAUGUGUGGUAUUUACCUGCCGUUCCAAGUAAAUUUGCAUGUGCCAUUCUCUAAACCUUCAAGAAAUAAUCUGUAUUGCAUGCCCGAACCGCUCAUGUGGUGAUAGGGGGCUAUUGGUAUCUUCCAUAUUAGGUGUGUUAUCCUCGACAUGUGUUUAUUCACUGUCAUUCACGAGAAAGGGGCCGGUAAUUGGAAUACACAGUUCCACGCUUAAAUCGAAAACAUAACUGUAAAACAAGACUCCCCCUGGAUUGAUGUUAGUAUGGACGGUACCCGAGGAUUCGGCUAGCCGUGGAGUGUGAUUGAUUAGUGAUGGGGAGUUAAAACUUUACUUUUCUGUUUGGGAACCGCCUAUAGCAUGAGUAGCGUGGAAGAUAUUGAGAACUCUUGGUCAUUGCAUUGACAAUGAAAGCAUGCCACCCAAAAUUAUUACCUCUGUUUUCAAAGCUUGAGCUCUGGCACCUGUGCAAAUCAAUGCUUCCCUCUGCGAAGGGCAUGUCUAUUUAUUUUCCUGUUGAGUCAUCCUCUUCUUAUAUAAGCACCAAUUAGAGAGCAC
rnacentral:lncRNA from 1 species